rnacentral:lncRNA from 1 species
UGAGGACCUACCUCCAUCAGAAUUACCUGGAGAAUUUGCUAAAAAUGUAAGUUCCUAGACCCCAGUAGUAUAGAUUUUCUUUAUUGGUUUAGUUCCCCAUUGCAAGCAACAAAAACAAAUUCUUGCUACCUUAGACAAAGAAGGAACUGACUGAAAGGAUAUCAGGGAUUCACACAAUUGACCAGAGAUUGGAACUGAGGAAGCUUUAGAGGAACCACAACAAAAAUAACACCACAGGAACAAUGUAGUCAUCAUGCUGACACUGUAAUGAUUUCCAGUUCUAACUUUGGUGUUGUUUUACUGCUAUAGACUGAAAUUUCUGAAGUAGAGUCACCAAAUGAUGGAGUGUCACCAAGCCCAGGUGACACUUCUUCAGACUAAUCUUCCAAAGGGAGAUUCCUCUAAAGGGAAAUUAAGAUGAAAAUGAGAAGUGGCAUUAAAUGCUGGUUACAACUGACAAAUGCCUGGUUACAUGUUAAAUCAGAAUCUCUGAGGGUGAGGCUGGGGGGGGGGGGGGGGGGGGGGGGGGGGGGAGGAGAGGGUAUACAUUUUUUAAAAAAGCUUUCAGAUAAUUAUGAAGUAUUCUAAAGUCUGACCAACACUGAUGUAAAUGAUAUGAUCUAUCCCCUGAAAUAGAUUUAAAUCAGAGCAGAAAGCAAAGACAUCUUAUUUAUGAAACUGGAGAUAAUUCCAAGUUUCUAAUUAAGUGUUGUCUAUCUGUGGAUGUUGCCCCCAUUUCCACCCCUUGCCCUCAUCAGCCAUCCAAUCAAAAAUGAGCAUCUUUAUAAAAAGGUAUAUAAUGCUUAUUACAAUAAAAAGUAAGUAUACACAUAUUUUUAUGGAAAAAAUAGAUGCACAAAAAGCAAGUUUGGAAGACUACAUAUCAAAAUGUGAACAAUGGAAAAGAAAGAAUAAUUCCAAAGACAAUAUAAACAAGUUCAUGACAGUUAUAUAGCAUAGAUGUACUUGAUAUAAAAGAUAUAAAAUAAAAAUAAAUGUAACUGAAAUUGUUUACUUCAAACUCUUAUAUAUACUUUCUGUAUUUCUAAUUUUCCUGGAAUGAGGAAAAUAAUGUCCUAAUCCAAAUUAUUGAGAGUAUAAUUGAUCAUUGUUAGUGACCAUGUUUAGACUUUCAUAUGGCUAGUCGUUUCAGACUUUCCAAAAACACUGCAUGUCAGAUUUUCUUAAAUUAUAGAAAUUUUGAUGCCUGAGUGGCUCAGUCGGUUAAGUGUCUGACUCCAACUCAGGUCCUGAUCUCACGGUUUGUGGGUUCGAGCCCUGUGUCAGGCUCUGUGCUAACAGAGUGCUAACAGCACAGAGCCUGGAGCCUGCUUCAGAUUCUGUGUCUCCCUCUUUCUCUGCCCCUUGCCCACCUGUACUCUGUCUCUCUCUCUCAAAAAUAAAUAAACAUUAAAAAAAUUAAUUUUCAUCAUUAUCACUUACUGUACAUUAAAUGAAGAUAAAUGGUCACCAGCAAGCUCCUCUAGUACAGCUAAUGAAAUAAUGUUUGUCUGUAUUUACUCAUUGCGAACAAUAUCUGAGGAUCUUCCACAUAUAUAGUUUUAUCCUAAGAACUAUGUUAUAGGAAAACAAUUGUAGGAAGGCACUAGCUAAAGAAAAAAGAUAAAUUUAAUAGAAACAACUAAAGAAUCAUGUGAAAGCAACUUAUAAACAAAUACAUGAUGGCAUAAUCUAGAUUCUAGUUAGUGUCAUCUCAAACUAAGCAGUGGAUGAGAGCAAGACAAACCAUGAGCAUUUUUUUGUUUUGUAUUCAUAUUAGGUAGGCAUAGACCUAAAAUAGAAGACUUACAGGCAAUUCUGAAAUAGAGUGUCAACCACUGUGUGGUAGCUGUGGCCUAGGGUAACCAAGAACAGCCUGAGUCUUUUCUUGUUAAGAAAGUGUCAACUGGUCACCAACAAUUGCCAUGUCUCUAGCUGAUCACAGGGCUCAGAGGCAAAACUGAGAACAAGGAGCCAACAGAGCAGUUAGUAGCUGUGCUCAGGAAUUAGGAUGGUAGCUGGCUCCUAGUAGGAGCUCAGUAAAUGUUCCUUGUUGAAUAGUCAUUCAUUUGGAAAGAACUGCUGCUGUUACAUUGAUUUAUCCAACCUUUCUCCCACCCUUUCCUCCUCAUUUUCUCACUCCUCUGGGUCCCUGCCACAUACAACACAGCGAGAUAAUAAUCACCAUCCACAAUAUCAUCUUUGAAUGAAAUAUUAAAUGUGUAUCUGGAUGCCAAAUACUUAAAAAUACGUUGCAAAACAUAACCUAAAAUGUGCAUUUAGCUAGAGGCCCAUCUAAAAAAAGAAAGAAAGAAUAAAAAUAGUCUGAGUUCAAGUGAGAAAGAAUGUGCUGUUUUUAUGCAUAAUAUUUCAAGCUUUGCCUCUGUGAAGCUUAGAUUUGCUAAAAGCAUAUUAAAAUGCAGCUAGUUGGCUAAUUCACAAAUCAAGUCUUGUGGGUGUAGACCAUUAUUAUUAUUAUUAUUAUUAUUAUUAUUAUUAACAUUUAAUAGUAUUAUAAAUAUUUAUGUACUGCUGUACAUUACCAAAGUGCUUAAAAUUAGUUAAAGCCAAAAGCAGUAUCAUCUUUGUUCACUAAUGAGAAUGAAGUUUGACUGUUUUGUGGAAACUACAGAGAAAAAGACACAUGGACUAGAAAUUUAAAUAUUUGAUGUAAAUUUCAGUUAAAAUAUUAAACUGUAAUUUAACUAAGAACAUAAGCUCCACACAUUAAAAAAUCAAAUUAUUAAAAUAAUGUUAUUUUAUGUCAAAUUUUGCUUGUAAUUAUAGAACAUGACACUGAAAGUCUGUAUCAGUGUUCCUAUAACUUUUCUGAUAAUAUGAAUCACAAGGAAUGUUUGUAAAAAAUACAAUUCCUUGACUCCCAAGACUUGGAAUUUCUGAUUCAUUGAGUCUGGAAUGAGACCGGGGAAAUUUUAUUUUUAACCAAUACCAUAAGAAAUUCUUAUUAUCAGGGAAAAUUGAGAAACAGUCAUUUCUGUGAACUAGUAUCCAACUCCAAGACCCCAUAGGAACUUGGAACAUACAAACUUUAUAAUCAAUCAAACCUUACUUGUAUAAUCAAUCCAUCAGGCACUGGGCUGAUCCACAUCUCUUUUGAUCUUCAUGGCAUUCCAUAAGAUAUCCAUUUCUCUGAUCAAAUUUUGAAAUGCUGAAUAACUAGAUCAAAAGAAAAAUUGAAUAAUUAGACCAAAUUCACAAAGCCAGGUCUAUCUGACUCCCAAACCUAUGCCAAAUCAGUAUGUAUUUUUGUCUGCACAUUGCCAAAUCUUGCAUCUUAGAAAAGACAAAAAAGGAGGAGAGGGAAAAAGAAAACAGAAUUCCAGUAAGUGUCCUUAAGCUUUUCAAGAGAUUAUUGAAUAUGCACACUAAGUUAAAAAGUUAAAUCCACCUUAAGUUCUCUAGUUGAAAUGUAAAAUUGUUAGGAAUUGUUUAAAAUUGUUAUAAAUUGUUUCAAAUUAUUAAAAAUUAUAUUCUUGGUGCCUGGGUGGCUCAGUCUGUUGAGCGUCCAACUUGGUUUGGCUCAGGUCAUGAUCCCAGGGUCAUGGGAUUGAGCCAUGCAGCGGGCUCCACACUGAGCAAUGGAGCCUGCUUAAGAUUCUCUCCUCUCCCUCUGCCCCUCUCCCCCCUUCCUCUCUCUCUCAAACUAAAGUAAAUAAAUAAAUAAAUAAACAUAAAAAUAAAAAUAAUUUAAAAAAAUAAAAUUACAUUCUUCAGUUGAAAUGUAAAAUUGUUAAAAAGAAUCAUGUCCCAGGGGAAGACCAAAGGGAGUAAAUGGUCAUAAAAUAAAAAAAUAUAGUUGAUUUCUAUAUUAGUGUUAAGAUAGAUGUUAUUUUGUUAGGAAGUGUAGAGUUCCUUUUGGUUGAGGAAGUAGAGGAAGAAGUAAAUAGGUCAUGGUAUGUAAGGGAAUCUGGUAUAUUAUUUCUCUGAAGUUGGCAAGUUAAACUAUAAGGAGACCAUUCUUUUCUUGUGGGUGCAACUCUUAAUCCUGACUGAAGGACCUAAGGCAAAAGUUAUGUACAGUCUAUACCUCCAACCUUUAUUUUACAUUAGUGCUGCUGAGAAGGAAGAUUCUCCAAAGUCUCUCUCCAUAAGCAAGCCUACUUAAGAAUCAGGUUAUCUUGUACAAGUGCAAGAAAUAAUUGACCUGAGUUGAGCUAACUUUUUCAGAGAACACAAGCUGAGGUGAGCUAGUUUUUGUACAGAAUACAGCUCUAAUGUUACCUUGAAAGGCCCAGCAAACAAAACCUUUGGGCCUUUGAUGUAGAAAUGAGACAAAUAGCAUGACAAGAAAUGGUAGACUCUGUCAGCAAAUUGUUAUUGAAAUUAAUGCCCCUCCCAUUUUUGGUUUGUGGUACUGGUCUGAAUGUAGACAAUGGUGAUUACCUUUCAGUUUUCUUAUAAGAUGUGGCUACUUCCUUGGCUUUCAAAAAUUCUACUUCCUUGGUUUCUUUGUCUCAAUGUGUCACAGUAUUUCUGCUUUAAGUCAAGGGAGAUGGCCUUGAAAAUAGACUUGGGAGGGGGGCAGCUAUAGUUUAAGGGAGAACUCAGUGUAGUAAUGAACUUAGCUCAGAGGAGCUUUCAAAAAAGUAACAGACCCAUCAACCAGUAAGAAGACAUUUAUGGGAAUGAGUCUGUAUAAUGAGAUGGCCAUUGUAAAAGAAUCUGAUAAGCUGAGAGGGCCUGCUAUAAAGCAACAUCAAACCAUAUUAAGCCCUAUCCUUCUUAUAUAGAUGGGACAAGCCAGAAAUUAAGAACUUUGUGUUAGAAGAGCAAAAUGAUAUCCCAGUGGAGAUGUUUAGCCACUAGGGCAAAAGCCAGGAAGGGUGGGUGGGAGUGUGGGGAGGUGCCUGGAAGGAUGGUUUUUUAGUUUCAAAGAACAUUUUGCAUAUAAGGAAGCAUCCUAGUGAUUAUGAAUUAUUUUUAUGUUUUGUCCAUAUUGAAUUUAUUUUAUUUACACUUAAUUUCUUAGCUGAAAAUAGGUUUUGAAGACCUAAAUGUAUAAAGUUGUUGAAGAAAAGGCCUAUUUCUCAAAGGCAGUAAGCUCUCUUACAAAAAUAGAGUAAUGAUUGACUAUCAAAAAGAAUGAAAUCUUACCAUUUGCAACAACGUGGUUGGAACUAGAGUGUAUUAUGUUAAGCGAAAUAUGUCAGAGAAAGACAAAUAUCAUAUGAUUUCAUUCAUAUGUGGAAUUUAAGAAACAAAACAGAUGAACAUAGGGGAAGGGAAGUAUAAAUAAGAUAAAAACAGAGGGGGAGACAAACCAUACGAGACUCUUAAAUACAGAGAACAAAUUGAUGGUUGCUUGUGGGGUGUUGGGUGGGGGGAUGGGCUAAAUGGGCAAAUGGGCACUAAGGAGGGCACUUGUUGGGAUGAGCACUGGGUGUUCUAUGUAAGUGACGAAUCACUAAAUUCUAUUCCUGAAAUUAUUACUACACUAUUUUAACCAACUGGGACCUAAAUUAAAAAAAAAAAGUAGGGGCGCCUGGGUGGCUCAGUCUGUUGGGCGUCUGACUUUGGCUCAGGUCACGAUCUUGCAGUUUGUGGGUUUGAGCCCCGAGCUGGGCUCUGUGCUGACAGCUAGGAGCCUGGAGCCUGCUUCAAAUUCUGUGUCUCCCUCUCUUCCUGCCCCUCCUGUGUGCACGCUCUGUCUCUGUCUCAAAAAUAAACGAACAUUAAAAAAAACUUUUUUAAAGUAAUAAUUAGUAAAUCACCACUGAAUUUAGUAGUGAUAAUAAUAAAGUAAGUAGUAGUGAUUCUUCUAGGAAUUGACUGCCUUGAUACCUUGCAUGCCUGAGAUCAGGAGCUAACUCCAUUGUUCUUUGAGAUCUUUCCAAUUUUAAGAACUAUAAAUUUAUGAACCAGAAUCUGAGGGAGAAGAAAAAUAAACCCUUUUCUCUUUAGUGUGUCAAUGCAUAAGAAACAUUUUCAAACCAGAUUGUAUUAUUUUUUCAUGCCAUGCCCUAUUCUAUCUGUAUGCCAAGUGGAAAAUGUAGUUGGAAAUGUUUUUUUGGCCAAAUAUAACUCUGUUCUGGGAAACUACUUCCUUUACCAACCACAGCUAUUCAGACACAUAUUAGAAUGUAGUAUAGGUGUCCGAGGAAUACCCCCCCCCAUGGUCCCCUAAGCCGCUGCAUUAACUCCUAGGGAAAAUUGCAAGUUGAUGACAGAGGUAUCUGGGACUGGCUGGGUGUCUGGCCUCUUUCUUAAAGAUCUCUAACCUAGCCAACAAGAUGGCUGUGUGUUGUGAGAGAGGACAAUGGAAGCAUCUGGUAAUAGCCAAAGAAGUUGUCCUUUUAGACAUUUCCAUUUGACUAUCUCAUAAGUCUACCAUACUUUCCCAAAUCAAAACCAAUUCCCCAAAACAUGUUCAACCUCCAAUCUUUCCUAUCUCAGUAAAUGGCACCAUCAUAUGCCCAAAAAUUCAAGUCCAAACCUAGGACUUAUUCUAGUUUCUGCUUUACCUCACUCCCCAAAUCCAAUUUAUCAACAAAUUCUGGAAAUUCUGAACAAAUUAUUCUGAAGGAAAUCUUGAAUUUCCCCAUCAUUACUACUAUUAUCCUGCUCUAAGCCACAGUCAUCACUCAUUUGAUAAAAGCCUUGAUAAAAGCCUCCCAUUUUCACUGCUGUUCCCUCUAUACUCCGUCCUCUAGCCAGAAGAUGGAAUCAUCUUUUAGAAAAACAAAUCAGUCCAGGGGUGCCUGGGUGGCUCAGUCGGUUAAGCUUCCAACUUUGUCUCACAUCAUGAUCUCCCGGUUUGUGAGUUUGAGCCCGGCGUUGGACUCGGUACUGACAGCUCAGAGCCUGGAGCCUAGAGUCUGCUUCAGAUUCUGUGUCUCCCUCUCUGCCCCUCAUCCGCUCACACUCUGUCUCUCUCUCCCUCUCUCAAAAAUAAAUAAAUGUUAAAAAAAAAACUUUUUUUUUUUUAACAAAUCAGUCCAUAUUUCUUCCUGGCUUAAUCCAACUUUGUCCAUAGCCUCCCACUGUAACUUGAACAUAAUCAAUGGUCUUGCCACACCCCAUAAAAUCCUAUAUGGUCUGGCCUCUGCCUACAUCUACAAUCUCAUCUCCUAUCUCUCACCCCUUUGUUCAAUUUACCCCAACUACAUUGUCAUUUCCUCUGUUCCAUGGACAAAGCUCCUUUGCACUUGGAUUCCUUUUCCUGAUAUGCUCUUCACAGGCCUUCUUAUUAGCUGUCUCCUCCUAAUUCAUGUCUCAGCUCAGUUAUUAGCUCCUCAGAAAAGCCUUCCCACCUUUCUUCUCCCUAUUCAUUAGAUUUGGGGGGAGAUAAUUUGUUUUUUUUUUUCACUACGUGCAUCUAUUACUUUGCUUUGUAAAUUAAGGUAAAAAUGUAUAAAUAAACAAAAUAGCCUCUUUAAUCACUAUUAUAUCACUUUGUUUUGCUUUCUUCAUUGCAGUCAUCAUUUUCGCACAUUAAUUUUCUUUAUUUAUGUUUUCUUAUUUAUUGUGUGUUUCUCACUGGAAUGUAAGAUCUAUGAGAGAGGAAUUAUUUCAAUGACCCACAUCUGCCAUGUCAACCAGUGUAUCCCAGCACCUACAAGGUCAUUUAUACAUUGCAGAUUCUCAAUAAAUAUUUGUUAAAUGAGUAGAUUUCAGUUGCCUAAGAAGUUGUUUCCUUUGGCUGAGAACGGUCGUGUGCAUUCAUUUGAAAAGAGUGUUUAGUGAAAUAUUCUGUUUGCAUAUUAAGAUACUAUUGCCAAGGGACACCUGGGUAGUUCAAUCAGUUAAGGGUUCAACUUGGGUCCAGGUCAUGAUCUCAUGGUUCGUGAGUUUGAGCCCCACAUCUGGAUCUCUGCUGUCAGCACAGAACCUGCUUCAGAUCCUCUGUACCCCCCCCCUCUGCCCCUCCUCCCCCUCAAAAAUAAAUAAACAUUUAAAAAAAGAUACUACUGCCAAUACCCACGCACGUGGAAUGGUUCCUUAAUACAAGUGAGAAAUUGUCAAAAUACAUGCAAAGCUCCUAACAAAGAUGGCAAAUAGAUUAGUAUCCAAAUCUAUUUCACAUGUCAAUGGUAAGGUUCACAUCAAUGUGAAAAUUGAAAAGCAAACUUUAUGUUGUUUUGAAUCUGAUAGCUAAUACCUGAGUUCUGCUUUCUAGGCAGUGGUGAACUGUGUGGAAUUGCUGAUGCUGGAGUUGAAACCUGAAUAUGAGGAUGCUCUAAACUGAUUUGCAGCACAGUAAAAAUGGAAGAAUAAGAGGUAAGGAUAAUUGCCUACACACUCCAAACAAGACACAAAGUUAUGAGGAUGUGGCUAUGACAAGUUGUUUAGAAUUAGGGCUUUGAAAAAUAAGAGUUCUCAUUGAUUGAAUGCCUACUGUGUGCCAGGUCAUUGUCUAUAGUCUUUAUAGAAACAAUUUAGGUGGGUAUUAUUUCCCCAUAGCUAUGUAAAAAGUAGAGCAAUAACUUAAACUAGAUUUUUCAAAUCCCAAAGUUAACAUGCUGUCCACUGUACCUCUCAGUCUUCUUCUGAUGAUGCACUCCAUUUAUUUCUGUGAUUCCUAGCCCAAGUUUAGAGCCUGGCACAGCAUCCUAACAGAAUCAUGCCUCGCUGGACAGUAAAUGCCUCUGCUGCCAGCGGAGGGGGCACCUAAAUGUCCAAGCUGAACUGAAUCCAAGGUUUGCUGACUAAGCAGGUUUCAAGUUUCAUGCUCACGCCUCUUCCUCCUCCCUUUCUUUCCCAACAUCCCUUGAAGCUCACCUCUCCCACUGUCCACUGGGGAAAGCAUCUUCCAGGUGCUAAUAAGAAAGAUACUCUGGCCAUAGUGUGAUGGAAAGAGGCAGCUCAGCAAAAUCACUGCUGAGAACCUGGGCAGGCUUAGACAAUGUGAUCUGAAGAGCUGAAGUGUGCAACCCACAGAGAGAAAGAAUUGGGUAGAAUGCAGAAUUGAAGAGGAUGAGCUUAAGAGGAAAAUCUUCCUGACAGAAAUGAAUUAGUUAUGGGAUCAACUCCCCAAGGAAAGGGAUAUGGCUCCAUUCCCUAACUCCCAGGCAGAAAACAUACUAGAAAGGACAAGCAGGAGACAAGGGGAGACAUCAAUGACUAAUCGGUGCUUUUCACCUUUGAGUUUUAUGAAGAUGAAUGGAGCACUUUUGAAUGGAGGAAUGAAAACAAUAAUAAAAAUGAAGAGAUGGUACUGACUAAGGCACUGCAAAGAUAAAGAGGAAUAGAGGCUUUUGGCCCUGUGCAGAGUGAGAAAAAACUUUUCUUCCAACUGGGAGAUGCAGAGGUGAGCAGUUCAGAGUUUUGAAUUCACAGUUCAGGCUCUGUGAAUUUAUAUGAACCUGAGUAAAUUAGCCUUUCUAAGCUACAAAAUAGGAUAUUAUUCCUAUAGGAAUCCUAUAGGAAUCUCCUAUUUUGUAGGUUAUCUCUCACUAUAAAAUAGGGAUAACAUCUUUACAGAGGGUUCUUGUGAAGAUUAAGGGAGAUAAUUUGUGUCAAAAACAGUGUUUAGCACGUAGUAAGCACUCACUGAAUGACAGCAAUUAUUAACGGGUUAUGGCUUUGUGCAGAGGGAGAAUAUAACCAAGAUCACUGUUAAUCAAGGUCAGAUUAUGGGGACAAUUCUUCCCUUUAGACUUAAGGAUGGUGCCUCCUUGGUUGAAUCAUUUGCUAUGUUGAUGUCUCACACCCUCUUUAUUGACUUGGCUUUCAGCUCACAGAGAAGAUGAAGCCCAAAUAUGAUAGACACCACCCCUGCUCUCAGGCAAGCUUGCUAAAGAGCAGCUCAACCCAUGUUGGUACUCUGCAUCAUUCUAAAGAUAAAACCAUGUCCCCAAGGAAGGAUAUUGUGCACAGAUGAUAAUAGUAACAACACUAGGGGCGCCUGGGUGGCUCAGUUGGUAAGGUUCCAAUCUAGGCUCAGGUCAUGAUCCCGUCAUGUGCUGACAGCUCAGAGCCUAGAGCCUGCUUCAGAUUCUGUGUCUUCUUCUUUCUCUGCCCCUCCCCCAUUUGUGCUCGUGUGUGUGUGUGUGUGUGUGUGUGUGUGCGCGCGCGCGCGCGCGCGCGCGCUCUCUCUCUGUCACUCAAAAGCAAAUAAAUAAACAUUAAAAAGAAUAAAAUAGCUAAAAAAAAUAGUAACAGCACUAUACAUUUAUUCAAUCUUUUACUAUUUACAAAACACUGUUACUUAUAAAAGGUUACUAUUUUUACUUCAUAGAUGAGGAAACAGAGGCUUAGAGAGGUGAAGCAACUUGAUUCAAGUGACAUAGAUAAUUGGUGGGUGGAGCAGGGAUCCACACCCAGCUCCUCUGACUUCAAGUCUGGGGUUUUUCUAUAUCACAAGAUGAUGUAAAGGAUGGGAGCAGGUAGCAAAUUAGAAAGCCAUUUGCUUCCAAUCAUAAAAACAUUGAAUUUUAUUUACUUUUUAAACUUUUUUAAUGUUUAUUUAUUUUUGAGGUGAGGGGACAGGCAGAGAGAAAGGGAGACAUAGAAUCCAAAGCAGGCUCCAGGCUCAGAGCUGUCAACCAGAGCCAGACGUGGGUCUCAAACCCACGAAUGCGAGAUCAUGACCUGAGUUGAAGUCAGACACUUAACUGACUGAGCCACCCAGGCGCCCCACAUUGAAUUUUAGAACAGAAAGUAGAUUUCAGAUUGCCUAAUACUGUGGUUUUUAGACUGUAUCCAAGGAAUCCUGUAGGAAGUGGGAAAAACCAAGCAGGAAGUAGGAUUGUAUGCACCUCAGUUUUUAUCAGUUAAUUUUAUAACAUUACAAUGUACUUUGAAUGAAUGUUUAAAUCAUUAAGACUUUCCUUUAAGAAGAAUGAAGUUGAAAACUCCUAAUCUAGUGCAACUGUUUUCCUUUCUCUAGUAUGAUACUGAGGCCUGGUCUGGUUAAGUAACUUGUCCAAAUUUCAUAACUAGUUAGAAGCAGAGUGAGGAAUAACACUGAGUCCUUGUCACCUGCAUAUUUGAUAAGCAUGUUGUAAAUGUCCUCAUUCUCCAAAUAUUUCCCUUUGAUUAUCUCAAGCAGUCAUUUAAAUCAUCAAGAAAUAAGCCCUGGGGUUAUUCUCUCCUGAUGAUUCACUAUGUGACCUAAUCAGUCCACUGAUCUCUGUACCCUUGGCUUUUCCAUAGGUAAUAGGGAAUGAUAAUUCCUGUCUAGGCAGCUCUCAGUGGGGGUGUUGUAAUGAUUGUAAAAAAGAACAUGUGGAGGUUCACAGGUUUCUUCCAGGGAAGGAGACUCAGAAAGUUCAAGAUCUUAAUUAUUUACAAAUGCCUACCAAGUAUGUCAUUGCUUCUAAGGUGACCUUUGCAAUUUACCAUCCCUGUGUAUUUAUUGUUCCUCAUUUGAGAAGUCAAUGUAGUUUAUUUUUGUAACCAUGUUAAGAUUUAUGAAAUAGCCUCAAAACUUAUCACAUUGGCUUUCUGAUAAGACUGUGAUUUCUUACUACUUGCAGGUGGUAAGUAAAUCUUUUAAGGUUAAACACCUUUCAUUAUACACAUGUUAUAAAGGAAGUGAUCACUACUGGGUUCUAGCAAUCAUGGGGAACCUAGAACCAGAUGAAACCAAAGGACUUGCAUGCAGGUUACAGAGUUUGUAAUUUGUAACCCUUCCACCUAACUGGCAGUUUUUCCUUCUUCAACAAGGAAUACUAGGAAAAUGCUAUCACAGACCUUCAGGCUAACCUUGAAAGCAGCCUGAGGACUGUGUGUCAUCUUGGCUGAGUUCUUUAUUUCUCUGAGCUUGUUUUCUCACUUGUACAAGGCAGACAUUGCAUUCCCUUUCCACCUCACAGGGUCACCAAGGAUCAAAAGAGAGAACAUAGGGUGACAUGUUUUUAAAACCAUGAUGUGUAUGCUAACUGAAAGGAUGGUCAUUUUUAAGAAUGUGUUAGGGGCACCUGGGUGGCUCAGUUGGUUGAGUGUCCAACUUUGCUCAGGUCAUGAUCUCGUGGUUCAUGAGUUCAAGCCCCACAUCAGGCUUGCUGCUGUCAGUGCAGAACCUGCUUCAGAUCCUCUGUCUCCCUCUCUCUGCCCCUCCCCCACUUGCAUUCUCUCAAAAAAAAAAAAACUUUAAAAAAUUUCUGUAAAGAAUGUGUUAAAUACUAUAUUUAUAAUGUACGUUUCAACUAAGUCUUCUAAAUUUGUUAGGAAUACCUACUUUGGAAUGAUCAACUACUUAGGAUGAAGAAAGGUAUUUCAAAUUAUGCUGAUCUCUAUAAAGAGAGUAAAGUGCCAAUAUCGAGCAAGACGAAGUUAGAGCUAAGGAAUUCCCUCCUUAACUGGCAUUAUCACAAAACAAGAAAUAAUUUUCUAUUUUCAAUUAAGAAUAUUUUAAAUAUAGGGGCACCAGGGUGGCUCAGUCAGUUAAGCAUCCGACUUCGACUCAGGUCAUGAUGUCGUGGUUCAUGGGUUCAAGCCCCAUGCCGGUCUCGGUGCUGACAGCUCAGAGCCUGGAGCCUGCUUUGGAUUCUGUGUUCUCCCUCUUUCUGCCCCUCCCCUGUCUCUCUCCCUCUCAAAAAUAAAUAAACAUUAAAACAUUUUAUAAAAAAAGAAAAUAUUUUAAAUUAAAAAAUAAGAAAUUAAACAGGUCUUUACCAAAAUUCUACUCUGGAUGCCUCAGAUUUCUAACUACAACUCUUGGAGAGUAGCAUUUCUAUGCUUAUUCAUGUUGAUACUUUCAAAAAUCUGGACCUAGUUUCCAUUAUGCAGACAAGCCACAGAAGUGGACCAAUAUUUUAAGACUACAAUGUUUACUAAUGGAUGUCUGGCUAGAAACAGUGUUGGCAGAAUUUUGGCGGAGGCAUUUACUCUCACUAAUGAUGUGGAACAGGGCUGCGUAAUCAUGUCCACUUGUAUAAAGUCUACCCAAUACUUCAUAUUUUGAAAUAGAACCAGAAACAAGCACCUCCAAAAGUCCUGGGAUUUUCCUGGAAGAAACAUUAUAUCAGAACUGGUUUAGACCUUCUGCCCCAUGACUUCACAGGUAAAGUGGAUAUCGGAUGCUUUUGCAGAAUAUUUAGAGACAAAAAGACAGUAUGUCCUAUGUAUGGGCCAUCCGAGGCCAGGAAAAAUCUUUCAAACAUUUCCUUAAGAAAAUAUAUCAACUGUUUUUCCUGCACAUAUAUUAACAAAUCUUUAAAGUAAAAGGACACUCAAUCCACACCACUGCCCCUUCCUUCCAUGCCCCAGGAAAGCUAUACUCAGUUAUGCAUUAUCAAUUUCUUUCUUAGCUAUACUUGGGACUAAAAGCAUUAGCAGUUAUUCAUCAAUAAGGAAGAAGGACAAUGACAUUCAUUUAGACUGCUUGGACAUUGUUACUGUAUCACUCUUCUGGGAGAAGGUAAUUUCUGUCUAUUAAAAGAGACAGAUUCCAAACUAAGAUAUGUGGGAAAUCAUAAGGUAUUUAAUAGAAUUCAAGUAAUGCAUGUGGUCCUAAAAAAUUGUAAUUAAUAAGGAUCUAGCCAAGGAAAAUUAAUAACAGCAAACCUUUAAAAUGGAAAUCCUUAGAAUAAAGGAAUAGCUGUUAGAAUAUUAGUAUUACUCUGUAUUAAAAAUGUCAAGAUACUGUCAUUGGAUUUCUUUCCCUUCUACCUAGUUCUAGAUCAACAAAGAAUCUUCAUUAUUUUCUGAAAUUAGAUGCUGCUUCAAAGAUUUUAGAAGUAAACCAUGAAAUGAGUACACUGAAGAAGCAUUAUUAGCUUUUGCAGAUUACUAUUAAAUUACAUUUUUUAUCCCACAUUAAAACUUAAUCACAACGUUUGUCAAAUAUCUCAAAGAUAUGCUUUAGACAAAUACCUAGCAUUAUCUGAAACCAAAUCUGAUUGUUUCAAAUGGGUAGGAACUAGGCUGUGGGGUAGGAAAAAGUCCUAUAUUUCUCACCUCCUCUCUUCCUUCCUCCCUUCCUCCCUUCCUGCCUUCCUGCCUUCCCUAACUUCCUUCAUUCAUCCUUCCUUUUUCCACUAAUUUGACUUAUGGUGCUCCUGAUCUAUAUCAAGGCAACAUUUCAGUGGAAGGUAUACUGCAGGAAACAAUGUGCCGAAUGGUUGUCUGGUAGUUCAGACAAGGAGACACAUUUGCAGUGCAUGAUGCUGUCGUCACUGCAGCUUCCAUAUGUCCUCUCUCAAGAUGUCUGUGCCUCAGUCGUUGCAGAUGUCAUCAAAGAUUAUCCCUUUAAUUUUUAACGUUGUCACAGUUAAUAUAUACCCUUUACUUUUCAACACUGUCAAUGCUAAUUCAAACCUUUUAACUUUUAACAUUUUAAAGUUAAUAUAAACUCCAUUAAAGCUUCUCAGCUGAUCAAACACAGGAAUGAUCAGUAUGAACUAGUCAUAUUAGUAGUUUUUCCGGUAGAUAGUCAGUAGAUUUUUUUGGUGAUGCUAUUGUGAACAGUUAUAACGAUAGCUACCCUUACUUACCAUAUUAUUUCAUAUGCAAAGUAUAUCAUCCUAAACACCUCAUUUGAGACUCUGCUCACUGCUCAUCACUCCAGGCUUCUUCCCUAAUUGCCUGUGCCAUCUCAUAACUUCUCCAUGCUGCUGCCCCAUCCCUGGAGCUUUAUUCUUUACAUGUACAUCAACUCCUGUCUCCAUUCUUCCAAGUAUUGUUAACACAAGAUAUUAUCUGCAGUAGACUUUUUUAAGUGUGUUGGUUUCCUAGGGCUGGCAUAACAAAGGACCACAACCUGAGUGGCUUAACCACCAAGAGUUUAUUGUCUCAAAGUUCUGGAAACUAAAAAUCUGAAAUCAAGGUGUUGACAGCGUUAUUCCUUCUGAGAGCAGUGAGAGGAGGAUCUGUUGCAGAUCCUUGACUUCUAGAUGGCUGUGUUCUUCCUGUGUCUCUUAGCAUUGUCUUCUUUUUAUGCAUGUCUCUGUGUCCAAAUUGCCCCUCUUAUAAGGACACCAAUCAUGUUGGAUUUGGGCUCACCCUAACGAUGUAACGAUGUUACCAUUGUAACUUGGUUGCCUCUAUAAAGAUCCUAUCUCCAAAUAAGGUGACACACUGAGGUACUAGACGUUAGGACUCCUACAUAUCUGUUUUAGGACACAAUUCAUCCCAUAACACUAAGGUUUAAAGAUAACACAUGGGAAAUACAGCGUAGAAAAUAAAAACUUAAGCUACAUCUUAAGUGUCAUUGUCAUAGAAGCUAUUGACUAUGCCUGGUACAGAGUCUGAUUCUCUCUAUCCUUCUGUCCAAACUGCUACCAUAUUUCUGUGGCCAGUUCACCAUACUGGAUGGAAAUCUGAUUGUGCACUCUUACUCCCUGUGAUGGUUAAUUUUAUGUGUCAACUUGACUGGGCCGCAGGGUACUCAUAUAUUUGAUUAAACAUUCUGAGUGUUUCUGUGGGGGUAUUUUUGGAUGAUAUAAACAUUUAAAUCAGUAGAUAAAGCGUAUUGCUCCCCAUAAUGUGAGUGGGCCUCACCCAAUCAUUGAGAGUCUGACUAGAACCCAAGGCUAACCCUUCCCUAAAUAAGAAAGAAUUCUCCUACCUGACAACCUGCAAACUGGGACAUCAGCUCUUCCUAGUUCUACAGCAGCUUCCAGUGUGAGACUCAAACUGGGACACUGGCUCUACAGAAUGUACAUCCCUCCUCUCCCUACCCCCCCCCCAACAUGAACAUUAUUUGUUCUGUUUCUCUGGAGAACCCUAACUAAUACAGUCCCUAAGACCAGGUCCUACCUAAUAAAGAACAACCACAAAUACUGUAAGUAUCCCUUCAGGAUUGCAAUCUCUCUGCUAUAGAGCCAGCCAUUUAUCUUACUCAGCACAGUACCCAACUCCUCCAAUCUUAAGCCUUUAUAUAUAGGUUAUUCCCCUGGGUUUCAUUCAUCUUUAUGACUAAAAAAUGUUCCCCCAUUGAACUCUCCAAGAGCCUGCCCCAAAGACAAAAUCCAGCUCUCAAUCUUAGUGAGACUGAGAAAUACUGAAGUCCAAACUCAGAGCACUCUGCUAUAUGCACAGAACUUCUCAUAUAUUCUUUGCAUACAUCUCAAAUCACUGAGGACUUCUCAAGUUCUCCUCAUCUAAUUCCAUCUAAGGCUUUUUAUGCAACUAUACAAUUUCUUCUAUAGCUUAAUAUUGCAUGUGUGUGGCUUGGUAAAAAAAAUUAGCCUUGUUUAAUUAAGACUCAGCACAUAUCCUCCAAAGUUUAAACAAAUGAGAGCUGAACCAAAUCAGACUCUUCAAAGAGUGUUUCUAGGUUAGAAAGGGCCACACUACUUCCCCUGACUCUGUGCUUGACUUUCAUCUUUACUUUGGGUUUCUGUUUUCCAGAUUCUCUAUGUCACCACAUCACCUGGUCAUGCCUCACCCAAAGCUGUGUGGUUCCCCUUUAAAAUUUUCAAUGUGGACAAAAAUGUUUUCCCUUGGCAUAACUAAGACAGGCUGGUAUUUUCAAGAACAGCUUUACUAAACAUGAGGGAAGCAGAAAACAAAUAAUUACAUAAAACAUACACCAUAUAAAAAUAGCCAAGUUUCCAACUGCAGGUUUCUGUUUCUAAAAAUUCUAUUAGAAGUAGGAAAGUUUUACUGGGCCUCAAUCUCAUUUACCCCUUAGUCAACCACAUCCCUUAUUUUGCUGUAUCCUGUCUGGACUCCUUCUCUCCUACCUUCAACACUUCAUCUAUCCCUGAACCCUAUAAUCUUGAGCUGCUUGCUUGGUUUUCUUAACCCGUAUCUCAAAGAAAAAAAUACCCAGUAACUUACUUUUAAAACUAUCAUUCUCCUGGGGCGCCUGGGUGGCUCAGUCGGUUGAGCGUCCGACUUCAGCUCAGGUCAUGAUCUCGCAGUUUGUGGGUUCGAGCCCUGCAUCGGGCUCAGUGCUGACAGCUCAGAGCCUGGAGCCUGCUUCGGAUUCUGUGUCUCCUUCUCUCUCUGCCCCUCCCCCACUUGUGCUCUAUCUCUCUCUGUCUCUCAAAAAUAAAUAAAUGUAUAAAAAAAAUUUUAAACUAUCAUUCUCCUAAUGAAAUAUCCUGGACUCCCAAAGACCUGCCAAAAUGCCUGCUUACAAGAGAUUUUCAAGUUUUAAUGUUGAAGAUUCACAGGGUCUCAAACAUUAACUCUUCUCAAUAUUGAUAUUAAAUCAGCAUUUUAAAAAAAGUACAUUCUAGGAAAUAGUUCCUGGGAUAAUGAAUAUUCUUGACAAUAGCAGAUAGCAUUCUGAGCUCAAAUAAAUUUGAAGAAUGUUGGGUUAAACUAAGUUUCAGUUUUCUCCAAUACAUAAUUUCUCAAAUCAUUUCAUGCAGUCAGCCAAUUCUUUUUGUGUGUGUGUGUGUCUUUUUUUAUUUUUUAAAUUUACAUUCAAGUUAGUUAGCAUAUAGUGCAACAAUGAUUUCAGGAGUAGAUUCCUUAAUGCCCCUUACCCAUUUAGCCCACCCUGCCUCCCACAAUUCCUCUAGUAUCCUCUGUUUGUUCUCCAUAUUUAAGUCUUUUAUGUUUUUGCCCCCCUCCCUGUUUUUAUAUUUUUUUUGCUUCCCUUCCCUUAUGUUCAUCUGUUUUAUAUCUUAAAGUCCUCAUAUAAGUGAAGUCACAUGAUAUUUGUCUUUCUCUGACUGACUAAUUUCACUUAGCAUAAUACCCUCUAGUUCCAUCCACGUAGUUGCAAAUGGCAAGAUUUCAUUCUUUUUGAUUGCUGAGUAAUACUCCAUUGUAUAGAUAUACCACAUCUUUUUUAUCCAUUCAUCCAUCAAUGGACAUUUGGGCUCUUUCCAUACUUUGGUUAUUGUUGAUAGUGCUGCUAUGAACAUGAGGGUGCAUGUGCCCCUUCGAAAUAGAAUACCUGUAUCCGUUGGAUAAAUACCUAGUAGUGCAAUUGCUAGGUCAUAGGGUAGUUCUAUUUUUAAUUUUUUGAGGAACCUCCAUACUGUUUUCCAGAGUGGCUGGAUAUCCAGAUAUCCAGAGUGGAUAUCUUCUUUGGAGAAGUGUCUAUUCAUGUCUUGUGCCCAUUUCUUCACUAGUUUAUUUGUUUUUUGGGUGUUGAGUUUGAUAAUUUCUUUAUAGAUUUUGGAUACUAACCCUUUAUCUGAUAUGUCGUUUGCAAAUAUCUUCUCCCAUUCUGUCGGUUGCCUUUUAGUUUUGUGGAUUGUUUUUUGUUUUCGUUUUUGUUUUUGUUUUUUGGGUUUUUUUUUUUUUUCUGUGCAGAAGCUUUUUAUUUUGAUGAGGUCCCAGUAUUCAUUUUUGUUUUUGUUUCUCUUGCCUCUGGAGACAUGUUGAGUAAGAAGUUGCUGCGGCCAAGGUCAGAGAGGUUUUUGCCUGCUUUCUCCUCAAGGAUUUUGAUGGCUUCCUGUCUUACAUUGAGGUCUUUCAUCCAUUUUGAGGUUAUUUUUGUGUUUGGUGUAAGAAAGUGGUCCAGGUUCAUUUUUCUACAUGUCACAGUCAGCCAAUUCUUCAUGAGCACCUAUUAUGUGCCAGGCACUGAUCCAGGCACUGAGAAAAUACUAAUGAAGAAUGAGCAGAACGUAUAAAAUCCUGGCCCUGCCUUCAUAGAAUUUACCUUCUAGGUAGGGUUCACCAAGAAAAGUGAAUGAACAGGCAAGCAAAUAAGAUUUUCAAAUAAUGGUAAGGACUCUGAAGACAUUAGGGGGUGAUAUUAUAGGGAAGAGCUGGAAGUGGGGAAACCCAGCAGGCAGAGGGAACAAUGAGUCCACAAGACUCAAGGCAAGAGAAAGUUCGGCAUAUUGGAGGAAGAAAAAGAGCCUCUGUGGCUGGAACUGAGAAACUGUAUGGGAAACUGUAUGCAUGUGAGAAGGUAUGAUCUUACAGGCCAUGGUAAGAAGGAAGAUUUGAUCAUUGGUGCUAUGGAAAGCAAGAUGAAGGGUCUUAAGCCUUAGCACACUGUCAUAAUACAAUUUGAAAAAGAAAUCUCCUUGGCUGUUGCAUAGCGAAUGGAAUUUAAAGGCCAAGAUUACAAGUGGAGACCAAUUAGGAGCCUCUCACAGUAGUUCACCUGGGAGACGAUGAUGGGGUUGGCAGAGCAGAUAGAUGUGGAUGGCUUCAGCAUGUUUUUCAGGAGUGGAGACAACAGCACUUCCUGAUGGGUUAAUGUGGGAAAUUGGAGACCAGAGAGAAGACAGUGAUAACUUCUAGUUUUGGGGCUUGGGCAGUUAACUACAUGGUGGUAUUAUUGACAGAGCAGGGAGAGACUAGGGAAGCAAAGGCUUACAGGGGUGAAGGAAAUCAAGAGAUUGUUUUAUCCACAUUAAGUUCAAGAUACCAAUUACACAUAUAAGAAGCGCUAUCAAGUAGACAUAUCUUACAUAUCUAUGAGUCUGGAGCUUAGGAGAAACGUUUGUGAUAUAAAUUGGGAAAUCACUGGCAUAGAGAUGGUAUUUAAAGUCAUGGAACUGGAGAGAUCACCUAGGGAGAAUGUAGGGAUUCUAAGGCCCAAAGCCAAGCCCUGAGGCACUUUGAAUUGAGAAAUCUGGUGUAGAGGAAGAGCUGCAAAGAAGACUUUUAACACAUUCAUGUACAUUAAUGACUCUUUAAGAAGUGAUAACAGAAGUCAGCAUUUCUCAAACUUACUUGAUCUUGGAAACUUUUGUCACAUGGCAUCUCACAGGGAUAGGGUCCCAAGGAAAAUAUUUUGGGAAACAUUGUUCAUACCCUUCUAGCUGCUAAUAUAUUAACUUCUAAGGUGACAUAGGCAAGUCUUUUCCCUCUAAGUGGAGAGGUAUUUCAAUGAAAGCCUAUCAGUUGCUAAGCAAAACACUCCCCUGAUGAUCUAGGCCAAAAAAUGUACCUGCGGGAAACACACAUGAGCCAAAUGCAGUAAAGAAGAAGGAAGGCUGUUGCAUCAUUGCUUUACUGAGCCAAACCUCACAUGCUGGCCAUUUUUGCCUUGUUACAUUAAUAAUAGUUAUUUUGGUGGAAGAGUGAGAUUGAAGGUCUGAGGAGAGGCCCAGGAUUAAAUGCUCUUUUUUUUGGUGAAUUAUGUAACUUUUUUCAGAAGGCUAGCAUUUGGGUGUUUCUACCUGUAUACACUAUACCAGAGUAUCUUUUGAUGCUCUGGAAAGAGUUAAUUUAGAUAAAGAUUUUUCUCUAUUUUCUAGAAAGUUAGUUGUUGUUUUUUUUGUUUUUUUUUUUGUUUUUGUUUUUUUGUUAUAAACAACAGAAACUCACUCAUGCAUAUUAUUGGGAUCUAAGGCAGCCCUAAGGACAGGUUUCUCUCUAGGACCCCUUUUUCCCUCCUCUUCUCUCUCUUCUUUCUCUGCCCCACCCACCCAUAGGCCAGAGGCUGUCUGGUCUUUCACAGUACCUUUGAGACUUCUUGCUUUAUAGGUAUGCACUAUGAAAUCAUAAUAAAAUCCUCUACAUGUGUAUAGCACAGUCUAAGUAGACCCACAUGUUAUGGACUGAAUGUUUGUGUCCCUGUAAAAUUCAUAUGUGAAAUCCUUGAUCUUUGUGAGGUGGGGCAGUAACUGGGAGUCAAUUAAGUCUUAAGCAUGGAGCCCUUGUGAAUGAGAUUAGUACCCUUACAAGAAGAAACACAAGAACAAACUGAUGGUCAUCAGAGGGGAGCAGGGUGGGGGAAUGAACAAAAUGGAUGAAAAGGAGUGGGAGAUACAGGCUUCCAGUUAUGGAAUGAGCAACUCAUGGCAAUAAAAGGUACAGCAUAGGGAAUGUAGUCAAUGGUAUUAUAAUUCCUUUGUAUGGUGACAGAUGGUAGCUACACUUGCAGUGAGCAUAGCAUAAUGUAUAAACUUGUUAAAUCACUAUGUUGUAUACCUGAAACUAAUGUAACAUUAUGUGUCAACUAUAUUCAAAUUAAAAAAAGAAAAAAAAAACCAAGAAGCAAAGUAAAAAGAGAGAUGAUCUCUCUCUCUCUCUUUCAGCUGUGUGAGGAUACAAGAAGAAAACAGUCAUUUGCAAACAGGAAGAGUUCCCUCACCGGACACUAGAUCGGGCCUUGAUCUUGGACUUCUAGUCUCCAGGACAGUGAGAAAUAAAUGUUUGUUGUUUAAGCCACCCAGUCAGUGAUAACACCCUAAACUAAGAGAACACAGUCUUGAAGGUUUGCUUUUAAAAUGAGGAAACCAAGGCCUAGGGAGGAGAGACAAAACACAGUGUGGAAGGACUCCUAGAUGGCUUUGAUAAACCUAAAUUGUACUCUUGUGUGACUGUAGGCAAGUUUGUGACUAGGCCUCAAAUUCCUCUUCUGCAAAGGGAGAAGACUGAGAAGCGGUAAGUGAUUUUCAAGAUGCGUUUUGAGGCAUUUACAGUCUGCUUUUAUGAUUUUGAGAUGGAGUGUCUUGGCUGAAGUCAUACAGUGUUCUAUCACCUGGCCCAAUGUUUUGUUUUAUGACACCACACUGAGUUUCCAUUAAAAAAUUUUUUUAUGUGAACUAAUUUUUCUUAUGUAUUUGUAUUGCUAUGAAAAUACUACCAGAAGGCAGCAUUGUACAGUGCAUAAGCAUAAACUUUGAAACCAAUUGGACCUAGGUUUGGAUGUAGGUCUACUUUUAGCUCUUGUGACCUUGGAGGAGAUACUUAACCCCUUCUCAGCCUCGUUUUGUCAUUGUAAGAAAACUGUGUAUAAUACCUGCCUUAUAGGGUUGCUGAUUAGAUUGAGAUUGUGUCUAUAAAGCAUCACGGUCAUAGCAGGUACAAAACAUUCUUAGUCCAAUCAGGCUGCUAACAGAAAUUCAUUUCUCAUAGUUUUGGAGGUUGAGAAGUCCAAAACCAAGGCUCUGGCAGAUCUGGUGUGUGGUGAGAACCAACUUCCUGGUUUUCAGAUGGCAGUAAAAGGGCUAACUGGUUCUUGGCCUUUUCUUAUAAGGGCACUAAUCCCAUUCAUGAGGGCUCUGCCCUCAUUACCUAAUCAUUUCCCAAAUUAUGCCCUGCUUCCUAAUACUAUCACAUUGGGGAUUAGGAUUUCAGUAUAUCAAUUUGAGGAAUAUACAAACAUUCAGUCUGUAGCACAUUUCACAUCUCCCUCCUUCUUAAUGAUUUGGGGAGAUAAGGAAUUACGGCAAAGAGUUCAUAAACCAGGAUGGAGAUGGGGCAUGCAUUUUUUCUAUAAGUAAUAUUUAUUCAGGAAAACAUUUUAGUUCAAUCAGUCUUGUUGAAAGCCUUUUCAAAAUAUUACUCUGUGCUCCUCCUUUGGAACACUCUGAAUAUAAUUGGAUCUUUCUUGAUGACUGAAGACCUUGCCAUGCCUCAGGCUUAUUAUUCAGCUGUUUGGAUAAAUAUGCAGAAGGUGCAAAACUUAGUUGGAAUGUGUUGAACUCAGGAAAUCUUCUAGAAGUUUGUUGUUUAUUUUGAAUUGAAUUCUUUGUUAACAAUUUUAUCGUGGUCAGACUUCUAAAUAGUGUAAGCAUUCCAUUUGUAGAUGUGUAGAUAUUGGAUAUUGUGUUCUGGUUAAACAAAUGAUCAACAGUUUUUUUUUUCUUUUAAUGACUUCUUUGUUAACAGACCUGAACCAGGAAUCAUCUUUAACAUGAGGAAAUAUGAAGGCCUUUGAGGCCUUAAGGAAUGGAUACCCUAAUGGGGGGAGGGGCAAAACAUAAAGUCAUAAAAAAAUAACUAUAACAAGAACCAAAUGAAAAAGAGAAGUCUUUAUAAAGAAAUCAGUACUUGAAAUGGGACUUGAACCACAUAGGAUUUGGACCAGUUGUGCUCAUUGCUAAGGGAAUGAUCUUUAAAGUAGAGAAAAUAGUUUGAAUAAAAGCACAGGGAUGGGGAAUCUUGGGGUAUAUGCAUAGGACGAUAAAUUGUUAAAUCAGAGAUAAUUAAGGUUAGCAAAAGAUACUUAGUUGGGAUAUUUCUGGUUUUUGAUAACAUGUGUUGAAUAUCCAAAUAUCUUGAAAAGUGUUUCUUAGGUUCUUAUAUAGUUGUGGGAAACUCUGAUCUACCAUAUAUUCUUUUGUAAGUUAUUUUAUCUCUGUGGGCCUAUGAUAUAUAGGUCACAAAAGAAUUCAUAGGGCUUCCAAUUUGCCUGUUGUUAGAGGCCUAGAAUCAUUUCAUGGACACCACAGAUGUCUAGUAGAGCAGAAAGCCCUACCAAAAUCCAUCUGCCUAUGUAGAAGACAACCUUUAGAGCCACAGGAUAGGUCAUGGGUUUGGAUCUUCAUUGCCCCUCCUUAAACACCUCAAGCCGGGAGUGUGGAGGAGGGAGAGAAACAGGUUUCUGUAAUCUCCCCACUUGCCUCACCUGCCCCUCAUUUGCCAGCCCAGCCCUAUGCCCACUCCCAUCCCACACUGGCUUAUUAAAAACAAGGUCACUUUCCUCAGAGGGAAAGACACCCUUUCAUCUACUGGUCAAUGGACUUACAUACUCCUUUGUGAAAGUGGAAAAUGAGACAAAGAAGGGAAAAAUCUGUGCAGGACCCUGGUGUUAUGGGACAUAGUCUGCUUUGUGGAAGCCAUCACUCCCAGCAGGAAAAAAAAAAAAAAAAAAAGCAUGACAUAGCAAUGUGUAUAUUCCACAUUAAAUUAAUUGGGCAGUGAGCCCCUUGUUAAAAAAUUGCUGGAUAGACAAUCUCAUUAACAUUUCCAAGUAUUGAUUGACUCUGAUAAGUAAGGAAAAGAAAGAUUGAUGAGAUUCCCAAACUCAGCAUUCCACAUGUAGAGCAAAGCAAGACUAUGCCAGUGAACAUGACCUUUUGCUUUUUAAGGAAACAGACAUUCUAUCCUGGCCACCAAAUGAGGAGGACACUUAGUAUUACUCCCUGUAUGGGGCCAAGGCUCCCUUCUAAUUUUCUCUUUUUUGUUGUUUUUCCAUAUCUGACUUCUUUGUUCCUGCCCUUUACCCUCAAUCAUAAAUGUAAGACAGCUCACCUAAUAAUGAAAAACUCCUUUCCUAAUAAGGCACAGGGCCAGAGUGGUAGAAUUGGAAGGAAACUCAGAAGCAUUGAAUUCACCCUUCUGGUUUUUGAAAUAAAGAAAGUGAGGCCCCCCAAAAUAAAGUGGACUUACUGAGUAUGGAGAUGGUAGGGAUGGAAGCAAGUGGUGGUUCAUGUAGUGUUAGUCCGUUUACAGGGUGUUAUCACAUACGUGAUCUCAUAAAAACCUUUGAUGUAGGUGAUAUUAUUAUGAUUUUUUUUUACAGGUGAGGAAACUGAGACCCAGAAAAUUCUCCCAAAAAGGGAAAGCGCACUUUCCCUUUUCAUCAGGGAAACUGCCAUGACAAAACCUAGUAAUUCUGAAAUGCCAAACUCUGCUCUGAAGGGCAAGGCAUUCAAAGAUUGAGAAGAUGCUGCCCGUGUGCUUACAUCUGUUAGGGGCAGGUUGUCAAUCUUCCCACAAGGCUACACGCAGGGCACCCUAAUGCUGUUGAAACAUCACCUGACCCCUGCAAGGACUGAGUUUCAUAUAGCCAUUUGAUGCCCUCUAAACAUGGUUAUGUGGAAACCCUAGAAAAGGCCAGCUCUUCUGCAGAGGUAUCUACAUCUUUAAACCACCCAAAACUAAGAGUCUCUGUAAUGUGAAAGGUGAAUGAAUUAAAGUUGUCUCAAGAUUAUGAAGGCAUUCAUAUGAUUUUUGUCUUUCUCUGACUAAUUUCACUUAGCAUAAUACCCUCCAGUUCCAUCCAUGUAGUUGCAAAUGGCAAGGGAAAAAAAAAGAUUAUGAAGGCAUUCAGACUUUAAUUGGGAACAGAGGCAGGAUGGGGAUGAACUCUUCUCAUCCUUUUACUGUUCUUUGUGACUAGCACCCACCUCUAUGACCCUGCCUUUUCAAGUGACACUGACAAGUAUCUACUCUUUUUUCCCCUGUUUUAGUCAUGUAGAAAGAAUCUGAUCACCAACUAGAUCAUGCUUUCAGGGAUGGUGAAAAAAUCAUUUGGAACUUCUGUUCAUCUAAGAUAAGGGUCAGCAAACCACGGCUCACAGGCUAACUCCAGCCUGCUGCCAUUUUUGUAGGCUCAUGAGUUAAGAAUAAUUUUUACAUCUUUAAAUGGUUGAAAAAAAUCAAGAGAAGAGUAAUAUUUCAUGCCAUGUGAAUCUAAUAUUAAAUUUAAAUUUCAGUGGCAAUAAAAUUUUACUGGAACGCAGACACUUUUAUCAUUUACAUCUUGUUUAUAGUUGCUUUUGUGCUGCAACAAUGGGGUUUGGUAGUUGCAACAGAGAUUAUAUGGCCUGCACAGCUUAAAAAUAUUUACUGUUUAGCCUUUAACAGAAAAUCUUUGCCAGCCCCUGUCUAAGAGCACUAAUCACACUGUAUGAGACUGGUUCUAUUCAUAUCCACCUCCUAAACUAGACUUUUAAGCUUAUGAAAGGCUCCACUGUGCUUAGAAUGAAACUCUACUUUUGGUUGGCACUCUGUACAUGUUUGUAGGAUGAAAAGAAAAGUGAAUAAAUGAUGUGGGCUUGGGCAAGUCAGUUCCCAUUUCUGGGCCUUAGUUUCCCCUUUUGUGAAAUGAAAGAGUUGGCUAACAUGACAUUGGUCCCGUCUAGCUCCCGUCUAGCUUUAAGGUUACUGCAGCCAAAAAUAAAUAUUAUGCUCAGUUCAUUGAAUCUUCUGUUUUAUAACUUCGGGUUCUCCCUUAGUGACUUUCAGAAUAUUGGCUGGUUUCUCAGGUCUUUCAGUACUGUGAAGGGGGUACCCUUACUAGCUAACUUUACUGGAGCAUUUGAUGCUAGUGCUGUGUGCAUUGCCUACCAUGUGAAAAUUCAUUAUAAAUCAGCAACUUCCUUUUCUUCAUGGCUGCCUGUCUUAUGUGAGUGUAGCAACAUGAACAAAUUUCUCAGGGCCUGGUCACUAUUAAGAAUCUGAACAUGUGGAUGAGUCUCAAAGAGAACACACUCUGGAUUUAUGGCCCCCCCUUUCCCCCUCCAUCAAGAUGCAUCCACAUGGCCUAGAAAACAGCCAUCUGCCAUCACUUAGAAAAAUCUCACUACUUAGAAAAAUUUAGUACUUGGAAAAUAGUGGCAUUUUCAAACCAAAUGGAUAUAAAAGUUCUCCUCAAAACCUCUUAAGUACACAGGGCCAUGUUCUCAGGUGGUGUUUAGUGGACACCGUCAUGGCACAAGGCUGUGGCCUGAUAUGUUAUCAGUGGGAUUUGAUUUGAGUAGUUAUCCUGCACUGUUUCCUCCCAGAAAGGUAAUUGUGUCUCCCCAACCCCAUCACUAUUAAGGGGACAGAAAAUCUUAGAAUCCAGGCACAUAUGACAUGAGGAAACAUGCUUACAGCAAAUAUGACCCGAUGAAGUCUUCCUGUGCAGCAGCCAAGACCAACCCUCAUGCACCAGAUGAAAUUUGUUUUCUGGAUUUUUCUGUUGCCUUUUCUACUUCUUCCCCCAGGUUGCUAACACUGUCCAUUCUAUCUCAGACCUCUGCUAUGAUGUACCAGGCAUGGGAAAUACUCAAGCUUUUAGUUCAGUAUCUCCUUUCCUUUUCUCUUUUAAAUGAAGGAUAGAGAGGUAUAGUGAAAAAGUGUAAAGCACUUAGAAUCAUAUUAGUCUGAGACCCAACUCCUCCACUCAUUGGUGGACUCUCAGUUCUUAUUUGCUUAAUGAAGAUAAUACUUAUUACCUACCUCUACUUAUCACCCAGAAUCCCUUACAGACAAGGACCAUGCAUUAUUUAUUAUUCUUUUUAUCUUGCAGUACACAGUACAUAGCAUGCAGUAGAUCCUUGACAAGUGUCUGAGCAAAAUUGAACUGACUUUAUACAUAAUUUUACAUGGAUCAUGACAUGUGGAGUGUUUGAGCUAAAAGGAAUUCAAAGACCUCUUCAGUUCACUUGUAGCAAAUAGGAACUUCUCACUUCUGUGCUAAAUGGUCCAAACAGUCACCAUUUUCUUUCCAGCUGAGUGUCUUUUUUUUUUUUUUUUCCACCUGAACUUCACAAUUUUCAACAAAGUUCUCUGGAAGGCCACUACCAUUUGACUGAAAUUAUCACUGGAGGGAAAAAAAUUUUAGGUACAAUUCUGGAUUGAGUUCAACUUCUACUUUAUGAAUGAAAAAACCUAGACCUAGGGAGUUGAUAUGAUUUGCAAAGGUCACAGGACUAAUUGCAGAGUGAGUUGGAACUAGAAUAUAGGUCUCUAGGUUCUUUAUCCAGUGCUCUAUCUACUACAUAACAUUUGUGUUCUGAUAUAAGUCUCAGUGCCUUCCAGCUAGCUCUGGAGGAAAUGUCUAGCAAGGACAAAUGAAUGUGGGAGAGGUAGGUAUAAAGGAGGGCCUUAGAGUCAGGUAGCUGUCUCCCUGUCAAUUCAGAAGGUAAGUUAUUCAGCAACUUUCACUGAAGGCCUCUUUCAGGCAAAGGUGCAAGGCCCCAGAGAUCUAGAUGAAUGAAAUAAGGACUUUGCCCCAGGACUUAUAGACCUGUAAACAAACAGUGAAAAAUAAAACAGGAUGAUAAGUGAGCUAACAGAGAUAUGCUUAGAACCCUCCAAGGGCCAGAGGGCAUGACCCAGAGAAGUCAAGAAUGGCUUAACUGAGGAAGUAACUUCUGAGCUGAUUCUUCCAAAAGGAGUUAUAGUUCUGCAAAGCAAAGAAAGGAAAGGGUGUUCCAUCAGAAGGAAGGGUCUAGAAAGAACUUGGCACACAGAGAGACUAGCAAAAAGUUCUUCAUGGAAGGAACAUCAAUGUGUGGUAAAUGGGGGAGGAGAGGGGAGGAAAUUAAGGGCAGUGUCAGGCAAGGGACCUGGAGAGAUAAGCAAAAGCAAUCUGCUUUGAAGGAGUCUACAAAGGGUGACAAGACAUAUAUGUAAACAAUUAAAACAUAGGAGAGAACGAUCCAGUACUUUUCAGACCACCAAAGGAAGUGCAGGGGAGUCAGAGAAGGGAGACAUGAUUUCCCACUAGGGGUUACAGAGACUAUAUCACUGAAUAGUCAGGCAGAGUUAAAAGUUAAAAUCAAUUUGAAUUUUUUGGGAUUCAAAUAGAAGUUAAAGAUCUGCAGUAUAAUUACAUACCCAGUCAUGUUCUUUUUGGAUCAUAUCUUUAACUUAAUGAACCAGAUCCUAAAUCCCAACAUACUGCCCAGUGGCUUCCCCCUUCCCAUUAUAUAACAUGUUGUGUAUUUUGUUCACCAUUCUAUCGCCAGCACCUAGAACCAUGUCUGGAACCUAAUAGGUAUCAAAUAAAUAUUUGUAGAACCAGUCUUUCAGUUGAUGUGUUUCAACCACAUACACUAGAUUUUUCAAUGUCUUUAAAAUACCCUGUCUUUGGGGCAGCUGACUGGCUCACUGUGAAAAGCAUCCAACUCUUGAUCUCAGGAUUGUGAAUUCGAACCCCAUGUUGGGUGUAGAGAUUACUUAAAAAAUAAAAUCUUAAAAAAAUACUCCUUUCCUUUAGUUGCCAUUAGUAUGACUGUAUUUGUAAUACAUCUAGAGUUCUGACUUAGAAAAUAUGGUGACAAAACUCAUAGACACAACAUAAGAAAACUUCAUUCUCGUUGUCAUAAACUCCCUAUGCCAGGGGAGUAUUUGGGAAGGAGGUGGGAAGAGAAUGUAGUCUUGUGUAGAGCACACCAUUUCUGGGCUGGAGGCCUCAGCCGCUCCCUUCUGCAUGGUUGGCUGCCCAUGUAGUCUCAGACCAGGGCAGCCCCUCCAUCUCGUUCUUUGCUCGCUGAACACACAGGCUUGGGAGUCUUGGAUGAAAGUAGAAAGCAUUAGCAUCUUGGAAAGGAUGUAGCUGGGGUGCUUGUGGCCUCGUUUGGGUCUUUCCAAACAAGUUUCUGGCUCUUCUAUUGGGAGAGGGAAUCUUCCACAUCUGCAGAGAUGAAGGAGUGUGUUGUUACAAACUUAGCAUCUUCCCAACACUCCUUGAAAUAUAACAUUUAAUAUGCUUGAUUAUCACUAUCAAACGGAUCAUCAGUGAAAACCAUUACCAACCCUAUAAUGUUCUUCCUUUUCUCCUCCUUCUCUCCUUCCUUUCCCCCUCCCCUUUUUCUUCUUCUUCACCUUAUUCUUCUCUCUUUCCUCCUCCUCCUCCUCCUUCUCCUCUCCUUCUUCUUCUGUCCUUCCAUUUUUGUUUAGUUUUAUAUUCAAAUGUCAAAAUUACUGGGUGCGCAUAGACUUAUUUGUUCGUUUGUUUGUUUAUUGAGUUGAGGAAGAGGCUUGUGUUGUAUCCUGUAUCCUGACUUUUCACAGUUUAUCUCUAUCUCCUGGAAAUUUUUGCAUCCCUUCUGUAUUUAGAAAGCAAUAGAGAAGCCUGUCUUAAUGGUUUCACCAUUCUUCCAUUCACCCAAAAUAUAACUCCUUAGAACUAUGUCCUCCAUUUUUCUCACCACUUCAUUCUUUUUAUUUUGUAUUUUUUAAUGUUUAUUUUUGAGACAGAGACAGAAUGCGAGUGGGUUAGGGGCAGAGAGAGAGGGAGACAGUAUCGGAAGCAGGCUCCAGGCUCCAGCUGUCAGCACAGAGCCCGACGUGGGGCUUGAACUCACAAGCCGUGAGAUCAUGACCUGAGCUGAAGUGAGACACUCAACUGACUGAGCCACCCAGGGGCCCCCUCUCACCACGUCAUUCUUGAGUCCUGUUAAUACUACCCCAAAGUAUUCUCACAUGUAUCUCCUCUCAUCUGGCACCUUGACACUCUCAAUCUGGGUUGUUCCAACAGCUUCUUAACUGACCUCCUUGACUCCAAGAUCUAAUCAGACCAGCCUUUACUCUACUCCCUAAAUCAUGUUAGACUGUGACACUGUCUUCCUCUGAAGUCAUGGGCGACUCCUCAUCAUAUAGGGAAUAAAAUACAAAAUUUUGUGCAUGCUAUUCAGGACCACACUGAGUCUUGACAGUGCUUUACCAGCCAACCUUUGGAAACGAAAAAUCAAUAACAGGAAAAAUAAAUUUAUAAAAUAAACCAGAUAUAUUACAUAAAAAGUGUUGCCCAAAAAUCCACUGCAAAAAAAAUAUGUGAAUACAUGUAAAUAGGUAGAUGUGUGUGUGUGUAUAUAUAUAUGUAUGUAUAUGUGUUUGCACAGUGUUGUAAGUGAUUAUUAAGGUUUCUAGGCAAGCCCAUAAACGUCUAUUGAAUAUAUAAUUGUAGGCAAACUACUAUGCGUGUGCAAUUUUUUAAAAAUUACUCAGCAAUGCCAAUAAAUACUACAGGAAAAUCACUAAAAUUUUAAAUUAUUUUUAAGAAAUAGAUCUUGACUACUGGCCCUUGGGGUGACACGAUGGACAGACAACUCCACUUGUCUUAAUAAGUAACAUUAACUACAUGCUUACAAUAUGCCAACCCAUGUUAGAAGACCUUUGCAAGCAUUAGCAUUUCAAGUAUUUGAUGUCACAACAACCUUAUAAAAUAGGUAUCAUUUUCCCCACUUAGCAAACAAGGAAAGUGAAUCACAGGGAAGUUAAAUAACUUUCCAAGGUCACACAGAGAGUGGUAAUAGAGGAAUCUGAACUGAGGCAGUUUGGUUCCAAAGCUCUCAAUCUGAAUGACAACCCUAGAUUAAGAACCACUAGAGAGUCCUCUGGAAGAGGCAGGGCCAGUUAAUAGUGGGGGAUGCACAGGAAGUGUCUAAAGCUGACAGCAAGUGACUGGCUAGGGGCAAAGCUGGGUAGUCAGAAUUGGGUACUGGGUAUAUGACAUUUUGUUAAGGUCAUUUUGAUGCUAGUGCUAUUUUGACAUUCACACUUAAUUCAUUUCUAUGAAGAAUAAAGCAUUAAACUUUCAACUUUUAAAAAAUCAUCAAGUACUCUGUGCAGUAGAAACUGAUCCUAAUGACAGGAUGAACUGAGUCUCAUCAGCGAUUCAAGGCUAGAGCUGGAGUCAGAGAUGUGGUGGGAGAUGAUGAAGCCUAAAAAUGGGGUAGGGUUGUCACACGCAUUUGUUCAUUUUCUUUUUAAGUGAUUGGCUUGAUAAUUUAGGAUUACAGAAUGUCCAUGGUGUCAAAGUGUUCUCAAAAAAAAAAAAAAAAGAAAAGAGAAAAGAAAAGAAAAAGAAAAGCAAAGAAAAAGGCUCUACUUCAAAAAAGGACUUGCAGGAGGAAGAGGUUAAACAGUGAGUGCUAACCACAGCCUGCUUUGGGCAGAAGCAGAAGGAAGCCUCCAGCCAAGUAAUGGAAGGAGAGUCUCUUUCUGUUCUGGUUGUCACAAAGGGCAAAGAAUCAAAACAUCACUUUUGCAAUGGAUGAGUUUACAAAAUUGCAGGAAGUGUGACAAGACUUAAAAGACAAGACACAUUUUUUUUAAGAGUUCAGCUUUUCACUGGACAGGUUACAGAAGAGGUUAGUGAAAAAACCAAAGCCCAUGUCAUCAUCACACUCUUCCGAUUCUUCUUUCUUUGCUUCCACCUCCUUCUCGCCAGCUGGGGCAGCGGUGGUGGAGGGGGUGGGACCUCCCGCUGGUGCAGUGCCAGCUGCUGGGACAGGUCCACCAGCCCCUACACUGCAGAUGGGGCUCCCCAUGUUGACACUGGCCAGGGCCUGCGUUUGCAAACAAGCCUGGCCAGAAAGGUUCAGCAUUUACACCUGCUGCUUCAGUGAGGGCGUUGUUAUCCUCUGUGACUGUCACUGCAUCAUGGUACAGGUUGAGGGCUGAGGAGAUGCUGGCAAGCUGUGAGAAGGAGGCUAUGGGCCGGUGAGCGCUGCGCGGGUGCUGCUGGGCACAGUGCUAGUCACCGGGUGAAGUGAAGGCCUCACCCCAACACACACUUAGCUUCCCCAGAGAGACCCAGGACCUUAGUGGCAGCUGAGGAAAGGCAAGACAUAUUUGUUAAACAUCUUUGUACAGUAUCUUUUUGCUGUGGAGGAUUUCCCAUCUGAAAAUUGGGAUUACUUGAGAAAGUGGCAUCACUUCUGGUAUUACCCAUGGAUCAAGACAAAGUAUUGUGAGAUAACAAGGGUACAGAGCCGGGUUCAAUUCUGGGCUCUACCGUUUGCCAACUGUAUGUCUUCAGGCAAAUCUCAGCCUCUCUGAACCUCAUUUCUUGCUUUCAUUGAUUAAAAGGGAGUAAUAACAUUACUUAAGUCUUGAAGUUGUUGUGGUCCUUGAAUUGUGCCUCAGCCAGUCAGCAUUCAGUAAAUAUUUAUCAAAUGGCAAGAGUGGUUAGUAGCAUUAUAGCUGAAUAUUUUAUUUUGCUUUUCUCUAUUUCUUAAAUUUUCUACCAUAAAAUUUUGCUUUUGUAAUUAGAAACAAAAACAUAUUAUUUUAUUUAUUUGUUUGUUUGUUUGUUUGUUUAAGAAAGAGAGAGAGAGAAUUCCCAAGCAGGCUCAUGCUCCACACAGAGCCUGAUGCGGGGCUUGAACUCACGACCCUGGGAUCAUGACCUGAGUCAAAACCAAGAGUCAGCCAUUCAACCGACAGAGCCACGCUGGUGCCCCAAAACUUAAUCUUUAAAAAAAUUUUUUUCAACAUUUAUUUCUUUUUCAGAGAGAGAGAGAGAGAGAGAGAGAGAGGGCAGUUGAGGGGCAGAGAGAGACACACACACACAGAAACCAAGGCAGGCUCCAGGCUCUGAGCUGUCAGCAAAGAUCCCGACACAGGGCUUGAACUCACAGAGGCCAAAGUCAGAUGCUCAACCGGCUGAACCACCCAGAUGCCCCUAAACUUACUCUUUUUUAAAAAUGACAGAUGCAAUUUCUCACAUUUUCACAUUUGCUCUCCCCACCUUUGUCUCCUUCAUGUCCCUUUCUGCUAUAUAUAAAAACGGGUCCUCUCCACACAGCAAUAUUCAGAAGAUGCUAUGAGAUGUCAGUUAUUCUCUAUACUCCAUCAUGGCUUUAAGGGGGUCAGCUCAGUGAACCCAGACCUGCAGCAAGGCUGAGAUCAGUGGUAGUUCAGUGCCAUGGUUGCUCUGUUCUCUUCAUUACACAUCGAUCUCCAUCCUGCCAUUCCCUCAGUCUCUCAGUCUGCUGGAUGCUCCUAGCCCCUGCCAGGCCUUAGGGAGCUCCAUUUUUUUUUUUUUUUAUUCUACUGGUUUCAUUCAUUCAGUACCAAGGCCUAGAGACAAUGACAAGAUGUAGGAGUCAAGCCUCGCAUUUGGUCUUUGGAAACCAAGGAGAGUGUGGGUGAGGGUAUUAAAUAAAGCAAAGUUCUGGCAGAAAACCAGCUUCUAAUCUUGAAGUAUCCCCUGGUUCUCUUCUUUUCUUUGUAAUUUUAGGUUUGUGGGUCCCAGAUCUCCAUAUUUGCCUUCUGGAGCUGCCUUAGCAAUAAGAAAAGAUAUUCAUCUUUUUAAAGCUGAAUUACACCAGCUCCUGAAACAUUCUUGCAUCAGGAAGCAUAACCAGGGGACUCUGUCACAUUUGAAGCUACCUGGUCUGCCCACGCUCUCAUGCAGUGGGCUUAUUCUCACACAAGGAGGUAGGGGAAGAGCCUAAGGGCCAGGAUCUUUCUGAGUGUGUGGCCUUUUCCGGGAGUACAAGGUAUGGUUCAUCAGCUUCCUCUCAAAAGCCACUCCUGCUUGCUGGUUCCUAUUUCAGCAAACAUCACUGCCAUCCACCCAGCUGCCUAGGUUAGAAAUCUACAAGUUGUCCUUCACCACCCCCACCCCCAUUUCACACCCCAUGUCCAAUUACUGCUUUAAGUGGCCCUUGAAGUCAUUUGCUUUUCUCCAUUUCUGCUGCUAGUUAAGACAACCAUGCCCUCCUGCCUCUAUAACUGGUAUCCCCUAGAUAGGAUAGUUGUUUGAAUGCUUGAUAGCCCCAGAUGACAUCUAGAGAGGAUAAGGAACAUGUAAAGAUCACACAGGCAGUGACAGCAGAUUCAGAGGAGAAUCCAGGCUUUCUGGUCCCAAGUUAAGCACUGCUGCUGGAGACUAUUUGUUCACUAUAUAGUUGACCUUUCAACAAUGAAAGGGUUAGAGCCAACCUCCCACACAAUUGAAAAUCUGCAUAUAACUUUUGACUUAAAAAUUACUAGUAGCCUAGAAGCCUUGUUGAUAGGAUAACAAUCAUUUUUUAUACUAUGGUAUUAUAACUGUACUCUCACAAUAAAGUGAACUAGAGAAACAAAAAUGUUAUUAAAAUCACAAAGAAGAGAAAAUACAUUUAUAGUACUAUAGUACUCUAUUAAUUGAAAAAAAACCGCUUGUAAGUGAACCCACACAGCUCAAACCUGUUGUUGUUCAAGGGCCAACUGUAUUGUCUUGUUUUGUUAUUAGGUUUAUUUAUUUAUUAUGAGAGAGAGAGAGAGCGCGCGCGUGCACUUGUGCAUGCUGUGAGCAGGGAAGAGACAGAGAAAAGGGGAGAGAGAGAGAGAGAGAGAGAGAGAGAGAGAGAGAUUCCAAGCAGGCUCUGCGCUUGUCAGGGCACAGCUGGGUGUGGGCCUUGAACCCACAAAUUGUGAGAUCAUGACCUGAGCUGAAAUCAAGAGCCAGACGCUUUACUGACUAAGCCACCCAGACCCCCAAGGGUCAACUGUAUUGUAUUGAGAUCUUGAUUGGUGCUAGACAGAUUAAAUCAUUGUCUCCCUCUGGGGUUUCUCCAUUGUCACCUCCAGGGGUGACUUCCCAUGUUGGAUUAUGGUUUUCAGCCUAAUUUAUGUCCACAUCACUCCUGUACAUUCUCAACUGCAGAUAGAGUAGGGCAUUUCUUAGAGCCCUGCCAGCCCUCUCAUUCCAGCAUUCUACAAGUUGGCUUCUGCAUGGUCUACUCACAAAUAGCUUGUGAGCUAGUGAGGCCAACAGAAAAUACACACAUUGAAGCACUUCUCCCAAGGAAAAGAUUCUAUGUGAGUGCAAUAUUUAAAACACAAAGUGGAAGGACGCCUGGGUGGCUCAGUCGGUUAAGCCUCCAACUUUGGCUCAGGUCAUGAUCUCAUGGUUCGUGGGUUCGAGCCCUGUGUCGGGCUCUGUGCUGACAGCUCGGAACCUGGAGCCUGCUUCAGAUUCUAUGUCUCCGUCUCUAUCUGUCCCUCCCCUCCUUAUGCUCGCUCUCUCUCUCUCUCUCAAAAAAAUAAACAUUAAAAAAAAAACCACACCAAUAAAUAGAAAUGCUUCCCUCUAGCAUUUCCAUAUAGGAAAGGGGAACAGGAAAGGUGAUCUGGUUCAGCUUUCAUUCCUAGCACACUCCAUAACUUCUUGUGAAGUCAGUGCUCAGAGCAUGAUAGGUUCCCCAGUGUGCCCAGGAUUCCAACUGAUUCAUUCAACACAGGUUACUAAAGGUAUACUAUGUGCCAGACAUGGUGCUGGGUGCACGGAACACAAUGCUGUAUCACAUAGACAAAUAUCCUGCUUUAGGGGACCUUAUAGGCUAAUGGAAUCUGACCUAAGCUAUUACCUAAUUUUCUUUUAAAUAUAUUCUUACCUGGAUAUCAUCUUUACAAAUUUCAAAUACAUGAUUAUAGAAUCAUAAUAUUCUAGGAGAUAAGGAGAUAUUCAUUUAGCCUAGUGUCUUUCUCCCCUUAGCCAAUGCUUAAAUCCCUUUUACAAUAUCAUUGUCAAAUGAUCAUGUGGUCAUUUGCCAACAAUGGGAUUCACUACCUCCAAGGUGAUCUAUUUCUAAACAGCACAAGGAGUUACAAUGUUCUUCCCUAUAUCAAACCAAAAUUGGUUUCCCUAAAGUUUGCAGUGCAUUCUGGCCUUUGGGCCUACACACUCAAGACAGUCUCUUCUGCUCUGAGUCGGCCUUGGGUAUGAAAGUAUGGUUACUAUGUCCCCGAGGCAUUCUCUUCUCCAGACCAAACAUCUCCAUUUCCCCAUAAAUACGGUUUCAAACUUCUUCUCUGGUCAGAUGGGCAACAGAGCUACUUCUUCGCAUUCUGUGAAAGCAUGAAAAGCAUCUUACAUAAACAAUAUUAUUCGCCUUGAUUCUCCCAUGUUAAGCUCAGAGAUCAUGUGACCAUAAAGCAAAUUUCUUCCAACCCUGCAAUACCGCAUCUCAUCCAUAAUUCUGCAGAUAGAUUUGAAACAAGCAGGCCAACUUUAUUAUUCACAAACCAGAGCAAUACUAUUGAGCUGUCAGGAUUGUUGUAUUAAAAGUGAUAAUGGGGGCGCCUGGGUGGCGCAGUCGGUUAAGUGUCCGACUUCAGCCAGGUCACGAUCUCACGGUCCGUGGGUUCGAGCCCCGCGUCGGGCUCUGGGCUGAUGGCUCAGAGCCUGGAGCCUGUUUCCGAUUCUGUGUCUCCCUCUCUCUCUGCCCCUCCCCCGUUCAUGCUCUGUCUCGCUCUGUCCCAAAAAUAAAUAAAAAACGUUUAAAAAAAAAAAAAGUGAUAAUGAAUGUUAAAUAUUUCAACAAAUAUUGAUGUAACACCCAUCAUGUACUGGAUGGACGCUCUGCUAGACUCUGAGUAUAAUACAGUCCUGAAGAUGAUAGGGAAGACCUUUACCUUUAUGGAGCUUACAGCCUAGAGACUGAAUAUGAGCAGCUCUCCAAAGGCCAUAUGGUUUAACCUGAAGCCAAGCUCAAACUCUCCUAGAAGGCGGUUUGAGUUCUCCCUUCCACUGACCUAAGCUAGAAGCUCAAAAAUGGUAACACUGUUAUGAUUAUCAUCAUAAUGAACAUAGAUAUAACCACAUUAAUGCCAAUAAAACCUUUGGGUGUUAUAAUUUCCUUAUGAGAAUAAUGCUUUUAGAAAGAGAGCAAAGACCAUUCAUUUCUUAUGAAUAAUAACCAUUAUAUCUCAGAUUGUCUCAUUUUCUCCUCCUAGAAACCACAUAUUUCCUAUAAAUCAAGGAGUUUUAUAAUAAAUGAUCUGAGUUAGCUUCCACACAGUGACUGUUUAUUCAAAUCUGGAUUACUUGAGCAAACCGAAUGAGAGAUUCUAGAGUGCAGAACAGCUUCAUCAAGGAAGGUGCAGCUGCACUUACAGGUACAAAGCCAGACCCCCUUCCCCCUUCCAUCUGUCUGCUGGAGUGAUUAUCCUGUCUGUAAAGUCGUCUUCAGCCAUCUUCUUACCCAGCACGCUAUGCAUGACAGGGUGUGCUUCCAACAUCAAAGAGGCUUUCAGCUUUUCCAAAAGCUGUGUCUUCAGUUCCUUAUUUUAUAUCAUAAUUUUUUCAGCCUUUGGUCAAGCAGCUGAUAGAAAUGGAAGAGUUAUUUAUUGUAAAACAUAUAGUCGCUGCAUAUUUAAAACCACUGAUCUUCCUGUUUCUCUGUUACCAUCAGAUAAUCCACCGUCUUGGGUGGGGUGAACAUGAAACCACCACAUAAUAUCUCACCAGGGGAGGGGAGUGACCACAGGAUGUCAUCAUCUGUGUCAGAAGAGUGGCAAAUAUUUAGCAAAUAUCUCACAUUUGCAUAUCUAAGAAGUGCUCCACGUCAACACCAUACUGCUGAAAUAAGAGUUAAAAUCUUUUUCAUUAAGCCUCCUCCACUGACCCUAUAUGCUGACAAGAUUUUUUUUAGUACUAUUUAUGUUUUGGUGUAUUAAUCAUACUAAUAUUUAUAGUGACUAAUACUUGUUAUCUACAAUUAGCCUAGCAUCCUGCUUGGCAUGUACUUUAUCUCGGUUAAUCCUUACAGCAAUCUUUUGAGGUAAGAAUCUCCUCUUUUUUUCAUGUGAAAAACUGGUUCAGAGAGGGUAGGUGGCUUGCUCAAGCUAAUUUAAUUAAUAAGUACAAGUGCUAGGCCCAGUAGAGUGCUCAUUUCCUUUUACUCCCUUAACCCACCACCCCAAACACACGAAUCCCAAUCCAGAGUAGAGGGUGCCACGCUCAGAGCGUCCUUCCUUGCCUACUUGUUCACUCCCUCCCAUUGUUUGUGUCCUUUUCUAUCCCCUGCAUAGCAUUUCAGUUCCUGCAAGGGAAAGAGAAGUCAUUAAUCUUUGUGUUCCUCUCCAGAGACCACAGCAUAGUAGCUCUCAAUAAGUACAUUUUAAGUGAAAACACACACAAUGCUAUCACUAGAACUCCUGACUCCUACUUCAAAAUUACAGAAAGGCUUGGGAAUGCAAGCUGGUGCAGCCACUCUGGAAAACAGUAUGGAGGUUCCUCAAAAAACUAAAAAUAGAACUACCCUAAGACCCAGCAAUUGCACUACUAGGCAUUUAUCCAUGGGAUAUAGGUGUGCUGUUUCGAAGAGACACAUGCACCCCCAUGUUUAUAACAGCACUAUCCACAAUAGCCAAAGUAUGGAAAGAGCCCAAAUGUCCAUUGAUGGGUGAAUGGAUAAAGAAGAUGUGGUAUAUACAUAUAUAUAUUAUAUAUAUAUAUAUAUAUAUAUAUAUACAAAGAAGAUGUGGUAUAUAUAUAUGUACAUAUACAUGGUAUAUGUGGUAUAUAUAUGUACAUAUAUAUAUAUAUACACACACACAUAUAUAUAUAUAUAUAUAUAUAUAUAUAUAUACACAAUGGAGUAUUACUCGGCAAUCAAAAAGAAUAAAAUCUUGCCAUUUGCAACUACAUGGAUGGAACUGGAGGGUAUUAUGCUAAGUGAAAUUAGUCAGAGAAAGGCAAAAAUCAUAUGACUUCACUCAUAUGAGGACUUUAAAAGACAAAAGAGAUGAACAUAAGGGAAGGGAAACAAAAAUAAUAUAAAAACAGGGAGGGGGACAAAGCAUAAGAGACUCAUAAAUAUGGAGAACAAACAGAGGGUUAUUGGAGGGGUUGUGGGAGGGGGGAUGGGCUAAAUGGGUAAGGGGCAUUAAGGACUCUAAUCCUGAAAUCAUUGUUGCACUAUACUCUAAUUAAUUUGGGUGUAAAAUUAAAAUUAAAAAAUAAAAUAAAAAAAUAAAAUAAGUUUAAUUAGUGUAGGUGCUACAUUUAUUUUAGUUGUAAUGUAUUAUUCAAAGUAAUUACAUGUCAAAUGAUAUGGAGUUUAUAUAUUAAAAUUAUUUUUGAUAUGGGGAAGCUUUAUUAUUUUAAAAUUAAAAACAGAUUGAUCAUUAGAUUAAAAUAUUAUUAUGAAACAAUUUUUUGAGAAAUCUUAAAUGUUUUAUAAUUCCAAAAAUCAUUUGAUAGUCAACAAGUUGCUUAUUAUUGGAUUUACUUCACCUUUUGUAAGUUUGUUGAUAAUCAGUGUGUGUUUAUAUGGGAGUAAUUCUAUUAUGUCUCAAUUUUUCAUGCAUUUUACUUAAUAUUUUAAACUACACUGUUGAUUUAUGGCUCUAGGAUGAAACUGACCUAGAUUUAUGUCACAAUGUAUUUAUAAGAGAGGGAAAAUAUUUUCAUCAAUGCAAAGGGUAUUGUAGUGGGACUAAUAAUAAUAAAAUACCCAGUAAGUAGCAUCAAAUCAAAUCAAAUCAAAUCAAAUUGCUCAGGGUAAAAAAAAAAAAAUUACAGAAAGGCUUUCAUUUUGAAAUUAAUAAUGAAUCAAAGCAUCUUAUUGAGCCUGUGUGAUAGUAGCCAUAGUGACUAAACAAUAAAACUGCGUUUUUUAUUGCAGCUCCAAACUGCACAUCCUUCAGCUGUCUGAAGCCACUUGAGAGGAUAAAAUCCUCUCAUCCUUAGUGUGACCCUCAAAAGUAGUUGAGCAGAGACAUGGAUGGAGGAAUUUGCUGCUCUGCACAAAUAAAGAAGUUUCCCCACACUUAUAAGAAACUGGUGGGACUCAUUGUGCAGAACACAUGGGAGGAAAGCUCUCCCCUUUAUCCAGGGUUGGCCUCACUUGGAACAGUUGCAGAUUGAGAAACAGAGUUCUUGGCAUUGAUAUUUAAGACUCUGACACCUGAAAGUCAUCAUUCCAGUUGGAAUGGGAGCAACAUGGAACAAAUAGGUGUACAGGGAUCAGCAAGCCAGGAAAGAAAGACUGACAUGGCAAUAACAACUCUCCACAUUUAUAGAGUGCUUCCUGUGUCCCGGGUGCUUACUUACAUUAUUUGUGUUAAUGCUUACAACGGUCUAAGGGUAGGUUCACUUUAAAGAUGUAGAAAUGAAGCUUGGAGGAGUUAGGUAACUUGCUAAGUCCUCUUUGUAGGUAAGUAUAGAGCUGAAAGAAUUGAACUCAAGUCUCUAUGACUCCAAAGUCUAAACUCUCAACCAUUCGUGCUAAUCAUUAACUGCACUUGCCUAACCAUUGAAUCUGUUCUUGGUGACCAAUAAUAGAGGCUAAAUACUAGACACACUGCAUUUUAUUUAUUGCUUUAUUUAAAGCUAAAUGUAUAGUUCUCAUUCUGUAAGAUGAAUGCUAUCAUCCUCAAUCUUUUAGCUGUCAACAUAAUCCCAGGCUACCAACCUUCUCUAAAUAAAAUACAGGGACAUCUGGACUCAGUGUCUUCAAACUGACAAUUUUACUGAAGAAACUGAUCCCCAGAGUGGGCAGACCAGAUAAGCACCAGCCGUUACAGACUUGAGUCUGAUGAAAAAUACUUAUUUCACUUACAUUUGUAGACUGUAUUAUGGCUACCAGGCAAGUCAUAUGUAUUAUUUUAUUUGAUCCUAUGGAAAAUUAUGAGGAAGGUAAGGUAAGUAAUAUUAUCUCUAUUAUACAGAAGGUGAGAAGACAUGCCCAGAAUGAUUACCUUACUAAGUUCUGGUCUUGAGACUCCAAAUCCCCAAUAAAUGAAUUAGCUCUUUUAACCCUUCAGUAAUAUAGAUGGAACUGUGCUCAAAUAUUGACUCUACCACACAUCCCUCUGAGUUUUCAGUUUUCUCCCCUGUCAACUAGGAGAUGAGAAUGUCUGCCUCACAAGAUUGUGAAACUAGAUGAAGUAAUGUAGGUAAAGCCAUUUCAAUAAAGUAGUGAACAGAACAGAUGCAGAUCCUGUUCUCAUGGGCCUUCUAAUCUGGAGUUAGGAGGCAGGGAGUGAAAAACAAACAUUCAAUGAUUACACACUUAACGGUCAAGUUACAAUGAUCAUUAGUGUUAUAAAGGGGAGAGAUAGAACACCAUGCAAGUAUACCAUAGAGUGAGCCAGCCUGCUGUGCGGCUGAGGGAAGGUCUCCCAGGGCAGUGACAGUUAAGCUGAGACCUGAAGGAUGAGUGGCAGUUAGUGAGGCGGUGGGGGUGGGGGGUGGGUACAAAGGGUGUUCCAGGCAUAAGGAGCUGAUUACCGAUGAAGAAGCUUGGUGACCUUGAGAAUCAAAGAAAUGACUUCUGUAGCUGGAGUGUAAGGAGCCCCAGGAAGAAUGAUGCAAAAGGGUGCUGGAGAAAUAGGCAAACUCCAGGCCAUGUGGAGCCUCGCAUGACAAAUUAAAAUUUUGAACUUUAACCUAAGAGCAAUGAGAAAUGAUCAAAGGGCUUUAGACAAGAGGCAACAUUAAAUUUGAGCUUUAAAAAGUCCAUUUCUGGGGUGCCUGGGUGACUCAGUCGGUUGAGUGUUGGAUUCUUAAUUUCAGCUAAGGUCAUGAUCCCAGGGUCGUGGGAUCUAGCCUCACAUCCAGUUCUGCACUGAGUGUGGGGCCUGCUUAAGAUUCUCUCUCUCUCUCUCUCUCUCUCUCUCUUUCUCUCUCUUUCUCUCUCUCUCACCUUCUGCCCCUCUACUCCACUUGCACUAUUUCUCUAAAAUUAAAACAAAAAUUUUUUUAAGUUCAGUUCCAAACUAGGGGAAGUCAGGAUCUUUUUAAAAUCUUUCCUUUCUUUUUUUAUUUUUCUUCAUUAAAAAAAAUUUUUUUAAUGUUUAUUUGUCUUUGAGAGACAGAGACAGACAGAGUGUGAGCAGGAGAGCAGCCAAGAGAGAGGGAGACACAGAAUCCGAAGUAGGCUCCAGGCUCUGAGCUGUCAGCACAGAGCCCAAUGUGGGACCCAAACCCAUAAACGGUGAGAUCAUGACCUGAGCCGAAGUUGGAAGCUUAAAUGACCGAGCCACUCAGGCACCCCUCCUUUCUUCUUUUAAAUUAAUACUUCUUUAGUACCCCUUAUAUUGCAACAGUGAUGUAGACUGCGUGUUUGAAAUACAAAAUGAAAAGACUUAGACCUGGGCAAGUACCAGCUCUUCCCUUUACUACUUUCAGGAUCUAGGACAAGUCACCUCAAAGACUAUCUCUGCUCUUGCCAUCUAACAUGGUUUCUUCUCUUUCUAAGAAAAGUUAACCUCCAAAUCUUAAAAGUGCGUUGAGAAACAGUGUACACAUUUCUGGGAAACUCAUUUAUUUAUUGUUUUUGUUAAACAUUUAUUAAGCAUUAAGCAUGUGCCCAGCAUCAUAUUGGGUACUGGGGGUACAGAGAUGGAUAAGAUAGAGACCCUGCACUUUAAGAACUCACAGUUUGGGAUAGAGGUAGGCGAGACAAAUAAAUAAGUAAUCAUUAUGUUGUACACCUGAAACUAGUGUAACGUUGUAUGUCAACUACGCUCCAAUUUUUUAAAAUUUUUAUUUCUUAUUUUUUUAAGUUUAUUUUUUUAUUUAUUUUGAGAGAGAGAGGGAGAUAGAGAACCAGCAGGGGAGGGCCAGAGAGAGAAGGAGACAGAAUCCCAAGCAGGCUCCACACUGACAGUGUAGAGCCCGAUAAGCAGCUCAAAGUCACGAACUAUGAGAUCAUGACCUAAGUUGAAGUCAAGAGUUGGACGCUUAACCAACUGAGCCACCCAGGCUCCCAAAUUUUAAAAAUUUUAAUGAAAUAAAGAGAAGUGGAAGAAAAUAUAUACAUGCAUAUGUAAAAAGUAGUGACAAUAAAGUAGGAUCUACUACAAGAGAAUAAGCAAGGAAGGAGUUAUUCUCAAGAGCCUAGAGUCAGGGGAAAUUUUUAGUAGAGGUGAUAAGCACAUAGCAUGUGCUUAAUACAUGUGGAGUAGUAAUACAUGUUGAACGAAAAGUUUGAGCUGAGUCUUUUUUCUCCAGCUUUAUUGAUAUAUAAUUGACAUAUAACAUUGUGUGAGCUUAAAAUGUACCAUGUGUUGAUUUGACACACUUAUAUAGUACAAAUAAUUACCACCUUAACAUUAUUAAGCUGAAUCUUAAAAGAUGAGGGGAAGCUUACUGGGCACAAUAAGAGGAGUGGGAAAUGAACAAGAUCCAAGAUACCAAAAAGUGGCUUUUUCAGAUUUAUCAGCAGUCAACUGGAUAGGUUGAAAAGGAGAGAUUGUAGGUGAGAAGACCAAGUGAAAACCUGGGGGCAAUUAAUCCAGGUGAAAGGUGCAGAGGACUUGAUGUUCACUCAGCAGUAAUGGUAGCUGUUUUCUUAGCCCUAAGUUUUACUUGGUAGUACAGCAUGGCUUGUAAGUGUUGAUACAUCUCCUGAUGAAUGGAUGUCUGUUCCCCUUCACAAGGGUAGAGACCAUGUCACCUAUUGAAAUCCUUAUAGCACCUAAUGCUAUGCUUUCUACCCCAUGUGCACCCAUCAAAAGUUGAAUUGAUGGGGCACCUGAGUGGCUCAGUCAGUUAAACGUUGGACUCUUGAUUUUGGCUCAGGUCAUGAUCUCAUGGUUCGUAAGAUCAAGCCACGCAUCAGGUCCUGCACUGACAGCAUGGAGCCUGCUUGGGAUUCUCUCUCUCUCCCUCUAUCCCUGCCCCUUUCUCCUCUGCCCUCAAAAUAAAUAAAUAAACAACAAAAAAAGUUGGGUUGACAGUUGGAUUCACUGAGCUGUGGUGGGAGUGGAGCAGCUGGAACAAGAGAAGUAGGGGAGGACACCCCAUCUGCCCCGCACCAUAGGCAUUCUUCCCUCAUGUAAGGCAGCAUCUUAAACUCAGCCAAACCUACUUAUUGUUUUUCCCCCAAAGCCUGGUAUGUCCUUUCUCUUGUUCAGUUGCCUCCAUCCACUCUAGCUAGAAACCUCAAGAUAAUAUUGGAAACCAAGAAUAAAGCUGGGGCAAAAAAAUCACUUUUCAGGCUUUUAAGAACUAUACUUUGAGGCAUCUGGGUGGCUCAGUUGGUUGGUUGAGCAUCCAACUCUUGAUUUCAGCUCUGGUUAUGAUCCCUGGGUUGUGGAAUCCAGCCGCGUGUCUGGUUCUGCACUGAGCAUGAAGCCUCCUUGGGAUUCUUUCUUUCUCUGCCCCUCUUCCCCACUUGUGCACUCUCUCAAAAAUAAAAAAUAAAAAAUUUUUUAAAUGAACUAUACUUUUUCCUCCAGGAUCUUCAAAAGAUCCUCUCAUUCAUACGUAGAAAGAAGUCAGUGAUCCUAAGAUUCAACAAUGUCCCUUCUCUGAAUCUCCCCUAAAGACACACUCACACAUGUACACAAAGAAGCUCAUAUAAAUGUAUUCUCUAGAAGAGACAAAAAGUGGAAGUACCCUAAAAGUCAAUUGAUACAACACAUGCUAAAUAAACUACGUUCUAUUCAUGACACAAAAUACCAUACAACAGCUUAAAUGAGCGAAGUAGAUCUAUAAGCGUAAAUACAGAAAGCACUCCAAAAUUGAUUGUUUAAGUGAGAAAGGCAAUUUGAAGAAUGAUAGGUCUUAUAUUAUACCAUUGGUGUGAAAAAUAACCACGAAUGAACCAACAACUUGGAAUAGUAAUUUAUUUUUUAUAGCUACAUAUAUAUGUACUAAAUGCAUAAAAAAUGGUCUGGGAGAAUAUAUACAAAACUGGUAACAGUGACUACCUCUGGGAAGGUGGGAUGGGAAUCAGGACUGGGAAUGAUGGCCCAAAAAUGUUUUCUGUAUUUAAAUAUUUGUCACAAGUGUAAUAGCACAUUUAUGAUUUAAUGAAAGAAUUUUUUAAGGUAAGAAAAUCAGUAAGGAUAUGCAGUACUAUUUUUAAUAGUGAGAAGUUUGGACUACCUAAAUAUCCAGCAAUGGAAAUAUUAUUAAAUCAGUCAUGGUACAAUCCAUAUGGCAGAAUUUAAUAAAAAUGUUCAUUUUUAUGUUCACAGAUGUAAAGAAGUUAGUGAUUUAUAGUUCUAUGUAAAAGAAACUAGAUACUGGGGCACCUGGGUGUCUCAGUCAGUUAAGGAUCUGACUUCUGAUCCCAGCUCAGGUCUCGAUCUCAGGGUCAUGAGUUCAAGCCCCGUGCUGGGUUCCACACGUGUUGGGCGUGAAGCCUAGACAGAAAGAAAAGAAAAGAAAAAAAGGAGAGGAAGGAAGAAAUGGAACUAGAUACUAAUUAUGUUCUGAAUUAUCCCAUUUUUGUUAACAAAUGCAUACACAAAAAGGUUUGAGAUAAUUUUUUAUAAAACGUUUAUAGUAGUUGUGGGUCUGGUUGUGUUUUCUUUUGCUUCUUUGUAUCCUAUUUUUUCUAUAAGGAAUAUACAUGUAAUAAGAAAAAUUCCAUUUUAAAAAAUGUAAAUGAAAUGAGGAAAACUGAACUGGAUGAAAGGUAAGAGGAGGAAAUGCGUAAUGGUGGAUGGGGAUAAGAAAGUAGGGAAAAGAUGUUUGAAGAUUUUUUAAAAGAGAUUUUUAUUUUCCAGAGAGUUAAGGGGAAAAAUAUUUUUGUUCUCAGAGAUUUUCAGUAUACUUUCCAAGCCAUCAAGUUCCUAAAUAUAACCAAAGAUGAUGAUUUUACAAGCAAGCCAAUAUAAACAUAGUAGAUGUUUGUAUUUCUACAUUAACAACAUGGCAUUGGAGCUGCAAAAGUUCUUUCGAAUUCCUAUAUUUUAUUUUUCUAAAAAAACAAUUCCCCUUUUAAAAUAUAACACACCCCCACCCCAUUGGGGCUUUAAAUUUCAAGAAAAGGCAGAGCAAGAUAGCAUUUAGAACUGAGGACAAAGACGGGUGGAGGAGCAGGAGGGAGGUGGGAGGUUAAGCAUUUGGGCAGGAAGAGGAGGAGGAAGACUUUUGCAGAGCCUUACCUAAAAGUAGUUCUACCCAGACUUUAAUGUGUAUUUGGAUCAUCUAGGGAUCUGGGGAAAGUGCAGUUCUGGGGUGAGACUCCCAGGUGAGGCCCAUGCUACUGGUUCAUGGACAGCUUUGAGGCCUGAGAGUCAUAGAAUUUGCCCUUCCACCCUGGGUGACCUGCACUUCACAUUGGAAACCUCUGGCUAUGACGGCUUCUUUCUUUCUAACCUAACACUGUUUUUGUCAGUACGCCAAAUAACAGAAACCUUUCAGAAAGUCAUCUUACCGUCUACAAGGUGCACUUUAUGGCCCUGUGCAUGGAAGUGAGUAAAAUGGGAAACAGAAGGGGGAAUGGGCAGGAGCCCCUGAUACACAAAUGUUAUUUGUUAUAAAGGGUGUGGUAUUAUGGAAAAAGCCCUGCACUGGUUGUCAGAAGAAGUGGUUUCAUUAAUCAGCUGUGUUUCUUUGUGCCAGUCAUUUCUCUCCAGUUCUGCAUUUCCUUUUCUGUCAAAAGAAUUGGUCUACAUGGCUUCUAAAAUCUUUUGAGCUCUGACACUUGAGGAGUCUAUAAAGGAGAGCCCAUAUCAACAGGAGGGAAGAAAAGAAAGAUGUGCCUCCAUGCACAUCGCUGCCAAGGAUCCUGUACAUGUGGUAUUAUAAUGGAAGAAUUUUCCCCUAGUCUGCCCAGAUGCAGAAAUGUUGGAGUGAGAGACUGGGAAACUUGCCUAGUAUGAAAUUCUAGUACCCUGACUUCCUGGUUUUGGCAAUUUAGAGUCUUGGGAAUCUGUCCCAGGCUCUGUAAAGUAAGACAGACCAUGAAAACAGGCCCUCUAAGAACUUCAAUGUGGCUCUGGCAGCUUUCAGAUUCAAAGGUCCUCAAUCCUUGGGGCACCCUCAGGUUUCACCUCAUUCCCCAACACUGAUCAGCAGCCAAAUUCUGAAGCCACUUGAGCCCAAAGGCCCAGCCAAAUGGCCCUACUGCCUUCCUGUUUGUGAAAGCCUCCAAUUCCCAGCCUGUGGCCAAAUCCAAUUUUCAUAGCAACUCAACCCUUUCCCCAAGAUCACCCUCCAGACCCGAGUCUCCCAGAUGCUAUGGACUCUAUCUGGGCCUGUUGCAGCCAAGCCUAAGGGAAUGGAACAGGCCAGAUGGUAACACUUCUUUCUCUAUAUUUAAGAUAGUCCUACCCUCAAAGUGGGGAUCGCCCCGAGCUUGAUAAGCACAGGGAGGGAAAGGGGCCUGCUGUGGUGAGAUUACCCAGACUCUGGAGAAAUCUCCCACAGCUCCACCUCACACCUCAGCAGACCUGCACUUCUCACCUUGUUACUUACUCACAGGCCUAUGACUAUUCUAGCAAAGUCAUCAGUAAACACGCUAGCUUUAGGCAGUUUCCUAUGGCUUCUGGGCAGUCAGCCUCCAUCCAUGUUUCUGAGACCCCAUCCCCCAGCAGACACCCACUCAGGGCAUGGCCUCCUGAGGCAUCCAUUUGGGAUGCAGGGACCCUGUGGGCUGCAGAAGGAGUUAUUUUUCCCUGUAGCCCCAGCCUAGGCUGAAUGAUGGGGCUGGCUAGUACAAAGACUGCUUUUUAUAAUGUUGGUCCUUGGUAUUUUUGGUGUCUGGAGAGAGCUUCCUUUCCUCCCACAGGUAAUUAGUAGCAUAGGAGCAUUUCCCUUUCCUCAACAGAAAGUCUGUUCCCACCCCUGGGCCCAGGCAGAAGGGACAGCAGGUGUGGCUAAGUACUCCCUGAGGUUAACCUCAAACUUAAACUUAGAGCCAUAUUUGAUUAGAAGCAAAGUGAAAUGCAGGGUUAGCUUCCAUUGGGACAGGGUCAGCAAGUGGACACAGGUCCCUGGCAAGCCAGGAUAUUGUUUUCUAGCCUCUCAAUCAGGUGAGGGGACAGGAGAAGGGGGUGGGGAACCAAUGUGUGUUUGACACGUUUGUGAAUUGUUCCUAUAACAAAGGCUGUUUUAAAAAAAAACAACAGAGUGGAGCUUUAUAUAUUUGAAUGACAAGCACACAGAGGGACCUAUUGUCACAAGGAAAAAUUGCAUGAGUAAUUGUGCAUGACUUCAGUCUUCCUAGUUGAAAUGUUAGGCAUGUUAAGGAUGAUUGUGGACAUUCCAGUGUUUUCAGUGUGGGGAAGAGGGAGGAAAGACCUCCUGGGAGGUGAGGAGGCAGGUUGUCUAGCAAGGUAGGGGAAACAGGAACCUAAAAAGCUCUUCCUCCACUUUUCCUUGCUGGUUCCCAUUCUUCCUCUACCUAAUUAAGGUACCACCUCCUACAGGAAGGCUUUCUGCCCCUACCUCCUACUUUCACCUCCCACUUUUGGUGCUUUGAAUAGGUAUCUACUGUCCUAUCAUUAUUUAUGAGACUAUGAUACUAUUAAUAGUUUGGAGAGCAGUGAACAUGGACUCCGAGAUUGGACUCCACCACUUCCUAAAUGUAUAACUUUGGCCAAAUACUUAAUCUUUCUUGUCUCAGUUUCCUCAUCUAUAAAUGGGAGUAAUACCUAACUUCUAGGGUUGUUAUGAGGAUUAAACAUGUUAAUACAUAUAAGGCACAUAGAACAGUGCCUGACAUAUACUAUGCGCUCAAUAAAUAUUAGUAAUUAUUAUUUUUAUUUGUAGCCCCAGUGGUUAACACAAUUUGUAAUAUAUCAUGGAGCAGUGUUUUUUUCAACCUUCACAUGCAUCAUAAUUGCUUGAGGAACUUUAAAAAUAUAUGAAUGCGGGUUCCAUUGGUCUAGGAGUGAAAACUCGUCAUGGUAUUUGGGAAAAGUUCUCAGGUAGUUUUAUUAUGCAGCCAAAGUCAUAGGAGCUCAAUUAAUGUUUGUCGAAUAGAUGAACCAAAUGGGAUCAGAACAAACCAGCCCAGGUGACUCCGUCCUUAGGAAUGUCAAGGCAUGAUUCUGUCUCCUUCAGAAAGUUUGUUAUUCCUGAGGCAGGCUUCCAGAGAAUAAUAUGACAGUGAAUGUAAUGGAAUACAUAAAAGUACAUAAUUCUAGUCAUCUCAGAAUAUCAUUCUAUUGAAGAAAUAGGAAACUAAUAAGCUAAGGUUGAUAUUAGAGAUUGAUAGGUAUUUCCUAUUAUGUUGUCUUCUGUUUAUGCAGACCUAUUGCUUAGAGAGUUGACAUAACAACUCCAGCCAGAGCUGAACUUUGACCUUUCCUUUUACUCCAGUUUUACUUUUGACUUGCAACCAAGUUUUUCAUUCAGUGGACAUAAUAAAACAUUUAAAGACCUCAAAUAAAACAUUUCUACCACUAUAAUGUGCAGUUGCAAUAUGUUGCUAUCAUGAUAUAUUGUAAUUAGUUGCUUUAUUUAGCUGGUUUACAAAUUUAAAAAAAAUUUUUUUUCAAUGUUUAUUUUUGAGAGACAGAGAGAGAUAGAGUGUGAGUAGGGAAGGGGCAGAGAGAGAGGGAGACACAGAAUUCAAAGCAGGCUCGGGGCUCUGAGCUGUCAGCACAGAUCCCAAUGCAGGGCCCAAACCCACGAACUGUGGGAUCAUGACCUGGGCCGAAGUCAGAUGCCCAACCGACUGAGCCACCCAGGUGACUCAGUUGGUUUACAAAUUUCAACUGACUGAUGCUUGUAAAACAUGAAGUCAGGUACCUUCACAAUAGCCAGGGCCCUUCCUCUCAAGGCACAUAUAUAUUAAUGGGGGGAAUAAAGAUGAACACACUGAAAACUAGAGAAAACAAAUAUAACAAACAUUUAAAUACUAUGUAAUAGUAUAAAGUGGGCUUGGAGUCAGGUUUAGGUCUAUUUCUUAUCAGCUAUCUGACUUCAAUUAAUUUAGCUAACCUUCCUGAAUUUCAGCUUCCUCCUCGACCAAAUGUGUAUUUGGACCAAAUGCCUACAUCACAGGAUUGUUGUGAGGUUUCAAAGCGAUAGUAUACGUAAGUGAAAUGAAGUUAUUUUAAUGAACAAAGAGUUGUGUUCCAACAACUUUGUUAUCAGCAAUUUCAUUAUAAGGAGGAGAGAUCAUAUGGAAAAGGAGGAAGCAAAUCAAAAUGGAGAACUAAGCAUGAGCAUAUACCCACCCUCCCACCAUGAAUCAAAAGAUAGCUUUUAAAAUCAGUGAGUCUACCAACACCAGCAAACAAGAGAGAAGGCAGAAAUUAUGAUAAAAAUCUGGCUAGAAAGCAGUUAGGAUCAGACUGAUAGAGAAUUCAGGACAGAGUAUUAACAUACUCCAAAACACUUUUAAGGUAAAUUUCUUUGAAGGUAGGGGCAGAGAAUCUCUCAGCUCAGAGGAAGCAAAUAGAAAGAAUUGGGAGUUAUGAAGUGCUCAUCAGGGUUAUUCAUCUUUAAAAUGACCCAUAAAUAACGGACCUCUCUCCUCUUCCCUCUACUUCAGGGAGCUGUAGGUGAGGGGUAGGGGUCAGGAUGGUGAGAUAAAACACAAACCUUUACUCAAAGAAAGAAAGUCCCCUCUCUGGGGAGGGCAUCUGCUGGUGUAUAAAGGGCCUGUGAGAAAAGCAGGGCUUGAAGUAACCCUUUCCAACUUCCACAGACACAGAGAAAGGAAAAAGGGAAAGCUGUUCCUGCCCAGCCUGUCAACUGGGGCUUUGUCUAAGUAAAGGCCUCCUUAUUUUGGCAACUGGGGAUGGGUAAAGGACGAAGUGGGGAGGAGGGUGGUCCCCAAGCCUGCCUCUCUGCCUGCUCCCAGCACCUUACUGGGAAGUCUGCGGUCAAAAUGUCCUACUCACAGGGUCCCAAGUAACCCUCCAUUUACCAAAGGGAAGUGGAGGGGAAACGAACAGAUCAAAACUGGAGGGAAAACUUACCAAAAUACCUGCUAAUUAACUCAUCCUUCAAACAUAAAUAUGAUGAAAAACCAAGGAUCACCAGAUAUUUGAGGAAAUUCAACAGCUCUAAAGGAAAGGUUUAAGAUCAACAAAUGGAAAGCCGAUCCCAGACAAAAGACAGAUAAAGGAACAGAAAAGAGCAUUUGAAAAAUUCUAAAUAUCAUCAUCCUUCAAAAGAGCCCUGAGGAUAUUGCAGCAGGGUCUAUGAAAAAGAAACAAACAACAAACAAACAGGAAAUGAAAAAUUAUGAUAGUAAAAUUUAAAAAGCAAUAGAUGAGAUGAAUAAUAAAAUGGAUAUGGCAAAAACUGGGGAUGUUAACCAGAAGCUGAGUGUCAGGAAACCUGCAGAAACUAUCAAGAGUGGAAAAUCUGACAGAAAAAUUAAGAGACUACUACGGACUGAAUUGUGUUCCCCUCAAAUUCAUAUGUUGAAGCCCUGAACUCAAUGUGACUGUAUCUGGAGAUAGGCCCUGUGAAGAGGUGAUAAAGGUUAAAUGAGGUCAAUUCAAUAAUUCAGUAGAGCUGGUGACCUUAUACGAAGAGGAAGAAACAACAGAGCUAUCUCUCUGCCAUGUGAGGACAUAGCAAGGGCACAGCCAGAAGGCAGCUGUCUCCAAGCCAGGAAGAAAGCCCUCACUGGAAACCAAAUUGGCCAGCACCUUGAUCUUAGCCUCCAAAGCUGUGAGAAAAUAAAUUUCUGUUGUGUAAGCCACUCAGUAUAUGGUAUUUGGUUAUGACAGCCCAAGCAGAAUAAUCCAGAGACACAAAGCAUUGAUUCAGAAGUGCCUCCUUUCAUUCAGGAGAAAUGCCAGGAAAGAACCGAGAAUUGGUGGGGAAGAGAUCCACAAAGAAAUAAUAAAAGAAAAUUUCCCCAACCCAAAGAAAGGCUCAAGACUUCAUAGGGCCUGCUAAGUGUCAGACAAGGGACAUUUUAAAAGAUGCUUGCUUAGACAGAUACUAGGGAUGUUUCAGAGCCAAAAGGACAAAGAGAAAACUCUAAAAGUUUUCAAAGAAGUAAAACAGGUUACCUACAAGGAACAAAAAUAAAUUGGCUUUCAGACUUCUGAAAGGUCACUCUGAAUGCUGGGCAGUAAAGUAGUAACUUCAAACUUUGAAAGAAAAUAAUUUUGACCUAGAAUUGUGUAUUAUGCUAGCUAGCCAAACUAGCUUUCAAAUGAGGGAGAAAAAAAAAGACUUUUUUUUUUUUUACCUUCCAGGUUGUCAAAAAUGAGUAAACUUAAUGAAAUCCAGCACUAGCAAGGUUUUAGGGAAGAUGGCCCUCUCAAACUCCAUGGGAGUGUCAACUGAUACAGCUACUUUUGACAGAGUAACUUGGAAAUACAUAUAAAAUUUUUUCUUUUCCAGCUAUGUAACCUGGAGAAAAGCUUGUGCAAAUGCACAAGAGGCUUGUAUGCACAAUGAGGUCAGUAGUAUAGAUCCUGGAGUCAGAGUGCUAUGGUUCAAAUCCCAGCUCAGCCACUUAUUAGUUAUAGGACUUUGGGUGAGAUUACCUUAGUGCCUCUGCAGUGAAAUGAGGAUGAUAAUAUGUAGUCCCUACUUCAUAGGGUUUGUUCUGAGAAGUGAGUGAGUUACUUACAUGCAAAGUGCCUAGAACAGAUCUUUGUAUAGACUAAGCAUUUGAUAAAAAAUGAGUAUUACUAUUAAGUAUCAUAUAUAGAUAUCACUGUCAUCUAAGGACAUUAGACAGUAGAUUGUGUCCAAUUUCAUGCCACUGGAAAUAAGUGAUGCUGUGGUGUUUGAUGUGGCAUAAUAUUGAAAGACCUAAUAUCUAUCAAGAGGAGGAUGGUACAACCAUACUAUGGGAUACUAUGCAGCUGCUAAUAAAAAAGUGGCAGAAUUAUACUAAUUCUAUGUGCUCUCAUGGAAAGAUCCCAAGGACAUAUUGCUAAACGAAGGUGAGGGAGAAAAUGCAAAUUGUAGAACAAUAUAUAUAGAUUAUCCCAUUUAAAAAUACAUGAAUGUACAUGGACCACCUGGGUGGUUCAGUCAGUUGAGUGUCCAACUCUUGGUUUCGGCUCAGGUCAUAAUCCCAGAGUCAUGACAUUGAACCCCACGUCGGGCUCUAAACUGAGCAUGGAGCCUGCUUGGGAUUUUCUCUCUGUCUUCCUCUGCCUCUCUUCCCUGCUCAUGCUCUCUCAUUCUCCCUCUCUCUCUCUCAAAUAAAUAAAUAAGACACAUUAAUGUACAUAUUGGACAUAUGAACAGUGGCCUACCACAGUAGGGCAAAGAAGGGAGAGCUGUCUGUCCUGAGUGUAGGCAAUAAGAGGAUAUAUCAACUGAGAAUAACUUAAAACAAUAAUUUUAGGCAAUAACAUGAAAACAAUAGUAAAUGAUAAAAUCUAAUGGUCUGCUUUUUAAAAAUUUUUUUAGGGGUGCCUGGGUGGCGCAGUCGGUUAAGCGUCCGACUUCAGCCAGGUCACGAUCUCGCGGUCCGUGGGUUCGAGCCCCGCGUCAGGCUCUGGGCUGAUGGCUCGGAGCCUGGAGCCUGUUUCCGAUUCUGUGUCUCCCUCUCUCUCUGCCCCUCCCCCGUUCAUGCUCUGUCUCUCUCUGUCCCAAAAAUAAAUAAACAUUGAAAAAAAAAAUUAAAAAAAAAAUUUUUUUAAUGUUUAUUUAUUUUUGAGAGAGAGAGAGAGACAAAGUGGGCAGAGAGAGGGAGACACAGAAUCUGAAGCAGGCUUCAGGCAACUGAGCUGUCAGCACAGAGCCUGAUGCGGGGCUCAAAUUCACCAACUGCGAGAUCAUGACCUGAGCCAAAGUCGGCCACUUAACCACCUGAGCCACCCAGGCGCCCCUACUUGAUCUGUGUCUUAUUAUUACCAUGAACAGUGAAAACAAACGUCAGUGAUAAAAUACUACUUCUGCCAGAGCAGUCUUCUCCUUCUGGCUCCCACCCCGUAAUUCUGGACACUCCUGCAUCUUCUUAAGUGCAUAGAAAAACUUAUAGCAGAAAGUUAGCGUACUGACUAGAUAGGGGGAUAAUUUACAGAAGGAAGUGGGGUUAAGUGAGGUUGUAUGAGCAGGAUUUUUACUCUUCACUCACUACUCAUUUAAAUUUUUUUUUGCAAAGAAUGUAUUUAUUUAUAGUUUACACUUGUAUAGUUAACACUUUUUUAAUAUGAAAAAAAUAACAUGGCAGGCAAAAGAUUUAUUAUAGGAAGUCAGGAAAAUGGAGUCCAAUGAUAGCCUAUAACCAUUCCUCCAAAUAUUUUAGAUUAUAGAAUAUGGGUUAGGUAUGGUGACUGCAUUUUCAGAACUAAAAGUUAGAAGCCAGUGUCUGCCAAAGAAUUUUUGAUACAACUUCUGAGUAGGAGAGGCAGCCUGGGACAUCCAGUCUGUAUGCCAAUGUAAUGGAAUUUCUGGGACCAUCUGAUGGUUUAUUAUUACAAAUAAACUGUCUGAAACCAGGCCUGUCCAUAAAUCCCUAAUCCUGCUCCAUUUUUAGAUACUAUUGGAACUGAACUCCUCCUGAUAUGAUAUCAGCUUAGAGCCUAGCAUUCAGCCUGUUUUACCCUGAUUCCCCCAAGUUCAAGGACUUGAAGACUCUGCUCCCCCUGAGAUCUGCCAUAGCACAGACAGAGCACUCCUAACUUCUCUGUUGCCGCAACAGCAUCCCCAGGCACGCUGUUUGCCCUCACCUGAGCAGGCAGGUGUUUUCCUGACUCUGUCAGUCUCCCCAGGUUCCCUACUGGCCUCCCUACCCCCAGCCCAGUUAUCUUCUGUGUCCCUUACACUCUCCACUAUCCCUCCCACCCUCCUCACCCCACCCCUUGUAUGUAGCUGAGCCAGCCUGGCCUGGGCUACUGAUCCCAGUCCUACUGAUACUACCACAGACAGUCCCAGGCACAGGGUAAGCUGAGGCAGUGGAAAUGAAAUGGCUGGGUACAGAAAGGAGGAGAGUGAUAGACCCAGAGAAACAGGAAAGUUUGUCAGGAAACCAGACUGACGCAGACUGAGUAGAAAAGAGAAGUUACAGCAGGCCUCACAGAACAUCUUGGGGCCAGUUAAGGAAGUGGGAGAGGAAUAAGAACUAAAUAUACACAGCAAUUCUAGUUCUAAGUAUCGAGAAGGAUGUCAAGGUCAGUACGUGGAUAUUCACCACUGACAAGGACCAAAUGAAAAGCCCCAUUGGGCCCCUGGGUAUUCUGGGGGAAACAGGGAAAGAACGUGCAUCAGGAAGAUGUGCUCCCACCCUGGCUGUGUGACAUCAAGAAAGUUCCUUAAUCCCCUGAGCUUUAUCUGUAAGUUGGGGUCUUUCUGAACAUUAAAUGGAUUCUAGUAAGUAAAGCUCUCAGGCCAGCAUUUAAUAAAUCUGAAUUUCUUUCUCUUUCCAUCCAAAUGUUGAUGGUAAUGAUGAAAACUUACCGCAGCCUCUCACUAGCCACUCUAUCCUCAGUGUGAGCAGUGGACACACUAAGUAAUAGUGAAUUAUGAUAGCUGCAUUGACUGAGGGUGUAUUAUUUGCAAGCUUUAUUCUAAACUCUUUGCAGCAUUACUCCAAUCCCCACAGCCCUAUGAGGUAGAUAACAUUAUUAUUCCUGGUUCACAAAUGAGAAAGUUAAGGCUCAAAGAAAUAAUUCACCCAACAUACAUAGCUAAUAAGAAGCAGAGCCAGGAUGAAAAUCCAUCUCUAAGUGUAAGACUUAUGCUCUUUACCGCUGAGCUAUAUUUCUUACCGAUGUAAGGCAGAAAGUAGAGAAAAGCUUAAACAAGUAAGGAUCCUAUCAAAGGCAUUGAUGAAAAUCAGCAGGAGGGUUCCUGUUAUCCUGUUUCCCUGUGUGGAAGCAGCUGCUGUAGGAAAUUUCCCAGACGGUUCCCAUUGGACCAUGGGGCCCAGGAGAAAUCCUAGUGCUGAAAUGAAGUCAUAACCCCCUGCCCAACUGUCAGAGAUGGGUGAUGGCAUCUGAAAGCAAGCAGAUCAUAUAUGCAACCAGAACAAAUAAAGCUGUAGGCAAGGGCUUUGCCUCAUGUUCCAAAAGUAUCUUGUAAUAAAGAAUGUGGUAAUGAGUCCAAACAGAAGAGUGAUGAGUUGGCAAGCAGCCUGGAACAAGCCAAGUUAAAGUUUGUCUAUGUGUCUACAGCUCUGUCCACUCUGAAUGUAAAUGUUCCAUACUGGUCCUGUAGGCAGAAAGCCCUGGGAUGACAAGGGUCUUAAGAAGAUGCUGCCUGGGGAAGGUCAAAUCACCAAACAAGUAAAAGAAAUUACUACUGUUGAUUUAAUAAUGCCAAUGAUAUUAGAGGGUUUCGUUAAUGCUGCAGUCAUUACCGCCACUUCAUUUAUUCACUCACUCAUGUAUUUAUCCAGGAAACAUUUAUAAAGAGCCCACUCUGUUCCAGGCCCUGUGCUGGGUGCUGGGACAUUAUAAGGAGCCCCCAGGAACUUACAGGGUAGUCAGGAGAUGGUUGAAAACAGGCUCUUCCAACACAAUCAGGUAAAAGCUCUGCCGUCAGUGAGGGCCUGCCACAUGCAACCAUGUUGUGCUCCCCGCAAGGAGGUGAUUGUGCCAAUGGGAGUCAGGAAAUACCUCUUACAGUGUGCAAGCCAGAGAACAUUCAAAAGUAGUCCAGCUCCCUCACUGUAUAAGGAAGGAAGCCAUGGAUCUGAGUUGUAAAAAGGAUAUACUGCAGGGGUACCUGGGUGGCUUAGUCAGUUAAGCAUCCAACUCUUGAUCUCAGCUCAAGUCAUGGUCCCACAGAUCAUGUCAUGUCACGUCAUCUCAAGUCAUGAUCUCAUGAGUUUAAGCCGCACAUUGGGCUCUGCUCUGAUAGUGCGGAGCCUGCAUGGGAUUCUGUCUCUCCUUCUCUCUGCCCCCACCCUACCUGUUCUCUCUCUCCUUCUCUAAAUAAAUAAAUAAAUGAAUAACUUUCAAAAAAGAUACUGCAAAUCAAGACUACAUAUGGUUAGUAUCAACUGAAUGGUUCUGUCACAAGUGCUGUGGGAGUUAAGGGAGACAGGCAUCACUAUAAGUCAAAGAAGGUUUCCUGGAAGAGGUGAGACUUAAGCUGGGCUUUCCUGGAAAAAUAAAGGGUGUGUGUGUGUGUGUGUGUGUGUGUGUGAGAGAGAGAGAGAGAGAGAGAGAGAGAGACGGACUUGGUUUUCAGAUAUUCAUCACAUUGUUCCUUAAAGACUAUUUAAUUUUCUUUUAUCUGGUUUGUUAAUUACCAAAACCCUUGAGAUCUGCAAUUUUUUGUUUGUAUGUUUGAGAAGAUCUGCUACCAAAUAUGAUUAGUUGCACAGGCUUCAGAGUCUGACAGACCUGGGGUCAAAUCCACACUCUGUCAUUUUCUAAUCGUGUCACCUUAGUUUCCUCAUAUGUGUAAUGGGGAUGAUAAUACCUAGCAUAGGAUUGUGAUGAGUAUUAAAUGAAAUAAUAUAUGUAAAGCAUGUAACAUAGAACCCGAUACUCAGGAAACACAUAGCAUAACUUCUUAAAUGUUGUGAUAAUUACUUACGUGCAUGGACCUUAUGAUAUUUACAGUGUAUCUUGUAUUCAUUCAGUUUCCAUUAAUUCUUUUAUCAAACAGGCACAGUGCCAGGCACCAUACCAGAUGUGGGACAAGCUAUGUAUGGACAAGCUAUGUACCAGACAGACAUUUUUCCUGCCUGCUCAAGGCAGUUUAAAGGGAUAUGGGACACGUAAAAUCACAAUUGUGGUACCAUGUGAGAUGCACUGUAAUAGGGAAGGGUGCUAGUUAUUAUUGGUCAGCUCUAGGAAGGCUAUGAACUUUAAGGGCCAUAGUAGGGCCUUUGGAGAACUGAUCUCACCAGGGUACAGUUGCCCUGAAGACCAAGCUAGACACCAGCAAAGUCCUUAUCACUUCCUUUUUUUAUUAUUAAGCUUUUUAUUUUAAUUCCAGUAUAAUUAAUGUACAAUGUUAUAUAAGUUUCAGGUGUAUAAUACAGUGAUUCAACAAUUCUUUACUUACUGCGCAUCGUGAUAAUUGUACUCUUUAAUCCCCAUCACCUAUUUCAUCCAUCCCCACACCUAACUCCCCUCUGGUAACCAUCAGUUUAUGUUCUAUAGUUAGGAGUUUGUUUCUUGGUUUGUCUUCCUCUCUCUCUCUUCCCUUCUCUUUUUUUUCCCCUUUGCUCAUUUGUUGUUUCUUAAAUUCUACAUGAGUGAAAUCGUAUGGUAUUUGUCUUUCUCUGACUUAUUUUGCUUAGCAUUAUGCUCUCUAGUUCCAUCCAUGUUGUUUCAAAUGGCAAGAUUUCCAUCUUUUUGUGGCUGAAUAAUAUUACAUAUAUAUACACACACAUAUACAUAUACCACUUCUUCUUUAUCCAUUCAUCUAUUAGUGGACAGUUAGGCUGCUCCCACAAUUGGGCUAUUACAAACAAUGCUGCAAUAAACAUAAUGGCACACAUAUCCCUUUGAAUUAAUGUGUUUGCAUUUUUUGGGUAAAUACCCAGUAGCACAAUUAUUGAAUUGUAAAGUAGUUCUAUUUUUAACUUUUUGAGGAGCUCUGUACUGUCUUCCAAAGUGGCUAUACCAGUUUGCAUUCCCACCUACAGUACAUAAGGGUUCCUUUUCCUCCAUAUCCUCACCAACCUGUUGUUUCUUGUGUUGUUAAUUUUAGCCAUUGUGACAUGUGUGAGGUGAUCGCUCAUGGCAGUUUUGAUUUGUAUUUCCCUGAUGACAAGUGAUGUUAAGCAUCUUUUCCUGAUUCUGUUGACCAUCUGGAUGUCUUCUUUGGAGAAAUGUCUGUUCAUGUCUUCUACUCAUUUUUUAAUUGGAUUUUUUUUUUUAAGUGUUGACUUGAAUCUAUUCUUUAUAUAUUUUGGAUACUGACCCUUUAUUGGAUACAUCAUUUGCAAAUAUCUUCUUCCAUUUAGCAGGUUACCUUUUAGUUUUGUUGAUUGUUUCCUUUGCUAUGCAGAAGGUUUUUAUUUUGUUGAGUCAUUACCACUUCUUGAUAGCUCUGUGUUUACUCGACAUUUUCUACAAUAUCAUUUCCACUUAAUGGCAGAAUAAUCUGGAUAGAAAAGAAUGUUUUCUCUUACCAGUCCAGCAUCCAGCAGAAAUGACAAGAAGCAGUAAAAAUACACCUGCGCUUAAGCUCCAGACAAUUUUCCUGGCUCCUCUCUCCCAAUGUGUUUAGUACCUGUGGGAGCAAGAAUCCAAAAUGGCUCCCAAAGAUCCCCACCCCCUGCUAGUUACACCCUUGUAUAUUCCCCUUCUGAAUUGUACCAUGGUUGGUCUUUAUGAUGAACAGAAAUGGCAGAAAUGAUAACCCAGCACUUCUAAGAUUAGGUUGUAAUCUUUGGUGCUCUCUCACACAUGCUUUCUCUUGGAUGACUUCCCUUGGAGAAAGUCAAGUCUUGAGCAGACCUGUGGGGAGGUUCACAUGGCAAAGAACUGAAGCCUCUUACCAACAGCUGCAGGAGUGAGCUUGGAAGUGGAUUCUGCAGCUCUAGAGAGUCUUCAGAGUCUAUAGCCUUGGUCAACAGCUUGACCUCAGCUAAGCCAUUCCCAGGUUCCUGACUCCUAGAAUAUAUGUAAACUAAUAAUAACUUGUUGUUUUAAGCUACUAAGUAUUGGGGUAAUUUGUUUUACAGCAAUAGGUAACUAAUACAGUGCCCCUAUUCUGUGCCUCAAGCAUUUUACUCCUUCCCUAUAGUGGUACUUACCACACUGCGUUGUAAUUACCUGCAAUUACCUGUGUAUGCUUCUGUCUCCUCCUCAGAUGAAGUUUAAUGGAUACUGUGUCUUAUUGUCCUUGGAUCUUCAUAACCUGGCACAUGCCCGGCCCAUAGCAGAUGGUCAGAAAACUUUGUGGGAUGAAUAACUUGCAUUUGUAUAGCACAUUAGAAUUUAUAAAGUGUUGGUGCACUCACGUAUUCUUCAUGGUAACCCUAGAAUAUAACUACUAAUAUUUUCCCCACUCAAAAGAUGAGGCAGUUGAUGCUCAGUGACUCAAUUAUCUCACAGCCAAUAAUUGAUAAAAUCAGUACUCAGACCCAAGUAAUCCAAUUCGUAGUCUGUGCUUCUUCCUCUAUACCACACUGGUCUUCAUUUAGCCUAUGGGGGAGGGGGAUAGAAGGAAAAUUAUUCUAAAGAAUAGAAUGCGGGGCGCCUGGGUGGCUCAGUCGGUUAAGUGUCCGGCUUCGGCUCAGGUCAUGAUCUCACGGUCUGUGGGUUUGAGCCCCACAUCAGGCUCUGUGCUGACAGCUCAGAGCCUGGAGCCUGUUUCGGAUUCUGUGUCUCCCUCUUCCUCUGACCCUCCCCUGUUCAUGCUCUCUCUCUCUCUCUGUCUCAAAAAUAAAUAAAUGUUAAAAAAAAUUAAAGAAAUAAAAAAUAAAAAAAAAAUAAAGAAUAGAAUGCUGUUCAAUCAUGAUGGAGCUCCAUAGAAGGGACAGUGGACAAGAACAUGAUUCAUUUAGGAAUAGGCCAGGUCUCUGUGGGUUUUCCCAUACCCCAUAUGCAAUGUCUCAUUUAAUCAUCACAAACCCAAAACAGAAAAUCAAUCAUUAUUAUUCCCACUUCACAGAUGACAAAACCAAGGCAAGAUCUCACAUACAUUAAAUAAUAGAGCUGGGACACAAGCAAAUGUACUCAAACUCCUAGUUUAAGGCUCUUCUUGUAAAACUCAAACUGCUUCCUUUUCUUAGUACUAGACAGCUGAGUUUGGGGGUCAGAUAGAAUUCCUGAUUCCACCAGGGACACACAGGGCAAGAUAUCACAGAAUCUCAGACAAUGAGCAGAUGUGACUAAUGCAAGGACACUACCUGUGUAGCUACGUAACACAUCACGCUCAUACUGAGCUCUAGUCACUGAUUCUCAGGUGCAGGGUCCAGGGUUUCACAAUAUCCCUUCUAUCAGUGAAAGGAAAUAGGCUGCAGUUAGCUUUGAGUCUUUUUCAGUUUGCACAUCUUUAAAAUGGGAAAAAUAAUUAUAGUGAUGGUUAAAUGAGAUGAUGUAUGUAAAAUGGCUGCCAUGUAAUAUCCAUUUUAUAUACUGUGAGCAUGUAAAUAUAUAAAUAUUCUUCCCCCUUCUGAUGUUAUUGCUAUGGGACAUUUUUAGGACAGGAGCACAUUUCAUUUUGUGAGACUCUCUUCCCCUCAUAAGCUGAAGUCUUAGAGCAACAGUAGAAAGCAGAAGGAAAGGAGAAUAUUUCUGAGGGUCUGCAUAGUCUCCAGACUGAAGGGAGCUCUGCAGUGAGAUUUCUGCUUUAUGUCAGCUGUGCAGUGGGGCAGGAAGACCUCCAUUCUUUGAGGGCAGGUAUCAAGCUGAAGAGAAGAAGCCCCAGCUGUUCUGUGGGACCUGAUGGAAUGUGCCUCGGGGCUGCCUGACGCCUUGCUGGGUUGGGUAAACUUGGCCUGUUGUUUUCCAUCCAAGAGACCUUUCACCUUGAGGGCUCAGUGACCAGAAAAACAUUCCAGAAGCCAAUAAUUUCUCAUUCUCCAGGGAGCCAGGGAGAAGACAGUUUCUGGGCUGGACGCUGGGGACAAACCCAUGAACUAUGAGUGGGCCUCUGUGCUGAGGACUCCGUCUGAUCCCAGGAAAUGCAGUGGGGUUCCAUGUGCUAGAAGACAUAGCUUCCUGCCAGGAAAAGGAUCUGGGCUUUGUCUUCACGCACGCCAGCAUUUAGAUGUGGCUGUCUAGGGUUUCAUGGAUGGGCUGUGGAGAUGGCCAAUCCCCAGCUGGAAGUCAGAGUGAGCCUCUUUCAGUCCUGUUCAAUGUAAUUCAGAGCAAUUAAACCACUAAGUCAGAACCUACCAGGUGCAGACCUUUGAGAAAGCAGAUGAUGCUAUGGAAAGGCCAUAGGCUUUGAAGCUGGAGAGUCUUCUCUUGAAGACUUGGGAAAGAUAUUUAACCUCUUUGAGCCUCAGUUUCUUUAUCUGUAGAGUAAGAUGAAUAGUAAUGCCUGCUCUGCAGUGCUGAGAAAAGGAUUAAAUGAAGUUGUCAUGUAUAAAGAGUAUAGAAAAGUGCCUGCUGCCUGAUCAGUGCUCAACAAACCAAUGUUUAUUAUCAAGUUUCAUGGGGAAAUGGAUGAGAGGUGAAAACAGCCACAGUUAGAAAGACAGUACAUGUAAAAUUCAAUGUAACUAGUUUGAUUUUUUUCAACCAGUAUAUAUUGGGAAACUUCCUAAGUGCUAGUAACUAAAUGGGGGAGGGGGGGUUAUGAGAACAAUGGCCUCGACCUAUAAGAACUCAGAAUUUUGCCCCUGAGAUGGACAAGUAAGCAAACACUUUCUAUUAGACUUAUAAGCCAUCCAAGGUAAACAAUAGAAAAUGUUGUCAGAGCAGAGUGGAGGAGUUGCUCACAUUGUCAGAAGGAGUUAGAAGAGGCCUUGCUGAGGAACCAACCAUUGGGCUCCAUUGGCUGAGUCUUAAAAUAUGAACGAGAAAGAGUCCACCAGGUGAAAUGAGUUGGAGAAAGUCAUUGCUGACCUUGGGGACAGUGUGUGGGAAAAACAUAGGCACAAAAGAGCUUGGUUAGAAGAAUGAGAACCAGGGAGUAACAGAAUAAAAGGGACAUGAUAAAGGACCAUCAGUCCUGAGAGAUACUAAAAAGAUCUUGUUUGCCUGCUAAAGGGUUAGGACUUUGCUCUGGGGACAAAGGGGGUUUUAAAGCAAAAAUGAGAUGAUUAAUUUGUUUUCAGGAAAGAUAACUGGGUGAAGGAUGGUGUGCAAAGGGGAAAGACUGGAGGCUGGGAGACUGGAAGCAUAUGAAGAUAAGAAGCUCAUCUGGGUUACAUAAUCAGGAAGUUGGUAGGGUCUCAGGAAGAGAGGCUAGACCUCUUGGCUCCUGGUUUGAGCUUUUUCGAUUAGAUGGCUCCUCCUUCCACAUCUUUGAAACCUGCCUACUAAGGCAAACCUUGACCUAAAAUUACAGUGCUCAUGUGAACAGGAAAAUAAAGCACACCACAUUGCAACUAUGUUUGAUUUGGACCAAGGCAUCUGCUUUUUAUCUAUGGUUCACCACAGCAUUAAAACAUGUUCAACAUUUUUCUGAGCAUUUACUCCCUGAGGUCUGUAUUCCUAAAGAGAAUGCAAGUUCAUAUUGAUUUGGGCAAGUCAUCCAUCCACUUGCUCAGCUCAUCCAUCCAUGUGUCCAUCCACAGAACCACAGAAAUACAUCAGCAGCUACUGUUCUAGUCUGGCUAUGUCCUGGGGAUAGAGAUGGAAAGUAGUCUCUGCCCUCAGAAAGCUCAUAGCCUGGCAGAGGCAGAGACAGGAAAGUCAACAGACAGGGACAAUCCAGUGUGAUGGGUGCUAACCCAGUGAGAGAGAUGUACUGAUUUCUAUGGGAGCUUGAAGCAGGCAUACUCAACAGCCAUCAGGGAAGUAGGGGACACUUGUUUAAGCCUUGAAGAGCAAAAAAGAAGAGGGUGCAGAGAUACUCUGAGUAGAAGGAAGAGCAUGUGCUACUUGGGGUUACAGUGCAGGGACAGGAAUGAUUAGAACUGGAGACUUCAACAAGUCUUCUAGCCCUGAAGACAAACACAUGCUUUGCCUAUUUUAAUCAAAUAAACCACAUUAAUCCAGAUUUAACUUAUGGCUUCCAUCUGGGACCUCACUGCACACAACUAAGCCAGUGUCCACUUUCCCCCAAAUUACCAAAUGGGCAAAGUUUGUUUGGCAUUUUCUGACCGCCUUUUUCAGUGCCAGUCUCAGGACACCUCCAACUCUGGACCCAGUGCCCUAAGUUGUUCCUCCAAACCAAGAGCCCUCUUCACGCACCCCCUUCAGGGGCCCAGGUCCCAGUCUGUCUAUUCUCACUCAUUUCCCUAUCAACUCUUAGCUUGUGGGAUAAAUUCUGCCCAGCUUUUGGAUGGUGUGACCUUGUGAACCUGAAAGGCUGCUGCACAUUUUACUUGUUCGUAAGCACCAGCCAGCUUAAAGCAUUCACCUGUCAGAGGUAUCUGUACUCAACAUUGUCUUUCCUCACUUUACCUGUCCUCUGUGAGGUAUGUGACCUCAUCAUUCCUUCACUCAUGGUUUUCUAUGAACUCCCUGUCUCUGGGGUUACUUCCUACUUCUCCCGCAGUCCCAUUCAUAAAGCUCUAUCAUAACACUUCUCAAACAUAUAGAGUUUUAACCAUAUCCAUAUUUUUGCCUUCAUACUGGACAAAAAGCUCUGUCCUACUCACUUUUCUUUCCUCAGAUCCUGCACAUAGUGGCACUAAUAAACAUUGCAUGGAUGAAUGAAUUAGUAAAGGAAUGGACUGAAGUCUCUAGAACAAACUUCUGCCAAUGGAAUGCCAUUCUAGAGUUAAGAACAGCAAACUUAAGAGUCAGGGUGGAGAACCAACUUUUGAGACUUUCAGUACCCCCUCUGAGCUAAGGUUAGUUGUGAGGAAGGCAAUGCUGCUUCUGACAACAGAGAGAAGGCAGCAUUUUAUAUCUUGAUUUCUUUGGGCUCUGUCUGGCCUCAUUUCUCCAGGCCCAUUUCUUUGAGCCUGUGCUACUUUGUAUGGCUCUUAUUCAUGAACUUGGAACUAUUAAUGACACAGCAGCAGCUGAUAUUAUACUUGACCCGAAUUAUGUUUUAGCAGUAAUGUGCAAUUUCACAGAAGAGAAGGACUCAGUUGAAGUUAAUACUCGCUAAAAAGAAAAUGAGUGGUCCCUGGCUUAUUAUUAGAAAAAUCCCAGCCUUUGGUCUGAAUUUUUUUCUAGUUUUACUGAGAAAUAAUUGCCAUACAUCAUUGUAUAAGUUUAGGGUGCACAGCAUGAUGGUGUGAUUUACAUAUAUUGUGAAAUGAUGACCACAGUAAGCUAAGCUAUCAUCUGUCUUCUCAUAUAGAUACAGUAUGAAGAAAAGAAUAAAGGGGAACAAGUUAUCUCCUCAUGACGAGAACUCUUAGGAUUUAUACCCUGAACAGCUUUCCUGUGUGUGAUCUGACAGUGUUAGCUACAGUCACCAUGUGAUGCAUUACAUCCCUAGUACUUCUUUAUCUUAUAGCUGGUACCCUUUGACCACUUUCCUCUAAUUCUCCCUACAAACCCCCGCGUCUGCUAACAAGUCUGAUCUUCUUUUAUUAUUUUAUGGGUUUUUUUUGCAUUUUUUUCUCAAUUCCACAUAUAAGUGAGAUCGUGUAAUAGUUGUCUUUCUCUGUCUGACUUAUUUCACUUAGCAUAGUGCCUUCAAGGUCUAUCCAUGUUGUCGCAAAUGGUAGAAUUUCCUGGGUUUUUUUUUACAGCUGAAUAAUAUUGCAUUGUAUAUAGAUACCACAACUUCUUUAUCCAUCCAUCCACUGAUGGACACUUAGGUUGUUUCCAUGUCUUGGCUAUUGUAAAUAAUGCCUCCAUGAACAUGGGGGUGUAGGUAUCUUUUCACAUUAGUGUUUUUGUUACCUUUGGCUGUAUUCCCAGAUUAUAGAGGCAGGUUGGAGAACCAAUUUUUUAUUAAGAUCCAAAAAUACUAAAAAGCCUGACUGCUUAGACAUGUAAAGCACAUGCUGAGUGUCCUCAGCCAAAGGCAAAUAUGAGAAAAGUCAAACAGUGUAUAGUAAACAAAUAAAUGAAUCACAGUGUUGGGUAAACUGCUGUUUGGCACCAAUCCAUGAUCACAGACCAAGAAGUGUCUCUGCAAAAAUGUGAAAAAUAUCUGGAAAAGAUGUGGAAAAUAUCUCAAAAACAGAUCUGAAUUGGACCUGUAGUCUUGACUACAACUGAACUUUGUCCCACACGAGUAAUACAUGAUGUUUUCGUUUAGUACAUAUUUGUUCACCAAUCUGUCUAUGGAUCAUGGGUGAGGCUGCUUCCUGCAAAGUGAACUGCACUCUGUGGUGGCCUUGGUCAUUGCUGUGCAUGGCCAGCUGGGGCCAGGCUGACCCACGGCCAUGGGAAGCAAAGGUAAUCAAAUCUGGCUGCUUAGUGCAGUGGAAUGGGACCAGGGCCAGGAGCUGGGGGCCCUGGGUCAAAUAGUUGCAGACCACAUGUAAUAUUCUUUAAAAGGCCUUGGCCUUCCACAUGCAUUAGCAUGCAACUGACUACAGACUGUUUAUUUAGUCUAAUGUCCAAUUUGACAUUUAAUUACAACAAACUUCUUUAAUUCAUGGAAUCGCUUAUUCCAUGGUUAAAGUCAUCUUGUGAAUAUUAGGGAUAAAACGGUAGGAAAGACUUAGGCCUAAGUUUUCUAAAAUCUGUCAGAUAACUAGCUUUGUGUGCUAAGUUCUAGGCAUAAAAAGAGCUACAAAAAAUUAACAGACACAAAUCCUCCUGCUCUCAAGGAGUUGAGAGUCAAGGAAGCAACAUUAGUGAUGUUAUACGUAUAAAAUAAGGUAGAAGGAGAAAGUAACAAUAGCUAGCAUUUAUUAAACACUGACUGUGGGCAAGGCACUAUUCUAAAUCCUUUACAUGUACUGACUCAUUUAUUAUUUUUAUAUUAAAUAUAAUUUGUUGUCAAAUUGGUUUCCAUACAAUACCCAGUGCCUAUCCCAACAGGUGCCCUCCUCAAUGCCCAUCACCCACUUUCCCCUGUCCCCUACCCCCACUCCCAUCAAUCCUCAGCUUGUUCUCAGUGUUUAAGAGUCUCUUAUAGUUUGCCUCCUCCCUCUCUGUAAUGUUUUUCUCCCACCUUCCUCUCCCCCAUGGUCUUCUGUUAAGUUUCUCAGGAUCCACAUAUGAGUCAAAAUAUAUGGUACGUGUCUUUCUCUGACUGACUUAUUUUACUUAGCAUAAUACCCUCCAGUUCCAUCCAUGUUACUACAAAUGGCCAGAUUUCAUUCUUUCUCAUUGCCAAGUACUAUUCCAUUGUAUAUAUAAACCACAUCUUCUUUAUCCAUUCAUCAGUUGAUGGACAUUUAGGUUCUUUCUAUAAUUUGGCUAUUGUUGAAAUGCUGCUAUAAACACUGGGGUACAAGUACCCCUAUGCAUAUACCCUAUGACCCAGCAAUAGUGCUGCUAGGAAUGUACUGGCUCAUUUAAACCUAACAAAACCCUUAUGAAGUAGGUGCUCCCAUUAGCUCCAUUUUACAAAUGAGGAAACUGAGACAUGGAGAGGCUUAUAAAUUGCCCAAGAUCACACACAGCUAAGGCUCCAGUAGGGAUUUGAACUCAAGUGGUGUGACUGCAGUUCCUGUGCACAACCACUGUGCUAUUGUGGGUGCCAGGAGCAUCUGAGAGGUGUACAUCAGAAGCUCAUAUCUCAGUUCUGGGAGCUCAGCUGAUGGAGAUAUUCAAUGCAUCCUUGGAGAAAGAUUACCCAGACUUUGUAGAGACAUAACAUUACUAAGCCUUGAAGGAUGGGGAGGAUUUGAACAUAUAAAUGUUGGCAGUGAGAGUGGAGGAAGAAUUCAGGGAAAAGGAAAGAAAGGUUUCCAGGUUGAGAGCAGCAUUAGUAAAAUAUGAAGCAGUGAACACACAGGAUCUGAGGAAACAGCCGAGGUCAGUCUGGUUGUAUCAGAAUGUGUGAAAACAUGGGAAUGCAAGCUGAUGCAGCCACUCUGGAAAACAGUAUGGAGGUUCCUCAAAAAAGUAAAAACAGAACUACACUACUAAGCAUUUAUCCAUGGGAUACAGGUGUGCUGUUUUGAAGGGACACAUGCACCCCCAUGUUUAUAGCAGCACUAUCAACAAUAGCCAAAGUAUGGAAAGAGCCCGAAUGUCCAUCAAUGGAUGAAUGGAUAAAGAAGAUGUGGCAUAUAUAUAUAUAUAUAUAUAUAUACAUAUAUAUAUAUAUAUAAUGGAGUAUUACUCAACAAUCGAAAAGAAUGAAAUCUUGCCAUUUGCAACUACGUAGAUGGAACUGGACGGUAUUAUGCUAAGCGAAAUUAGUCAGUCAGAGAAAGACAAAAAUCAUAUGACUUCCCUCAUAUGAGGACUUUUUUUUUAUUAAAAAAAUUUUUUUAACGUUUAUUUAUUUUUGAGACAGAGAGAGACAGAGCAUGAAUGGGGGAGGGGCAGAGAGAGAGGGAGACACAGAAUCGGAAGCAGGCUCCAGGCUCUGAGCCAUCAGCCCAGAGCCCGACGCGGGGCUCAAACUCACGGACCGCGAGAUCGUGACCUGAGCUGAAGUCUGACGCUUAACUGACUGAGCCACCCAGGCGCCCCAUCAUAUGAGGACUUUAAGAGGCAAAACAGAUGAACAUAAAGGAAGGGAAACAAAAAUAAUAUAAAAACAGGGAGGGGGACAAAACAGAAGAGACUCAUAAAUAUGGAGAACAAACAGGGUUACAGGAGGGGUUGUGAGAGGGGGGAUGGGCUAAAUGGGUAAGGGGAACUAAGGAAACUACUCCUGAAAUCAUUGUUGCACUAUAUGCUAACUAAUUUGGAUGUAAAUUUUAAAAAAUAAAAAAAAAAAUUUAAAAAAAAUGUGUGAAAACAAAGGAGUGGGAGAGGGCUACAGGGACAAUUGGGGCUAGACCUGAAAGGUGUGCUCCCAAAGAUGAUCUUUACCCACCCAUUCCCUGCACUUUGCCAAACUGAUGAACUUAUCACCAAAAAUCACUCACAGAGAAACUUUGACACUAAAAAUGAACAAAUGAGAGAAUUUUAAAAAAAAAGGUCACUUUCCCCCAAAGACGAGUAAGCACAAGAAAACUCAAGUUCCGUGUCCAGUUUUCUGCUUGUCAGCUAUGACAUUGUGAAUAACCUUCCCAAUGUUCCAGAUCAGCUAUACUUUGUCAAACUACUGGAUAAAUAAGCGUACAUUUCAUAGUAAAGAUGGUAGUUAGAUUCUUGGCAAUAAUUCCUGAUAAUUCUGAAGGGUUCUAGGCCUUCGUUAGAAACGGGGGUUUGACUUGCUGUUGUUGCUAUGCAAAAGAAAAAAUAAUUCCAGUUACCUAUUUUAGAAUUGGUAGGGCCUUUUCAAACCAUGUAAACUAUGCCCACUUAUUUUGCCAAAGAAGUAAAAAAAGUUUAAAGGUUAAAUGGACUUACUCAAAGCCAUCCAGAAAAUCAAUAGCAGAAUCAUUUUUUGAACACAAAAUUUGGGGGAAGCAAAAAAAAAAUGCUUUUAUUGCACAUUCGUAAAAUCUACAUAUAGAAUGUAUCCAGUGUUCUGUCCCACUCCUCAUCCAUGAAUCUUUGAAAUUUAGUUAAAACACAAAAUCCCAACAAGAAGUUUUUAAAAAUGUUGAACACAAAUUUUAUUUAUACUUACAAAAGUGGUCUUUGUAAAUAUAUAUUCCAUGCUACAAAAUAAUUCAGUGGAGCUAUUAAAAUUAACUAUAGCUGACUCUGAGCGCUUGUUCUGUGGCAAGCACCGUACUGAGCAUUUCAAGUGCGUUAUCUCAUGUCAUGAGGACAACAACCUUCACAAAGGUACUACUGUGAUCCUCAUUAUAUGCUCGAGGAAACUGAGAGAUUUAGUAACUUGCUCCAGCUUAUAUAGCUAGGGAGGACUAGUCUGGAGUCAGGCUGCCUGACACUGCUAUUAACUGUUAAAAUAACCUCUGUAGCUGUAGUGGAUGACACUUACCUGUACCAGUAAAUUGAAAUUGUCCAGCCAAGGUGUAGAAACUAGAAGAUUUUCUGUAAAAAGUGUUACCCUUAACUGGGAGCCUCUGGGGAAAUAACACUUCUAACAGAACUUCUUAUCUCUAUGCCACAGCCAACCAUUUUUGCUGCACUUUGCUGGAGAAACAGAUGCCUGCAGUUUAUCACCAUCAGAAUCCCAGUGGCCAUUAAUGACUGUUAGCAGCCUGCAGCCUGCAGCCUGCCCAGUGCUGUGCCCAUCAAACAUUGCCCCGCCAUGAGUGGAGCCUGCUUGAGUAGCCUGGAAGCCUGGGCAGAGGUCUAGGGUCUUGAGAAGCAGUACUUUGGCUUGCCUCAGGCCCCGCGUUCUGCCCCACCUGGCCUCACCUGUCAUCCCACUGACCGCAGGCCCCAUUCACUGUAUUUAGGAAAUGGCCUUUGGCUCUCCUGCUUCCUGUCUGUUCUACGGCCAUUACCCUUCUUUUUUUUUUUUUUUAAUUAUGGAACGCUUCACAAAUUCCUGUGUCACCCUUGUGCAGGGGCCAUGCUAAUCUUCUCUUGCCACUACCCUUCUUUGGACAUCCAUCAAGCAUCCAGGACUGCUCUAAGCUUCCUACUUCUUCAUGCACCUUCUUAACGCCUUCCAGUCCAUCCUCCCCUCUGCUGCCAGAAUGAUCCUCCAAACCUGAUCAUGUCAAUCCUCUGUUCUGAACUCUGUGAUGGCUUCAAGUUGCCUACAAAGUAGAAAUCACACUCCUAAGCAUGACAUUCAAUAUCCUUCACAGUCCUUAUCUUCUGGCACUCAACAAAUAUUUGGUCAAUCAGUGAAUGCUCUCUUCUUUAAAAUCCUGUUAGCAAACAUUCUCUCCACAUGUUAUUCAACAAUCCAAUUUAUUAAGUAUCCACAAUGUGUUGAAUUUUAAGAAUUUACUGGGUUUUUCCCCCAUAGGAUAAUGGGAUAACAGACAUAGUUAUGGACACAGAAUCUGGAGACCUGGUUCAAGUGCCACUCUGGCCCUUUCUCUGUAUGUGGAAAGUAAUUUUCUUCCCCUAGCCUCAGUUUCUCCAUUUGUGUAAAAGAAAGUAGAUCUACAUGAUCUCAAAGGCUCUUACAGCCCAUGUCUGUACUGGUUCCUGAUAUUAAAAUCCCUUGAAGGAGGAACCAAGAAUGUUAGACCCUAGGCAGCCUAAAAUGUGUGUCCCACAGCUGAAUCCUGUGCUCAGCAGCUUCAAGACAUCCUACUUUACCCAUGUCCUCACUUCAGCAUAGUCUCUCAGAAUCUCCUGACUGGCCCUAUACUAAAUUAUAGCACUGACAUUCACAUCUUCAGUGUAUUAGACCUGGAGCUGAGACAAUGGAGCUCUUACAGACUUCAGCUAUGAUCUCAUCUUCUGACCAAAAUUCUUUUCUUGGCCUAUGAUUGCUCAGCCCUAACGGGGGUGGGGAAGCAGGGAGCCCCUACUCCAGGAAGUACUGGUGCUCACUCAGCAUACCAUAGGUCUGAAAUUGGAGCAGGAACUUGUGUGGACUGGCAGGAAUCUUGUAGGCGCCUGUGAGAAAGAGAGGAAGAAUCUAGGCAAGCCCAGGAGAAACAAUCCUGAGAGCAAAGAGACCUGAAGAGAUGGAAGGCAGCAGGGUUGGUGUAAGGGAGAACUCCUUUAUUGAGAAGCUUCUGCAUACCAGGCACUUCUAAUCAGGGCUACCAUUUUGCAAGGCAGGUAUUAUCCUAUUUCCAAAGCUCAAAGAGAUUCACUUUUCCAGAACCACAUGACUAGGGAGUAGCUGUGGGAUUCAAACCUAGGUCUUCAAAGAUCUGUGUUUUUUCUUUCACACACCCUGAGAAGCAUCUUGGAGGAACUUAGGAAGUCUUGAGAGUAAAGCUUGACCCUCAGGGAAUACUUACCAGAUGGUUCUUUCUAGGAAAUGGGCAAGAUACUAAUGGGCUAAUAUUUCAUCCCAAAUGACCAGUACUAACCAUGACAAAAGGUAAUGUUAUAAUCACCAAAGGAAAUAGCUUUAGGUCAUAAAUGAAUGUUGUCUUUUGGGGGGAUGUAGAAUGACGUUGUUAAUUCCUUGAACAUGAAUGUGACUAAUAAACUAGGUGUGGUAUCAGUCAUCUUGUCCACACAGCUGUCUGGGUAUGCUAAUCUGUGGUUUGAGUCUCAGUUGCUGUCUGCCCAGUGGCGUGCUACACUCUAAUCUCCUGGGUUCACAGUUAGCUUGACAGUUUUGCUGAGUCUGACUCACUUGCUCCCNCCCAGCCAUCUGGGUAUGCUAAACACAUCUGUUCCUUCUCCUGGAGAGGAUAAUGACGUUGUUAAUUCCUUGAACAUGAAUGUGACUAAUAAACUAGGUGUGGUAUCAGUCAUCUUGUCCACACAGCUGUCUGGGUAUGCUAAUCUGUGGUUUGAGUCUCAGUUGCUGUCUGCCCAGUGGCGUGCUACACUCUAAUCUCCUGGGUUCACAGUUAGCUUGACAGUUUUGCUGAGUCUGACUCACUUGCUCCCAGCCUCAAUUGUUCUGUGCCAGUGCAGACUUCUUUUACAGUUGGCCUACUUAGAAACACAGGAUGUUAGUGUUGGAAGGGAGCUACCUUAAAAGUCACCUAGUAUAGCCCCCUAUCUUACAAAUGAGUUCACGGGUCCCGGACGAGGUUUGGUGAUAUCUGAACUCGGGUGGGUUUAAGUGGGAGGCAUGGUGGACCUCAGCAACAUGGGCCUGUCUGACAGGAGGAGGAAGCUGGGAUCAAGCAGCACUGGAGCUGGCCAUACUAACACUGCUGCAGGAUACGGGGGACCAGGGCACGGGGAGCAGACCCAGCCCCCUGGAAGAAUGGGUUGGAAGAGGAAAACAGAGCGUCAGGAUCCCAGCCAAGCAGUCUGGAGUUCAGGGCAAGGCUUCUGUCCCAGCAGGGAAAUGUAGGGCUGAGUAAGGGAAUUAGGCUGCAGGUCAGUUGUGAGGACUGGGCUGACAUGGCAAGGAGGGGGAUGGGUAUGAAGAGAAAAGUCCUAACUCAGAGCCUACCAGGCAGUGCAGAGUUCACCAGAGCACAAUAAAGUCCAGAUUAGUGUCAGCACACACCACCCCCAUGGUGGGUGGUAGCUGAUGAACUUCUCACUCUUCAGGAAGGCUCCAGACUGCAAGCAACUCCAUGCCAUAGCUGGGAAACCAGGGAAGGCAGCCCUGAAUUACUCCAUCCAUUCUGCAUCCAGAUGUCUCUUGGAUAUCCCUUUCCUCCAUUUCUACUGUCAUCAUCCUGAGCCCUGGUCAUCACUCCCCACCCCCCCGAAUUACUGCAGUAGAAUUUUAUUCUACCUGCACUCUUUCUAAAUAUUCUUCUCAUUGUCAUCAGAGGCAUGUUUCUAUGACAUGUGAGGUUGUCACUUGCUUUCUAUACAUGUUGGAUGACCUGCCAUUGCCUAGCAGCCUUCCUCAACUGGGCUUCCACGUGACCAUCAACCCCUACAGAAAAUUAUUUAAGUCACUGUUUUCUCAGUUAUCUCCCCAGGAUGGUGCAUAACUGGUAUUGUUCUAGGGAAGAACAAUACAAAGGGAAGAAAUUCAUUUGUACAGGGGAUGCCUGAGGUCAAGAGGGCUUAGUUUUCUUUUUAAUUUUUUUAAUGUUUAUUCAGUUUUGAGAGAUAGAGAGUGUGAGCAGGGGAGGGGCAGAGAGAGAGGGGAGAUACACAAUCCAAAGCAUGCUCCAGGCUCUGAGCUGUCAGCACAGAGCCUGAUGUGGGGCUCAAACUCAUGAACCGUGAGAUCAUAACCUGAGCCAAAGUCGGCUGCUCAACCGACUGAGCCACCCAGGCACCCCAAGAGGGUUUAGUUUUCUUGUGGAACCCUGGCUGAAGAAGGGCUGAUGAGAAUACAGCCCAGAUGUUGAAGCCUGGCACUCAAGGUCCCACACAGCCUCAGUCCAACUUCUCUGAGCCUCAUUUCUUGCCCUCCCGACCAUAUAUCCCAUGCUCUGACCAUACCAAACUCUUCUCAUUUCUCCAUCAUUUGAUUUUGUUCACGUCUUAAUGUUCUUCCUUCCACGUCUUCUUGGCCUUACAAAACCUUCACCUUCUUCCAAAGGCCAGCUCAGAUGUCACCUCCUCUCUGAAGUGGUGCCUCUAUGACCCUUAAAGACUGAUUGAAUUAUCCCCUCCUCUGUGUACCCUUAUUUUGUGUAUAUGUGAGCCACUGUAGAGGACAUUGUUCCUAGUGGAGGUUUACAUCUCUGUGUGACCUACAAAACUUAGACUUUCUGCACAGCAGGCCACAUCCCCCAUACUCCCCUGACCUGAAUAGAUGUUUAUCAAACUGAACAGCCCAGAGCUCCCUGGGUGAUCAAAAACAAUGCUGAUUCUGGAACACAGGACUCUUGACUCUUAUUGUGUAUUGUUAUUUGGGUUUCCACAUGACACUAGAUCAACUGUUAAACAUGCCAAUUUUAGAUAUGCAGGUUUGCAUGGUAAUAGUGUGGGCUGGGAGAAAACUUCUGGAAUAAUUACUGUCUGAGUGAGGGAGUAACAGCUGGUAGGUCCCACUAUGAAGGCAGAGUGGAGCCCGAAUGAUGUCAAGUAAAGUACCAGAGGAGACUCCAUCAGGAGUAUGCAUAGCACCAGCUUUAUAAUUUCUCUAGAAAAAAAGAGAAAGAAAUGAAGGAGAAAUCAUUGAUGGUAGGGCUAAGUGAAGGCCACAUAUGUCGAGAACUGUGUCUGAAAUGAGUCAUCGAAGCUGAAAUCUGAUAAUAAAGAGAAGGUACACUUGUAUAGUGCAGAAUGAUGUCACAUAAGUGAUCUCAUUUAAUUCUCAGAAUAACCCUGUGGUCGUGGGGGGUGGGGGGGGUGGAGUGAAGGUGUUUGUAGUGUUGUUACAGCCCUUCCUUUACAGAGGAGACAAUUAAGGCUCAGAAAGAAGUGACGUGUCAAACACCCACUGUCCCUAAGUGAGGCAGCUGGAACUAGAAGACAAGCUUGCCUGUCCCAGGUCCAGAGCCGCAUUCACUUUGUUUAAGAACGGGGAGGCGGCUCCUCUGCUCUAAAAGCUGACGGCUUUUAUAAAAUCAAAUAGGAUGACAUAUAGAGGAUUUUCUGAGCUGUGACUCAGAGGGACUCUCCAUAAACUCAAGACUUUUCUAGGCUGUUUUCAGAUGAAGAUAGAAAACCAUUAGUCAGCUGACUUGCAGGGAGUUGGCUGAUACAGAGCAAUUCUUGGCCUGAAUUGGGCAAAACUCUGACUUGACUAAAGAAUCUGGGACAGGACAGGAGAGCAGAGGGUGGUUUGUUUUUUACCUGCCUGUGGCUCCAGGGGGUAUACAGGACAGUGGAUGAGGGCCACUGCUGCUGCACUUUUUGGUCAGCUUGGCAUGCAGAAAGUGUCCAGAAGCUGGAAUGGAUGAGCUGAGACCACAAGAGGUCGCUCAGCUGGUCUCUCCCUCUCAGACUUCUCCAGGAACCCUGAAAACCGCGAACUCUUAGAAUCUAAGUACCACUGACCAAAGCUCUGCGGAUGAUCCCUUCUGUAGUUGUUUAGCCUCUGUGGUAUGUGUUUCCUGUCUCCCCAACAAAACCGUAAGGCCCUCAGGGGCACAGAGUUGAUUUAAAUAACUUUGUACUCCACUGUCUGGUGCUCUGAAUAUUUCAAACAAAUCUCAGGAAAUGGCCUUUUGGUUACAAUAAAGAUUUCAAGUUUAUUAGAAACAUCUUCUAUAUGACUCCAUGGAAUGAGAUUCCUUGAUUUGUCUUCCCUCUCCUUCAAAAGUUACCUAGAUCAUUUGUUUAAUCCUCAUCUAUUCAUUCUAUGCCAGCAUGUAUUGAGGGUCCUCUAUUGUGCUAGGUGCUACUAUAUGUUAGGCCCUAUGCUAGGUGCUAGGUACCUGGAGGGAAACAAGAGGUCACCCACCUUCAUGGACGUUAGAGUUUAAGGUGACACAGUCUGGUGUGGUUGGAAGACACUGAAGAGACUAAUUCAACUGCCUCAUUUGAGGUGAGAAAAUGAAGACCCAGAGAAGGAUAAAAUGUCGCUGAAGGUCACACAGCCAGUCCAUGGCAAAACCAGAUAAAGAAAAUAGUUCUACUUUUCAAUUAAGAUCCUGAUCUGAAGUUAUCCAGGGAGGCCAAAAAAAAGACACAUUAUCUUCCUUCCCUUCAGUCCCAACUCAGUAAAUCUCCUUCUUGGCUUCUUGAUUGUUGGAGAAAGUUAAUAUUUUCCUGCCCUGUCUGUUCUGGAACUAAGCAUGGUCUGUUAGUAAUAAACCAGAGUUUCCUCAUUCUCUGGAAGUCUAUCUUCUCUGUCCUUUGUAAACCCCCUUCUCCACAGAGGCUGUCAGUCUUAUACCUGGAGCCCCAGGACCAGAAAAAACAUGUUGCCAGAGUUUUACUUUUCAACAGGAAGCAGAAUAUGCUCUCUCUCAAAAAAAACACCAUGAAUUUCUGUUUCACAGAUUGCUUUCCAUAUGUGGAUGUUUACAUUAUACCAAGGGAGACAGAAAAUGAACAAUAAAAAUAAGUGAAAUACAACAUAUACUAUGCUAAUGACAAAUGCUAAAGAGAAAAAUAAAGCAGUGGAAGGAACUAGGAAAUGCGGGGGGAUGGAUGUUGUCAUUUCAGCUAAGGUGGCUAAGGAAGACCUCACUGAGAAAGUGACGUUAAAGACCAGAAGGAAGUGAAAAGGUGGCAAUGCAGACAUCUGGGGAAAGAGCAUUACAGGCAGAAGGAACAAUGACAAAGCCAUUGUUAUGGGUUGAAUUGUGUCUCCCAAAUGAUAUAUUGGACUCCUAAUCCUUGGUAUCUGUGAAAUUUGACCUUGUUUGGAAAUAGAGACUUUGCAGAUAGAGUCAAGUUAAGAUGAGGUCAUCAGAGUGGGCCCAGUCCAAUAUGAAUGACUGGUGCCCUUAUAAGAGGACACAGAGACACAGAUAUUUAGGAAGAGUGCCAUGUAAUGACAGAGUCAGAGGUGUGAUGCAGCUGCAAGCCAAGGAAUGCCAAGGACUGACAACUACCCUUAGAAAGCAGGAAGAGGCAAGGAGUCCCCACUACAGGAUUUAGGGGGAACAUAGCCCUGAUAACACUUGGAUUUUUUAAGUUUACAUAUUUAUUUUGAGAGACAGAGAAAGAGAGAGAGCGAGCACAAGUGGGGGAGGGGCAGAAAGAGAGGGAGAGAGAGAAUCGCAAGCAGGCUUGGCACUGCCAGUGCAGACCCCGACACGGGCUCGAACCCAUGAACCAUGAGAUCAUGACCUGAGCCAAAACCAAGUCAAACGCUUAAGUGACUGAGCCACUCAGGCACCCCAACACUUUGAUAUUUUAACUUCUAGCCUCCAGAACUGUGAGACAAUAAAUUUCUGUUGUUUUCAGCCACCUGGUUUGUGGAACUUUAUUAUGGCAGUCCUAGAAAACUCUUACAGCCAUGGAGCAGGAAUGUGCCUGGCAUGUUGAAAAAUAUGGAGGCCAUGUAGCAAAGAUGAGAAUAAUGGGAAUAACAGACGGUGUAUCAUGUAGUGCCUUAUAGGUCAGAGAAGUGACAUAAUCUGACUUACCCUUUAACAGGUGUAUAUAUAGUUAUAACUGUGUGCUGUAUUUAUUUAUGGCUGAAUAGAAAUGUAUGGAAGAACCCAGAUGAUAUUAAGUUAAUGAAAUAAUCAUAAGAAGUAGUGAGAAAGGUACCCAACUGUGUAAAUACUAAUAUUUAUAAUUCAAUUUUUCAUUUGCUCUUUAGGUCUAUUUUAAUCAAUAGUGUUGGUGCAUAGCUAAUUUUAAAAGGAUGAAAUUUUUCUUUUCUUUUUUUUUAACGUUUAUUUAUUUUUGAGAGAGAGACAGAGACAGAGUAGGAGCAGGGGAGGGGCAGACAGAGAGGGAGACACAGAAUCUGAAGCGAGAUCCAGGCUCUGAGCUGUCAGCACAGAGCCCCAUGGAGGCCGGGGGUGGGGAAGGAGGGGCUCGAACUCAUGAACUGCAAGAUCAUGACCUGAGCCUAAGUCAGAUGCUUAACCAACUGAGCCACCCAGGCACCCCUUUAUUUUCAAAAGCAGAUCAUUAGGUGGCAAAGUGUGGACUCUCUUACCGGACCUCAGUUGACCACACUAGUGGCCACCUGGGUUCAGACCAUAAUCACAUGACACAAAACAGAAGUCUCCAAAUAUCAGUCUCAGUUGCCCUUAUUCUCUGCCACCUUGUAGGCCCAGUGCAUGCAGCCAACUGUUGCAGUCUCUCUAGAUUCCCACGAAAGAUGGUCUGACCAGGCUUCCUCCUGGGUCAGAUGUCUACUCCUAAGCCCAUCAACCAUGGCUGAAGACUGGGUCAUUUUGAAUGGAAAACUGCUCUCCUCCCAAGGCUGUGGAUGCUUUAUUUUCUAAGAAGAGGAUGUGAAAGUAGGAGGGAUAUAAAGGGCAUCUCUAGCACAAAAUCCCUCAGCUGUAACAUUUCAGAAGAAAUCUUCAACUUUUUUUUUAAAUUUUAUUUUAAUGUUUAUUUAUUAUUGAGAGACAGAGAGAGACAGACAGAGCAUGAGCAUGGGAGGGACAGAGAGAGGGGGAGACACAGAAUCCGAAGCAGGCUCCAGGCUCUGAGCCGUCAGCACAGAGCCUGAUGCGGGGCUCAAACCCACAAACCGUGAGAUCAUGACCAGAGCUGAAGUUGGACGGUUAACUGACUGAGCCACCUGGGCGCCCCUGAAAUCUUCAACUUUGAAGCAAAUGGUCAGUUUUGAGUUCCUCUUCUGCUAUGCAUUAAUUGUCUGACCUUGAAUGCAGUCAGUUCAAGUUUUGAGUUGUUUCCUCAACUGAAAAAUACAGAUAAUACUCCUACUUCAAAGGGUUGUUUUCAUUCACUUAAAAAAAUAAUUUUAGGGACACCUGGGUGGCUCAGUCAGUUAAGUGUUGACUUCAGCUCAGGUCAUGAUCUUGCGGUCUGUUAGUUCGAGCCCUGCAUCAGACUCUGUGCUGACAGCUCAGAGCCUGGAACCUGCUUUGGACUCUGUGUCUCCCUCACUCUCUGCCCCUCCCCCACUUGUGCCCUGUCUCUCUUGCUCCCUAAAAUAAACAAACAUUAAAAAAAUUUUUUUUUAAAUAAUGUUACAUUUUUUGAGAUAGGCAAUGGCCUAGGCACCAGAAAUAUGGAAAUAAAAGAUACAGGCCCUGCUGCAGGGAGGCUCACAAGGUAGUGAAGGAGGCAGGUAAGAAAGCAAAUAAUUACAGUUCUAGGUACUCUGCCCUGAGGGAGAGCAGCACACCUGGGUUAGGUGUUCUCUUUGCAUACCCCCAUCAUGGGAGGUAUAUCUGUGUGUGUGUGUGUGUGUGUGUGUGUGUAUGUGUGUCUGUGUGGUGUGUUUGGUGUGCAUGUGGUAUGGACCAAACAGAAGAGGAAGGACAGUUGGUAACACUUCCAGAGGGAAAGCUGGGUGGCAGCUUGACAGACAGGUAGGCAUUACUGGGAAAUAAAGGUGGGGAGGGGAAGUAUGUCCAGGUAAGGAAGAUAGCACAUGUUGAAUCACAAAUAUAUGAAAGAGACUGGUCAUUUUGCUCAUGGAAGAGCAGGGCUGAAGUAAAAAACAGCAUCUGUCAAUGAGUGAGGCAGGAACUCCGGUGUGGUGGCUAGGAGUGAAGCUGGAGAGGAAAGCGAGGCUCCGAUUGUGGAGAAAGAAAUGAAAGAUUGUGUGGUUAAGCUCUCUGAGAGCCAAGAGUGCCGCAUGCAGUAACAGUGGCAAACACUCAUAGUGCCAUAAUGCAGGCUAAAUUCUUUCAUGAAUUUACCCCUAUGAGUCAAGUAAUGUUAUCUUCAUUUUGCAGGUUAUUAUUUGAGUAAUUUUCCCAGGCUCACACGAUGUCUUAGUUUAGGUUCCACCAGAAGCCAACGUUGAGGAAAGGAUUCAAGUACAAGCAGCUUUUGGGAAAGUGGGGCUGACCCCACGAAACACAAGAUGGGGAGAAGGGAAAUGAGUGACAAGAAUCCGGGAAAAUGUGUGCUAUCAAGCAGGUUACCACCAAGGACAACUGGAGUUGUCUCAUUGGGGAAUUUUGGAAGACAGUGAGGAAUACUCUUAAGAGUUAUUCUCACCUGGGAAUGCAAGCUGGUGCAGCCACUCUGGAAAACAGUAUGGAGGUUCCUCAAAAAACUAAAAAUAGAACUAUCCUACGACCCAGCAAUUGCACUACUAGGCAUUUAUCCAUGGGAUACAGGUGUGCUGUUUCGAAGGGACACAUGCACCCCCAUGUUUAUAGCAGCACUAUCCACAAUAGCCAAAGUAUGGAAAGAGCCCAAAUGUCCAUCGAUGGAUGAAUGGAUAAAGAUGAUGUGGUAUAUAUAUACAAUGGAGUAUUACUCGGCAAUCAAAAAGAAUGAAAUCUUGCCAUUUGCAACUACGUGGAUAGAACUGGAGGGUAUUAUGCUAAGUGAAAUUAGUCAGUCAGAGAGAGACAAAAAUCAUAUGACUUCACUCAUAUGAGGACUUUAAGAGAAAAAAAGAUGAACAUAAGGGAAGGGAAACAAAAAUAAUAUAAAAACAGGGAGGGGAAAAACAGAAGAGACUCAUAAAUAUGGAGAACAAACUAAGGGUUAUGGGAGGCAUUGUGGGAGGGGGGAUAGGCUAAAUGGAUACCGGGCAUUAAGGAAUCUAGUCCUGAAAUCAUUGAUGCACUAUAUGCUAACUAAUUUGGAUGUAAAUUUUCAAAAAUAAAAAAUAAAAUUAUAAAAAUAAAUAAAUAAAUGUUAAAAAUUAAAAAACAAAAAAAGGAAAACCUAUUAAUGUAUCUCAUUAAAAUGAGAUGUUAUUGAUUGUAAUACACCAAAUUUAAUAUACCACUAAGAAAGAAAAACUUUUCCAUUCUAAUACUCUCACAGACUAUUAAUUAUAAGAUAUAUUCUAACUUCAGAAAUGUUGAAAUGUGACAAAAGUGUAUCUUGAAAGAUAUUAAGUAAUAAUUAAAAUAAAUACUCGAACAAUCUAUUGAAAAACAAAAAGAGUUACUCCCACCAAGGGGCACCAGUUGGCUCAGUUGGUUAUGCGUCCAACUUUGGCUCAGGUCAUGAUCCUGUGGUUUGUCGAGUUUGAGCCCCACAUCCGGCUCUGUGCUGAUAGCUCAAAGCCUGGAGCCUACUUCAGAUUCUGUGUCUCCCUCUCUCUGCCCCUCUCCUGCUUGCUCGUGCUCUAACACACACCGUCUCUCUCUCUCUCAAAAGUAAAUAAAUAUUAAAAAUUAAAAAAAAAAAAGUUAUUCCCACCGAGAGGUGAGGAAGCUAGGGUAUCUCACCAGUCUCCAUCAUUGUUUGAGGACUGUUGCUCAGGAUGUUAACUCUGGCUUUCCUAGCUCCUCUGCACAAGGGCCAAGUGCAUUCUUUAUGCAAUGAGUUGUAGGUACUCUCAGUAAACAGACUUUGGAGUGUAGAAGAGAGAUCAAGAGAUUAUGGGUAGGAUGCUGAAAGUGUCCUAUCACAAGAUCUAAGUGGGGAAGCCAGGGUCUUGCCCCUUGAAGUCUGGCUCAGGUUUUAGCAACAAUAUGAUACGGCUGCCCAAAUGCAAGUUUAUAUCUAUAUCAUCUAUAUCUAUAUCUAUAUCUAUGUCUGUAUUCAUAGUAAUACAGUACUUUUCAGAAAACAUAAUAUUGUGGCUAGACGAGAGGGAGCCCAUUGUCCUAGUCAAUGACUGGCAUAUAACAGAUCUUUGAUGGAUAUUUGUGAAUGAAUUCUUUAAAAUUCAAUGCAAGUUAGUCAUUCAGUGUUAUCCAGGUGAAAGCCUCUGGCUAGAAAUCAAGAUUGUAGUCUGGGUUCUGCCACUAGUUUGGGGACCUCAAGGAAGCCAGUUAGUCUCAUUAAGCUUUACUUUUCUCAUUUUGAAAUCUUGUUUUACUACUUGCCCACCUGUCUGUACAUAGAACGGUUGUGAGCUGAUCAUGGCUAUGAAAAACAGACUACAGCAGACUGAGAAGUAAUCCUGUAUCUCAGUCUUUGGAUUGGAUCAGGGCGAAGUUACUUGUUGGCCUUUUGGCUUCCCAGGAUCCAGGACCACCUACAAUGGGUCCAUCAGCUAUAUCAGAGCUCUUGGAGGCAAAUAACAGGACCCAACUCUGGCUAUUUUAGUCAGAACAAGAAUUUGAGAGAUAUAAGGAAAAUCACAGAAUUGGCAGGAGGGCUAGACCAUCAAGCUUGGAAAAUGGACAUGAACCAAAGGAGACCAUCUCAGGAAACAGAAAGACUAUAUCACAGAAACAUCUCCAUUAAGAUGCUGCUGCCACUCCCACUGAGCAGUGGGCACCAAUGCAACCACCAGCACAAAUUCUAAACUGUCCCUGUUUCUUGGGCAGGAGCAUCAGCGGGAUCGAGCUUAGGUCAUAUGCUUGCAUUCCAGCUGCCAGGAAUCUAGAAGGGCAACUGUCUGACCUCUUUCCCAAAUUCCAUAAGGGGAAGACACACUCUGCCUCCCAUGAGACCCAUGUUUCAUGUGAUGGCCAUUCCCUCAAAUGUAGGAAGGGGGCUCGGGUGCUGGGCAGCCAUAAAAAAUUUGAUCCUUGACAAAUAUCCUGUCUAAGGUACUCAAAAGUCCCAUUCAAGUUAGGAUACGGAGAAAGUAAGGAUACUGGUUUAAAACUGGAAAGCUAAGAUUAGGUCAUGAGACUUUUUAUUUCCUAAAAUCAGUUCGAGGUACAGGGUACAAAGAUGACUAAGACAGGGGCGCCUGACUGGCUCAGUUGGUAGAGCAUGCGACUCUUGAUCUUGGGAUUGUGAGGUCAAGCCCUGAGCUGGACAUAGAGCUUACUUUAAAAAAAUAAAAUUAAAAAUAAAAAGAUGACUAAGACACAGGUGCUGGCCUCAAGGUGCUAUAUGCAGGUAGGGAGGAAAGAUAAAUAAAAUGUAAGGAAAGGCUAUAAAUGAGUACAACAAAGUAGAAAGAGAACAUAGAACAAAGGAUUAAUGCUGGGGAUCGUGUGGGUGGUCAGGAAAGCUUUUACAGAAAAGAUGAGUCUAGAAGGGUAGAAAGGGAGUGGAAGAAAGAGCAUCAGAGGCAGAGCCAUCUUUGGUGUGGGUUAAUCUUCUUGAUUAGCCAGAAUCUGGUUCUGGUAUUUCCUGCUUAGUCCUUUCCUACUGCCAUCAACCACAACACAUAUGCUACUACAGUUAAGGUCUAAAUUUAGUAAGGUCUAAGUGUUAUUAGGGUAUUGUCCGAGCCAAGUUUUUCUUCCUUUGCUCUCCCCUAAAUCUCUGGUGCAUAGUAGUAUUGGCACAAGCUUAUUGCUGCUUCUGCUGUUUUUAGCUAUUUUAGAUGCAACCAACCAUAUACUCGUCAGACCUGGGUUUAAAUAAUGGCACAGCCAUUUUCUAAUUAUAAUACCUCUCUGAGCCUCAGUUUCCUCACAGGUAAAAUGAAUCAAAACUACUUGCCUUCCAGGACUGUUUGGGGGAUUAACUGUGAUGAUGUUUGUAAAGUGCCAUCACUCAGCAGUUAGUAGAUUGCUGGUUCAAGGAAGUUCUCUGCAAGUCUGGUGAUGACAAGCAUUCCUCUCUGUUCUUCCUUUUUGACCUAAGUAGUUUCACAAUGCAGCCAAGUAGAUCCCAAGAAGGAAAUGUCUUCUGGGAGGGAGAUGGCCCACGAGUUGGGUCAAAAAUGUGAGAAUAUUGGUGUGAGGAAGGAACAGAUACGAAGUUCCUCUUGAGCUCUCAGCCCUUUCCAAUGCCUGACUCCAUGGUGGGUCUGAGGGGCUGGUGGUUAUUGGACUUGAGGAAGGUUUUCCAACCCCUGAAGAAUGAUUUUGAAAACAGCCCUUCUGGCACUAGGGAUAUUUGCCUGUGCCCAAUAGGAGAAGUAAACGAUUUACCCAGAUGUGGGUUUGAUCAGGCUCCCUUCUCUCUCAAGAUCAGGCCACAGAACUCAGAAGUGUGGAGAACAGCACAUCUAUUAACUAACCAUGUUUACAUACUGUUCUUGCACAGCAUUUGGAAAUGGGGACAAUAUAACAGGUUGAAUAACACUGAUGGAGUCACACUGUGUCCUUUCAGAAUAAUAAGCAUGAUACUUGAGGGGAAUUUGCUACUGGCUGAAGCCGUUUAAUAAAUGGGGAAGAUCCAGAUGUGGAAAUGAUAUGUGGCUUGGAACAGACACCCAAUUAUGUGAAGUAUGAAUUUAGAUCUCCUUUCUGAAAUUCCUGGUGUAUAUUUCAUUAGUCUCGUCUUACUAAUAAACAAUUGUGUUCUGUUCCAACCUUGGACUUCUAGGUAAAUUCUGAUCAUUCAUUCAUUACACAGCUGUAUAUUGAGUACUUGCCACAUGCCAGGCAUUGUGAGGUGUGUAUAAGAUCUUGAAUUUGAUUCUGAAGAAAGGAGAGAGGAUUGUUUUAUAAAAAUUCAGAGUGCUUCUCCCUUCAAACAUUAUUUGUGGAGAAGUGUAAAUGUCUCCCCUAUCUGCCUAUGGAGGAAAUAAUUUCAUGUAGAAUGGCUUAGUUCCUGUGUGCAUCUCAUCUGGGGGUAGGCUCAGGAAUGGGAGGGAUUGAGCAGCAGAGCAUGUUGCUAUGGUAACUUGGCAUCAGCACACCUUUAGCUCCUUUGUGUCGCCCCCAAAUUACCUUUAUAACUAGUGUUUCAGAGCAUGGAAAGCUUUUCUUAAUUUCCACACAGCCAGUGAUGAAAGCAUUUUCCAAGGCACUAGGCAAAGGGAGGGUGCUUUCUUUUUAAGGCUGAGGCUCUGCUCAUGCUGUUUCCGAAGCCACAGUAUAGAUCCAAGAUGCAGACUCUCUUGUUUUUUUUUUUGGAAGAUUUCACUUUCAAAUCCCUUUCACGCAUGUUAUCUCGAUUUUUAUUGCCACAUUUUUUUAACCUUACACAGUCCAAAAGGACAAGAAAAUGAACCCGCUAAACAUUUAUGCUUCAAAAUAACCAUGUGAGGUAGGGACUGGUAUCCCCAUUGUACAAACAGAAGAACUAAAACUCAGACUUUCCAUAAUGUGCCCAAGGUCACAUUAUUAGAAAUGGCAGGAUGAGGAAUGCAACCAGGACGUUAGAUCCCAAAUCCAAUGUCUUUCUGUUAUACCUCAACUGACUCCCAAUCUCUUUCAGCCUUUGUUACUUUAUAAAAAUACAGAUGUAUAUAAAAUAGCAACCAGUUUAUGCUUUGCUUUAAAAAAAAAACUUUAUUGAAGUAUUCUGUAUAUUUCAUAGCAUUCAAUCAUUGUGAACAUACAGCUCAAUGAUUUUUCCCCUAAAUAUGCCAGUGGGUUUUUUUUUAAUGUUUAUUUAUUUUGAGAGAAAGAGACCACAUGUGUGUGAGCAGGGGAGGGGCAGAGAGAGAAAGGGAGAGAGAGAAUCUCAAGCAGGCUCUGCACUGUCAGCACAGAGUGAGAUCAUGAUCUGAGCCGAGAUCAAAGUCGGAUACUUAACCAACUGAGCCACCCAGGUGCCCCAGUUCAAUGAUUAAAAAAAAUUUUUUUUGCAACAGUUUUAUUAAGAUAUAACUCACAUAUCACAUGUUCUAUCCAUUUACAGUAUAAAAGUCAAUGGUUUUUAGUAUAUUCAUAUACUACAACCAAUUUCGGGACAUUUUUAUCUCAAACCCUCAUUUUUAUCUCAAAUCCUCUAUCGGUAACCCACCAAUCCUCAGAUUCUCUCCACCACCCUGCCCUAAACAACCAUUAAUCUAGUUUCUGUCUCUAUGGAUUUGCAUUUUUGGACAUUACACAUAAAAGGCAUCCUAUAAUAUGGGGUCUUUUGUGACUAGCUUCUUUCACUUAGCAUAAUGUUUUCAAGGUUCAUCCAUGCUGAAGCAUGCAACAGUAAUUCAUUCCUUUUUAUGGCCAAAUAAUAUUCCAUUAGAUACACGACGUUUUGUUUAUCCAUUCAUCCGUCGAUGGACAUUUGGGCUGUUUCUCCCUUUGGACUAGUGUGAAUAAUGCUGCUAUGAAUAUUUGUGUACAAGUUUUCGUGUGGGCAUAUGUUUUCAUUUCUCUAGGAGUAAAAUUGCUGGGUCAAAUUUCACUCCUGUCUAUCUAGGAAUAAUUUUACAUUCUGACCAACACUAUGAGAUUCCAGUUCUUCUCCACACCCUCACCAAAGUUGGCAUGCUUUGCUUUUUUCACAUAACAUUAUUUCUUAGUUACAUUUCCAUAUCCACAUGGUUGUCAUUUUUAAUGGGUAUCCGCAGUGUUCCAAAGCAGUUACUUUGAUGUUGUUAAAGGAUUACUUUAAAGUUGAGGAUUUAUAUUGUUUUCUGUUUUAUGCUAUUGUAAGUAGUAGAACUAGGAUCUGUGCCACUUACUUCUUUUUUCCCUUACUUUAUUUCCUCGAGGUACAUUCCGGAGUGGAACAAAGGGCUCACACAGCACUAUUGCUGCUUCCCGGGUUACCCUGCAGAGGUUGACUGUGUAUAAAAUGCCACUUGCCAAGCUCAUUCCUGCCUACUUCCCCAUAGCCUCUGCCAACACAGGGCUUUAUUGCUUUAUCACUGUGCAUUAAUAAUAUAGGUAUAUGAUAGAGUUUUGAGGUUGUUUUGAGUGGCAUUUCUUUUGCUGUUAGUAAACUUACAGUAUGUGAAGGGCCAUCACAUAGUCACUGUAACUGAGUCAUUGAUCCAAAGAGGCCAGAUAGUAUAGGAAAUUUUAGGGGUGGAAGCAAGGGGUAGCAGAUGGAGAGUAAAAGGAUUCUCUGGGUUUGGGGACAUGGGUUCAGUUAUGUUUGAUAGGGUGGUUGUAGCCUCAGCCAUAGAAAAGAAUGCUGCCUAAAUGGUCAGCUGAUUUAGACAACUGAAUUUUCCCCUCAUUCACCCCCUCUCAUGGUUCUGCCCUUCCCUCUCUGACCAUUCCUUCUCAAUCUCAGUUGAGAGUUUAUUUUCUUUUGUCUACCUCUUAGAGAUUGGUAUUCCCCAGGAUUUCAUUCUCAGGAUUCUUCUUUUUUUUAUUUAACACUCCGGGCAAUCUCAUCUACUCCCAGGGCAAUAAUUACUAUGUAAAUGCUGGAAACUCCCAAAUCUUUAUCUCCCAUUUCAGAUUGAAUUUUCCAUGUGCUUAUCUAACUCCCAACUAUACAUCUCUAUUUGAAUGGCCCUAGGCAUCUCAAGCAUAGUAUUUCUGCCUCCAGCCACUUGUUUUUUCCCCAUAUCUCUGUCUAUCAUGACAGCAACCCAGUCGCCCAAGUCAGAAACCUGGAAGCCACUCCAAACUCCUUCUCUAGCCUACAUAUUUCUAAAUAUCACUCAAGUACCUCUUCUUUUGUCCAAACCUAUUACACUAACUUGAUUCAUGUUUUUAUUUCUCCAAAUAAUUGUAGCAUUGUUACAUGUAUUAGUUAGGGUUCUGUUGGUUGUAAUUGUGUCACUUUAGGAAGGAAAAUUAAAAGAUUUAUUGAAUGGCUACAUGUAUGUAAUGAAAGAAGAGACUGGGUAAUCACUGUGGAAAGGCAGGCUCUAGGGCGGUUCUAGGGACCCGGGAGCAAGCAGGUAGCCCACAGAGCUUCUCUGGAGGGUCUGCUAUAGAUGUGACUUGGUUGCAACAAUCCUCAGCCUCUGAAUCUCUCAGUUCAAACUAGUACAUUUCUGGGGAGUCUGGAGACCAACAAAGAUCAAAAAGAUGGAGAGGCUGAGUCUUGUGAUGGAAACACAACUGCUGGAAAAUGGCUUUCAUGUAUUAGAGGCAAUUAUCAGAGAAAAAGAAAGGGCAUGAGAUAGUCUUUCCAGAAGUUAUUUACUAUUUUGCCACAAUUUCUGAACUGAUCACCAUGCCUCUAGUCUUACCCUCCACCAAUCUCCUUCUGCUAGAGUAAUCUUCCAAAAUACAAGCCCAAGAGAAAAGAGAGGUAGUGGGGAAAGCAAGGGCAUGAAAUCCGCAUUCGGCUCUUGCUAAGUCUGGGACUUUGGGCACUAAUAACCAUCAUCUAUCUAUUUGAGUCCCUAUUCUUCGCCAACACGGUGUAGGCCCUUAAUAUAUAUUAUUUCUACCCCUUGUGACAGCUCUGUAAGGUGAAUAUUAUCAUUACUGUGCAAAAGAGGACACUGAGAUUCUGAAAAAUUUAAUAAACUUGUCCUAGGAUAAGUAGCAGAAUCUACCAUGUGACUCAAGGCAUUUAUUAAUUUAUUACUGUGCUAUACUCUCUCUCUCUCCCCCCCCAAAUAAAUAAACAAGCAUUCGAAAAAUAAUAAUCAAACAGUUGCCAGACAUGGCCAGCCCAUUGUGAUCUUUCUAGUUUCAACUCUUUCUACUCCCCCACAUGCAUCGAACACUCCAGGGACACUGAACCAUUAAAAAAAAACGGACUCUUGUGCCAAAUUUCCUUUUGUCUUCCUCUGUUCUAGCCACUGCCUCUUUUUUCUUUCUACUUCCUCCUCAUAAAAGUCAUCUCUUUCUGUGUCACGAUCCCAUCUUUAUUUUUUUUUUAAAUAGUGACAGUCUUCUUCCUAAAACUUGCGUUAUUGCAAGCUUCCCAGAAAGCUGUGUACUUUUACCCGUAACAAGGGAAGUCCUGCCCUUCCUUUUGCCAAUUGCACUGAGCCCUUUCAGUCACCAGGCUGUCUGGAACCUUAGUGGCCAUGUGCAAUGUCCCUGCAGGUUUGCAGUCACGGUCACGCUGAAGCUACACACAGGGCUAGAGUAUCCCAGUUACACCCUCAGGAAUGAUUAUGGAGUAUGAAGUUACUUGGGCUGGUGUGCCCCUUGAGCUCAGGCUUGAGGAAGGUGUGGGGAUCUCUAAUAUAUUCAGGAAAUCAUUUACCUGACAGGCAUCACAGAGAUCUGAAUCCUAUCCUUUCACUUAGAGAAGCCGCAUGGCUUAGCGGAAACUGCUAACUUUAGAGUCAGGACUUGGCUUUGAGCCCACUUACCUGGCUGGCUGCUCUUUUGACAAACCACUAAUAUCUGUAAGCCUCUGGAUCUUCAACUGUAGAAUAACAUUAGCCCUCUUCCACUUACCUUAUAGGGUAGAUGUAAGUUUUUUUAAAGCAUGUAAAAAUACUGCUUCUUAUUGGGCAUUAACUAUGCACCAAGAACAGGUAGGUACGUUUCUCCUAUUUUAUACAUGGUUUAUACAGGUUCAGGAACCUGUCACAGAGUCACUCUGCUAACACAUGGAGAAUCAGGAUUAAAACCCAGGUGUUUUUGUUUUGUUUUGCUUUGUUUGUUUGUGUUUUAGUUUGAGAGAAAGAGAGAGCAUGCAGAGGGCAGGGGUAGAGGGAGAGUGAGAGAGAAUCUCAAGCAGAGUCCAUAUCCAGCCUGGAGCCCAAUGAGGAGCUCCAUCCCACAACCCUGGGAUCAUGACCUGAGCCAAAAUCAGGAAUCAGAUGCUCAACCAACUGAGCCACCCAGAUGCCCCUUAAACCCAAGUAUUUCUGACUAUGUUGUUCUUGUUGUUUUUCUUCUUUAAUUAUACCAGACUGACACUCAUGAAACAUGCAAUCUGAAAACAUUUUAGCAGGAAAAGCAAAGUCCUGUACUAUAGAGAGAAAUUAUUAGUUUACAGAUGAAGAAACUGAGGCCCAGAGAAGUGCAAUAACUUCCCUUGGGAGUUGGUGGCAAGUUUUCAUCCAGCAAGUACUCAGCAGGGUAAGUAGGCGUGCAGGCCACUCACGAAUUAAGGUGUGGCUGCAUCCAGCUGAAAGAGGGAAAUCCAGCAAAGGUAACAGGUAUUUAGGACUAUUUUCACAUGUUUUCCACUUUGUGGUUGCACUAGACAGCUUAGAUGACACAAUCUCGGUGACACUGUCAGGUCAGAAGAGUUUCCAGAUCCCUUGUUGUGGAACACGGAAGGCUGUGACUCGGCCCUGUCACAAAUCUCCAGUGUCAUCUCUUAUCAGGCCUCCCCUGCCACCACCUAACCCCCAAAUUUUCUCUUCAGUCAUAGUAACGACUUGCACUUCCCAAAAUGGACCCUAUGGAUUUGUGCCUCUAUGCCCCCAUGCCCUUUGCUUGGAAUACACUACUUCACCCCCUGAGUACCCAGCGGUACUCAUUUUCUAAGACUGCUUAAAGGUCAGUGCCUGAAUGAAGUCUUACCUGGUGUCCCCUGCCCUUCCCCACUUUAGAUAUCAACCUUCUCUCCUUUGGGUCUCUAAUAUCUCCUCUACAUAUUUUUGCAUUGGGACAUAGAACAUUUUUAUUGAUGCCAUUUUUGCAGUAAGACUGUUUAUUUACCUGUCUGUUAUCAACUGUUAACACCCUAAGUGUAAGGACUAUCUCAUUUGUAAUUGUGUCUUUAGUAUUUAGUAUGGUGAGCUUCUAGGGGCAGAGCCUGAUCUACUCUGCAGACCACCCAACAUCUACUCCCAACCUGUUUAUCUUUUGCCUGCCUCCUCUAUAAAGGCUGGAAAAACUAAGUUCUCUUUUUCCAGCCUCCCUUACAGCUAGUAGGGACUGUGUAGAAAACCAGAGAAGAUAAUGAGAUAUAAGCCAGUGAGAUAUAAGCAAAGGUCUUGGGAAGGAGUGAAGAGCUUCUGGGAGAACUUUUGCAUUCUUGUAAAAGGGCCAGAGUGACUGGUGCAAACUAUCUCCUCUGCAUCCUGCCUUGAAUGCAAACAUAAUGCUGGGGCUGGGAUGACCAUCUUGCAACCAUAAGGGAAAGCCCCAAAGGAUCAGUGCAUCUGUCUAGAUUUUUGUUAUGUGAGAAAAAUAAACCCCAACUAAUUCAAUCACUAUUGAUAGAUUAUCUGUUACUUGCAGCUGAAAACAUUCCUAACUGAUGAAUUACUGAUGUUUGUUAACCAAAAGAAGUGAUUCCUUAUUUCAAUGAUUUUUCAACGUUUUUUUUUUAUUUCAAUGAUUUUUAAACGAUUGGUUCAGCACCAGAAACCUCUCCUCAAGAGGACUUUUAUACCAAACCCAAUCGAUAUUGAUCAAAGCAGAUAUAGCCCUUUUCUUGCUCCUUCUUUUCCCCAGAUGACCCCUAAGACACCUAUUUGGAACCCUGAAGCCUUCUCUGAAUACUCACUACACUCUCUAACACAGUGUGGAUUGGAACAGCCUCUUUUUUUGUGCAUGAUAUGGCAGUUUGAGGGCACUUUCUAUCAUGUUCUUAAAUUAUGCAAUUCUUGACUCAGCAACUCCAUUUCUAAGACUCUAUUCUACAGAAAUACUGGCAUUUCUGUCAAAGACAUAUAUACGUAUAGGGUGGUUUGUUAUAGAAUUGCUUGAAGGUAAAAAACAAAAAAACAAAAAAAAACAAAAAAACAGUAAGAACUUAAAUGUCCACUAAAGGAUUAAUUAAUUACUUUAUAGCACAUUCAUAGUCUGCUGUAUUCUGCAGCCAUUACUGAUUUGAAAGGUUUUCAAGAUAUAUUAAAGUAAUAUGUCUUUAACAUACAUUUUUAAAGAAACUCACAAAAUACUAUUGAAAGAAAAACUACAGAGUUGUGUAAAAAUAUACAUAUGUAGAUAUGCAAAUGCAUACAGAAAUGCCUUGAAGGAAGACCAAGAAAAUAUUAACAGUGCUUACUUUUCAGUAAUGAGACUGAGAGAAAAAGAAGUUUGACUUUUUCCUUUGUAAACUUGUAUAUUGUUUGAAUAAUCGGGAGAUAUUUAUUCUUACUCUGUUAAAAUAGAGAAUAACACCUGACCAAAGAACAUACAGAUGGCAAGUAAGCUUAUGAAAAGAUGCUCAACAUUGUCUGUCAUUCGGGAUUUGCAAAUAAAACAACGAGAUACCACUAUAUAUUAGAAUUGAAAAAACCAAAAUACUGACACCACCAAAUGUCGGCAAGGACGUGGAGGAUUAAGAACUCUCUCACUCAGGGUACCCGGGUGACUCAGUCGGUGGAGCAUCUGACUUCUGCUCAGGUCACGAUCUUGUGGUUAGUGAGUUCAAGCCCCACAUUAGGCUCGCUGCUGUCAGCCUAUCAGCGCAGAGCCUGCUUCAGAUCCCGCCCCUCUCUCUCUGCCCCUCCCCCCACUUGCGCUCUCCCAAAAAUAAAUAAAUAUUCAUUCAUUCAUUCAUUCUUGGUGGAAUGCAAAGUGGCUCAGCUUGGAAGAUAGUUUGACAGUUCCUUACAAAACUAAACAUCCUCUUAACAUAUAAUCCAGCAAUAGUGAGUGCCCCCUGGUAUUUACCCAAGUGAAUUGAAACUCCUGUCCACACAAAACCUGCACACAGAUGUUUCUAGCAACUGUAUUCAUAAUUGCGCAAAUUUGGCAAGAUGUCCUUCAGUAGAUGAUCAGAUAACUAAACUGUGGUACAUCCAAACAAUGGAACAUUAUUGAGCACUAAAAUGAAAUAAGCUAUCAAACUGAAAAGAAACUUAAAUACAUAUUACUAAAUGAAAGAAGCCAAUCUGAAAAGGCUACAUACUGUAUGAUUCCAACCACAUAACAUUCUGGAAAAGGCAAAACUACAGAGAUGAUGUAAAGAUCAGUAGUUGCCAGGAGUUAGCAGGAAGGGAAGGAUGAAUGGUUGGAGCACAGAGGAUUUUUAGGAGAGUGAAACUAUGAUGGUGGAUACAUGCCUUUGUACAUUUGUCAAAAUUCACAUAAUGUAUAACACCAGGAAUGAACUCUAGUGUAAACUAUGGACUUGGGGUGAAAAUGAUGUGUCGAUGUAGAUUCAUCAAUUAUAGCAAAUGUAACAUUAUGAUAGGGGAUGUUCAUAGUGAGGGGGGCUGUGCUCAUCUCAGGGUUGGGUGAGAUGGGAAUUCUCUGUACUUUCCACCUAAUUUUGCUGUGAACCUAAAACUGCCCUAAAAAAAAUUCUAUUUAAAAUAUGCAGGAUAAAAGAACACCAAAUCAAGACUUAGCCCAACGUGUUUAUUCAAUGUUUAUUAUGCACAACACAAUGGUCUAGGUAUUGUGAGGGUAAGCAAUAGUUAAAACAUAGUUCCCAUUCUCAAGAAGCCUAAAUAUAAUAGGGUAAAGCUGUAGAACUAUACUAUACUAUAAAGCAGAAUUUGUAAAGUUCUACAAUAAAGACACAAAGAACGAUGAUGAGAGUCCAAGGAAAAGAAUGACUUGCUCUUUCCAUUUGGGGAGAAUCUUAGAAUAUUUGACUAAAGUGAGAACGUAUGAGUUGAGUCUUCAAAACACAAAUAAGGUCUUGUCAGUCAGAUCUAGUAUUGCAAAGGGAAUAGGAAAAGCACUCUAAGCAGAGGGAAUAACACAAGCAAAGACAUGGAGGCACGAAACAAUGGAUAUUGUUUAUGAGGAAUGGUGGCUGCCAGUGUGGCUGCCUAGUACAAUUAUGUAAAGAGAUACAGUGGGCAAUAAAAUUGGGAAGGAAUGGUGAGAUAAAAAAGUACAGUAUCUUGGGGCACCUGGGUGGCUUCACUGGUUAAGUGUCUGACUCUUGAUUCAGACCCAAGUCAUAAUCUCACAGUUGUGAGACUGAGCCCUGUGUCAGGCUCUGUGCUGAGCACAGAGCCUGCUUGGGAUUCUCUCUCUCUCCCACGCUCUCUGCCCCUCCCCCACUUGUAUGUGUGCACCCACACUCUCUCACACAAAAAAGUGUACAGCAUCUUGUAUACUCCAUGCUAAGUGUUUUAUGUUAAUAAGACACAGUGAGUCUGCACGGGUUGGCAAACUCAAUCACUGGUAGAUGGGAUCCAUUGUCCAAAUAGCCAGGACAGAAGUAAAGAGGCAUAGGCCUCAGUCCAAGGGUCUGGGCCAGUAUUCAGAAGGGAUGGGAUCUGGCAAGGCUUCCCAAGAGAGAACAUGGCUGGGGUUGUGCCAACAGCCAGGUCAGAACAUCUACUGCCUUUUGGCUCAGAGCAGCUCUGCCCUCCCUGCUGAGACCAUCUCUGGCUGGCCAGACCAUACAUAAUUAAAAAUCAGGCUUGGGGAUGGGGAGCAGGUGAAAUAGGUGGAGAGGGUCAAAAGUUACAAACCUCCAGUUAUAAAAUAAAUAAGUCAUGGGUAAAUAAGUACACACACACAGCAACUAUAGUUAUUAUUGUAUUGCAUAUUUGGAAGUUGCUAAGAGUGGAUCUUAAAAGUUCUCAUCAUGAGAAAAAAAAUUCUGUAACUAUGUAUGGUGAUCUAUGUUAACUAGACUUAUUGGGUGAUCAUUUCACUAUAUAUACGAAUAUCAAAUCAUUAUGUUGUAUACCUGAAACUAAUAUAAUGUUGUAUGUCAAUUAUACCUUAACAAAAUAAAGGUAUAAUAUUUAUGCAAAGAACGAGAUUUGUGGGAUAGUUUGAAGGAGUACUAUCAGAGACAGAAAUAAUAUAAUACAAGACUUAUGAUUCCUUUUUUAUCUUCCAGUAAUUUACCUGUAUGGUUUUUUUUUCUUUGUAAUAUUCUCCUUCUACAAGCUUUCUCAUGCUUGGUGUUCUUUUUUAGAGUUAAAUUCUCUAGGGGCGCCUGGGUGGCUCAGUUAAUUAAGCGUCCAACUUUGGCUUAGAUCACAGUCUUGCUGUUCAGAGUUUGAGCCCCACAUCGGGCUCUGUGCUGACAGCUCAGAGCCUGGAGCCUGUUUCAGAUUCUGCGUCUCCCUCUCUCUCUCUCUGUCCCUCACCCACUCAUGGUGUCUCUCUUUCUCUCUCUCCCUCUCUCUCUCUCAAAAAUAAAUAAACAUUAAAAAAAGAGAGAGAGAGAGAAAAUAGAGUCAACUUCUCUAGCCAGACAUGAGAGAUUUGUGGGGAUCUUGGCGAGUCUCCUUUCUUUCCUUCUCCUUACUUCUCUAUUCUAGGUGUUGCAUGAAGGACCUGUCACUUGAUUUAACUCUUUCUGAUCAUCCAUAAUUCAAUCAAUGAGUUUGUACUUUCAAAUCUCCAUAAAUUCUCCUGACUCUGGUCAUCUAAAGUCCUGACCUUAAAUUACUAUCUUCCUUUUGUCUCCAAUGUUCUAUUUAUAUUCCUGGCUGAUAUCCAGUUGUUCCAAAACUUAUUGGUUUAAUGGCUUGGCUCUGCAUUUCAACCUUACUCUGAACCUCAGCCUCAGAAGCCAAAAAUAAGGGCUUGUACCUAAUACGGAUUGAGCUCAUUGUUCCUAAGCUGUUUAUAAUCUAAUCAGGGAUGCAUGAUUAAUAAACAUUAAGCAAAAUGAAGAUUGGAUAGAAUUAAAUUCUAAAACACAUUUGUUGGUAAAGAAAGGGCAGAAAAGUAUAGCAGGAAGGAAACUAAAGUCAGGACAUCUAGCUUCUAGUUCUAGCUGCCACUCACUGGCUGCAGGACUAGCCAAGUCUCUGAACCUCAACCGUAAAAUUGGGGGAUUGUUCUAUAUGAUUUCUAAGAGAACUUAGAACUUUGUGACUAAGUGCUAUGUGGGUGGAGAAAGGGAGAGAUCUGUUUGGAUGACAUUUGUUGAGUGAGCCUUCCAGAAAAAAAAAAAAAAGUAAUUUCAUAAGAGGCUUAAGGAUGGGUGGGAUUUUUGAUUGGGAAGAUGCUAGUGAGAACACUUGCCCACUUGGAAAUAAAACAGUCAAGCAGUGAGGUAAGACCGAGCAGAAUGGUUUACACAGCACAGCAAACAACCCGGCCUGAGCACAACAGCUGGGAAACAAUGGAGAGGACUGGAUGGGUACACUGCAGAGAAUGUUGGACAUAAGACCAAAGGGUUGAAGAAGAGCCUCGGAAAGUGUCUGGGCUACAUAGGUGGGAGGAUAUGAUGGAAUGGAAGUGAGGCUGUGACCGUGGUCCAGGUGUGAGUUAAAUAAGUUUGGACCAAGGUGGCUGAGGUGUGAGUGAAGAGGAAGUGGUAAACGUGAGGCGCAUUUUGAAGAAGAGAUUGAAUAAAGAGGAAAAAGAAGGGGAAGCAAGCUAAUUUCAUCACUGAAGGUGGAAGGGAUUUUCUCUGGGGGGCAGUUGGUCUGCUGGGGAGUUUCAUGGCUUCAUUUUUAGACUAUUCAUGUCUGAAUAGUCUAACUGUGUAUCCUCUAAGAUGAGCAUAUCUUUGUAGGCAGCUAGAAAUGAGAGUAUGAUUCUCAGGACCAGAUACAUAGAGUUCUUAAUUAUUCAUUCCAAGGCAGUAGUUGAAACCAUAAAAAUGGAGAAUAUUACAAAGAGAAAAACAUAUAGGUAAAUUACUGCAAGAUAAAAAGGGAAUCAUAAGCCUUGUAUUAUAUUAUUUCCAUCUCUGAUAGUACUCCUUCAACCUAUCCCACAAAUCUCUUUCUUUGCAUAAAUAUUAGCAAUCUUUUCAUUUAUGGAUAAUUGUAUUAGGAAAGAUAGUUUAGCUUAUACCUAAAUGCCAAAUCUCAGUGGCUAAAAAGUAAUUCUCACCCAUUCUACAUGUUAGUCACUCCUACUCACAUUUUAUUGGCCAAAGAAAGCCACAUAGCCACAUCAAUCCUUGAAAGAGGUGGAUAGUUCAGUACUUUCUUGUGCGUUAAUGGAGAGUGGGAAUAUUUGUGAAGAGUUCUAACAAUAACUGUAAUAACAUUUUCCCUUACACAUCUAUCUAUAACCAUGCCUGUCCACACUUUUAUCUGUAUCAUCCAUAAAAUGUUCCUGGCAUCAAAUUUUAUAAGUAGUAGUACCAUAGUAAAAUUCCUAUACGAACAAGUUAUUUCUGUGUCUUUUGUUUUCUGCUUGUUUUGAUGUUAAGCCUUCCUUUGGUUCUAUGGUUGGCUCUCUUCUUUUCUUUCCCAAUUCUUGGAACUAAACAGACUCAAGAAAAGGCUACACCCAUGAUUAAAACAAUCUUUACCCGUGUCUCUCCUGCCUUUGGUUCCACUUCUCCUCCUUCUUUUACAAGAAUAAAUUCCUUCCCUCACAAGAAUAAAUUCCUUCCCUCUGGGUCCUGCCACACUUCCUUCUUCUACUUUCUCACUUCCUUAUCACCCAGAGUUUAAGGCCAUUGAAGGGCAAAAUAACAAGCUGACAAGUAAUACUUAUUACUCAAUCCACUAUCUAUUCUGCCCAACAUUAAUUAGCUGGUUGCCCUGAUGUGCACACCCUAUGUAUAUCCCAUAAAUUGUUGACUUGAUUAUUCUAAUAAGAAUUAAUAUUUUUUUCCAUCAGAGUCCCAUAGAAUGUUGUUUGAACCUCUAAUAUGAUUAUCACAGUCUGUCUUGUCUCAGGGUUGUAUACACUCUGUCCCUAAAUCAUGACAUCCUUAUGGAUUAAGCUAUAAUUUGCAUGUAGUAAUACUUGACAAUUGAAGACUUAUUGAUGAAUCCUAUAUAUGACUAAAUUGGCCAUUGGUUUUGGUAACAUUUGGGUAUAUCUUGAUUCAGCAUUUGGUGCUUAUUAGACUCUUGCUCAUAUCAAGAAAAUAAACAAACAAAUAAAAAAAAAAACCCACUGAGAUGGGAAAUAAAAUUACUUGUUCCAGAAAGUGCUCAAGAAGUUCAAUAGAGCUGAAACCUAACAGGAAAAAAAAGUUCCUUAGCUUAACACACAAACCCCCUUUAGAUCUGACACCUGCUCAUCUUUCUAGCUUCAUCUCCUGCCAUAUGGGAGGAUUUUUUUUUUGAGAGGGAGAGAGAGAGUGAGAGCACGUGGGUGGGGAAGAGGGCCAAGCAAGAGAGAGAACCGUAAGCAGGCUCCAUGCUCAGCAUGUGGCCCUACUCAGGGUUCCACGUGGGGCUCCACACAGGGCUUGAUCCCAUGACCCUGGGAUCAUGACCUGAGCCAAAAUCCAGAGUUGGUCACUCAAACAACUGAACCACCUAGGCACCUCUACCUAAGGAAUUAUAACUUGAAAGCUAUGGAUCAUGUCUGAGGUCCUCUCCCAGGCAAGCAGCAUCUAGGAUGCCACUCUGGGAUUGUAGUUCCAGAAGCUGCGUCUGGUUGUGAGUAGGGUGAGACUUCUUCAUAAANNNNNNNNNNNNNNNNNNNNNNNNNNNNNNNNNNNNNNNNNNNNNNNNNNNNNNNNNNNNNNNNNNNNNNNNNNNNNNNNNNNNNNNNNNNNNNNNNNNNNNNNNNNNNNNNNNNNNNNNNNNNNGACGCGGGGCUCGAACUCACGGACCGCGAGAUCGUGACCUGGCUGAAGUCGGACGCUUAACCGACUGCGCCACCCAGGCGCCCCGGGUGAGACUUCUUCAUAAGGUGCAGAGCAUGGAAUGAGAAGAUCUAAAGUAGAGGUCCAGGGACAAAUCCAGGAUUUACUCAAAGUUGAGAAGAAAAACUAGCAAUAAUUAAGGUGAAACAUGAACUGAAGGUAAUAGGACAGAGCAAAGACGUCAAAGAAGAGGGCCAGAGGCACAGCCUACUGUGGAUUCUUAAAGCUUCCUCUCCCCUUUCUAGGCUCUUUCAGACUUUCAGUUCUCUGGGCAGGAAAGGAAUAUUCUAAACCUAUUUGGACCCAAAGCUCUCCAAGGAUUUUAAGAAAAAGAAUGAUAGGGACUGCCACUGUUUUCUUAAUGGAGUACACAGCAUCUUGUCGUGUCCUGUGAGCUCUCCCCUGUAUGUAUCUGGCCCAGAGUAAGUCCUCAGUAAACAUUUAGUGAGUAACAUGGACUUGCUGCUGAUUGUUAAGCAUGGGAAUGCUUUUGUUUAGUCUAUUUGCAUGUUGUAUGAGUAUCAUGCCACAAGAAAACUGAUUUCACACAAACCCACAAAAGUUCUUUUAUUUAUUUAAAUAAAUGCCAAUGAAAAUCAUAUUAUUUACAAGCCAUUCAAAUGUAAAACUAGCCUUUUCUUCCAUAGUGUCUCAGGUAUGCAAAUUUAAAGCCUAUGCAUUAAGAAAUAAAACAAUAGAAAAGAAACCCCCAAAAGGAGAACCAACUAAGAACAAUAUGACACAAGUAGUUUAGCAGUAGUGUGGUAUAAAUCUCCAUAAUAACAGUCUUCCAGAAACAGUGGCUGAGAUAAACUUAUUUUUAAGCAUAAGUUUAAACAAUACAAUGCUGCUCAUAAAUCUUGUAUGUAUAUAUGUGUGAGUUGCCAAUCAUAACUCAGGAUGGGUGGCCAGAAGUAACGCAAUACUAAUGGCUAUUGCUAGGGUGCCAAUAGCAAAAGCUAGACUCUCCUGGGGGAGAAGCCUCACUAUUUGCCUGCCAUUCUAAAGUUGGGGGGAAACAGAUAAGUUUUAGGCCCAGUCCAUCAGGAGAGAAGACUUUAAAUAAAUAACAGUUGAACAGGGUGUGACCAGCCUAUACACAUGUCACAAUGGUGCCAUCAUGAGACAAGUCCAUGUAACAUAAAAAUCAAGGGAGGAAAUACUCCAAGUGAAGACAAAACUGGCAAGAGCUGCAGAGGAUUACCCUUUUCCCACAGCACAAUCAUCAAAUAUACCUUGUGAAUGUGCAUAUUUAACAUCUGAAAGGGUGUGUAUCAUAAGUUAAAUCAACAGGCAUUUAAACCUGUACUAUGAUUUCAAUUAUUUAUAUGAAUUUCUGUCUCCAAUUUCAGGAUGAUUCCCUCAUACUUAACAUCAACAGAGAACAGAAAGCAGAAUUCUUUCCCUGCAAAGAUAUCCCUUGGGGUAUAAUAAAUAUUUGGUCUUGUCCCUAGUUCCUAAUACACAGCUUCUAAGCCCUGGGAGUGAUAGGAGUGUCUUUUAUAUGCAAAUGAGGUGGCUGGAGAUGUAGAAGCUUCAAGAGGGGAAUGGGGGUGGGUGGUGGCUAGAAUGACCAAGCCUUGAUUAGAAACUUGGAACUUUCAGUCCCAACCCCCAUCCUCCAGGCUGGGGAGAGGAGCUGAAGAUUGAGUUCAAUUAUGAAUGGCCAAUGAUUUCAUCAGUCAUGCCUAUGGAAUGAAGCCUCCAUAAAAACCCAUCAAAUAUGAAGUUUGGAUAGCUUUCAAGUUGGUGAACACAUCGAAGUGUUGGGAGGGUGGUACACUCCCAACUCCACAAGGACAGAAGCUCCUGCACUCAGGAUGCUUUCAGACUUUGCUCUAUGCAUCUGUUUUUUUUUUGUUUUUUUUUUUAAUUUUUUUUUUUCCCCAACAUUUAUUCAUUUUUGGGACAGAGAGAGACAGAGCAUGAACGGGGGAGGGGCAGGGAGAGAGGGAGACACAGAAUCAGAAACAGGCUCCAGGCUCUGAGCCAUCAGCCCAGAGCCUGACGCGGGGCUCAAACUCACGGACCGCGAGAUCGUGACCUGGCUGAAGUCGGACGCUUAACCGACUGCGCCACCCAGGCGCCCCUCUAUGUAUCUGUUUAACUGGCUAUUCAUUUGUAUCCUUUAUAAUAAUCUAGUAAACACAAAUGAAGUGACUGCCUGAGUUCUGUAAGCCAUUCUAGCAAAUUACUGAACCUGAGAAGAGAAUAGUGGGUAUCCCCAAUUUAUACCUGGUUGUUCAGAAGCACAAACAUGGGUGGUUUAAGACUUGCAAUUGGCAUCCAAAAAUGAAAGCAGUCUUUUUUUUUAAUUAAAAAUAUUGUUUUAAUGUUUAUUUUUGAGAGAGAGACAGAGCGUGAGUGGAAGAGGGACAGAGAGAAGGAAACACAGAAUCUGAAGCAGGUUCCAGGCUCUGAGCUGUCAGCACAGAGCCCAAUGUGGGGCUUGAACUCAUGAACAACGAAAUCAUGACCUGAGCUGAAGUCAGACACUUAACCAACUGAGCCACCCAGGCACCCCUGAAAGUGAGAGCAGUCUUGUAAGACUGAGCCCUUAACCCUGUGAAGUGUAACUAACUUCAGGUAGUUAGUGUUAGAAUAGAACUCAAUUGUGGGACACCCAGUUGGUGUCCAAAGAAUCAGAGAAUUGGUGUGAGGAAAAAAAAAAAAAAAAACCCAAAACCUAUACAUUUGGUGGCAGACAUCUUGUGAGUCAAAACAGCUUACCCCUGGUUAAAUAUAUCUUUCUAGUCUUACUAUUUUAUCUACUUGUAGAAAAAUUAGUAUUUAGCAAAAUCUCAUAGGUUCUCUGAGUGUGUACAUGCACACACACAUAUGCAAGCGUUCUAUCAUGUGAGGUUUGGAAUAGUGAUUUGGGUAGGUGUAGAAGUGAAUCUGGGUUUUUUGUCCCUCAAACAUUUCAGGUCUAGAUUUAAUAUUGCUCUGUUCUUUCUCCUCCGUAUUCCUUACUUCUUUCAAGUAAACUUCAAGUUAGUUCACUGCUUUUGGAAGCUGCUAUCAACCUCACCCUAUUCAGUUACCUCUCUACUUGGUUCUACAGAUACUCCAUUUUCUAACACAUUCUGUAAGGCAGUGAAGAUCAGGAAUUGUUUUAAUCCUUGAAGACAUGGUAGGAUUUACCAUGUGAUUUUAGGUAAUCACUUAGACCAGAGGCUACACAGAAGAGAGAUUUGAGGAAGGAGGCUAGAGGUAUCGUGCACAAAAGCACAGUUUUGGAGUCAGCCAAACCUGAGUCCAAAUCUAGCUUCUAAUACUUAUUGGCUGUACAACCUUAAACAAGUUACUUAUGCUGUCCCUGCCUGCAUUUCUUCAUCAAGGGCUAUUGUAAUGGUUUUCAACUAAGUCAUGUUUAUGAAGUGCUUAAUGUAAAGAUUGGCACAUAUUAUGCCCUCACAAAUGGCAAUGAUUAAGUUUAAUUGUCAUGUUGUCAUGUGAGUCAUAUGAAUGUUUUUCAUUUGGGUCUUAGCUAGAUUUUUAAACCCUUUCUUGUCAGCAUCUCUCUUAUUUCCCACUAAGGGCACUGGAUACAAUGUCUGUCCCCCAAUCCUGACUAGAAGGUUAUUCAAAUGUCACCGCAUUCCCACUGUGCAGCAAACUAAUGUCAAAGGAAUGUAGACUAGGACGGGAUGGUCUCUGAUACCCACUUCUUUUAGUCCCCCUGAGACCCCUUUCACUCUAGGCGGCCCCUUCCAGGCUCAUACCUCAUUCAAUGCCACCGACUCACCACUCCUUACCUGCCCUCCUAAAACAAGUCCUUCAUUAAAACUUGCUCUGCCACAUCGUAUCCUCUCCAGCUCUGUCUGCUUACUAAUUCUUUCAAUAAACUCAACAAACUUUUACUGAGUGCUUACAACAUGCCACUAGCUGAGGAAACAAAAUGAAAGCAGUACAGUCUUUAUACUCCAGUAAUUAAUAUUCUGCUUCUUCUUUGAUACAUUCAAUGAUUCUCAACCUCAGAAUUAGAACCAACUGUUUGAAGUUUUAAAAACAGCAAAUGCUUAUGUCCCACCUAAUUUAGUAAAUAUGGGUGGGACUCAGAUACAUAAAAUUUGUAAACCCUCCUCAAGGAUUUUACUGAAUAGCCACAGUAAAGUAGAACCACAGGAUGUGUUGAGAAUGGAAAGAUGAUAGGAAUCUGCAAGUGUUGGGUGGACUUCAUAUUGGAGGUUUAAAUUGUAUGCUGAGGGAUGAGUAGUUUUCUAGGCAAAGAGAACUCCAGGAAAAGGAAAAGCAUAAUGCCUGAGCCUAAGCCAUAUGAAUUUAUCAGUAUCAUUUUCACUAAUACCCUCAUGGAAGAGGGUUAGAAGACUCAUUUAUGAAUAGCAUCUGUGCAUGAACUAUCAAUUUCUGGGGGAAAUACCCUUACUCUGGGUCUUGUGUGGUCUCCUUCUCUCCCCUCCCACCUGCUUUCAUCUCCCUUCCUCUUAACUCAUGGUUGGAAUGUCCCAACAACAUGGGGCCCUUCUCCACUUAAUCAUUAAACACUUUCUCCAUCUUACUCAGAAAAUAGCUGAGCCCCUUUGAGGGCAGCAAGAGCACAGCGCAUAAUGGAAGAAAUGCCCAGUGCAGGGGCGAGAACUGGGUGAAAGCCUCAGUGUCACCCACAGUGUUUCUCCCUUUCCUCUUCCUUGAGGCUUCUCCUGUAUGUGGCUGGGGAAAUCCAGACCAGUCAUCUCUGAAAACUUUUGAAUUAAAAGCUUGAUCUUCCACUAAAGUUGCUUUUGGUGAGGAGAGUUGGCUGAAGCAACUGUCCCCACCCACAACUAAUACUCAUGCACUUAUCUACUUAAACCCUGCAAAAUGAUCUGUCCUCUCAGAAAAAAAAUAUACCAUCCCUGUAAGCCUCUAAAUUAGUCAAAAUGACAAACUCAGACUUCAGAAGCGUGUUUACAUGCAACACUUAUGUCUGGCAUACUCUUUCCAUAAGGUCCCCUGGCUAGUCACCAGUCACCUAUUAAAGAUUAUCACCCCAGGGCAUCUGGGUGGCUCAGUCGGUUGAGCAUCCAACUCUUCACUUCAGCUCAGGUCAUGAUCCCAGGUCGUGGGAUUGAGCCCUACGUCGGACUCCAUACUGAGAAUGGAGCCUGAUUAAGAUUCCCUCCCCCCCCUUUCUCUCUCUCUCUCUCUCUCCCUCCCUCCUUCCCUCUCCCCCUUUCCCCUGCUCAUGCUCUCUCUCUCUCUCAGAAGAAAAAAAAAGACUAACACCCACUUCUCCUCCCACACUCCUGAGUAUUCAUGAGGAGACAGGCAGAUCUGGCCCAUCCUCUUACCAGGUCAUUUAAAACAUUUAUCAAAAAGCUUAAUUUGAAGAAUAUAAUCAAUAACUAGUAUUAAGGAGUUCCUGGGUGGCUCAAUCAGUUAAGUGUCUGACUUUGGGUCAGGUCAUGAUCUCAUGUGCUGACAGCUCAGAGCCUGGAUCCUGCUUUGGAUUCUGUGUAUCCCACUCUUGCUGCCCAUACCCCACUUGUGCUCUGUCUCUCCCUCUCUCAAAAAUAAAUAAACCUUAAAAUAAAUAGCUAGUAUUAAAUCAACAGAUGGAUUGUGAAAGCUGAAAAUUCCCUGUGGCGCCAAAGUCCCAUCUUUUGAAUGCUCUCCACCUCAGUCAUGGUUGUUUUUGAGAUUAGGAAUCUUUCUGCACCGGCUUCUGUCUGUACCCUCCUCCAGUGUUCUCUGAUCCACUUGUGCCUCUGGCUCUGGCCUUGGACCUCAGCUGUGGGCUCCACUUCUAGUUCUGCCAUCUCAGUCACAUUUUCAGUUGAGCACUCAGCAACUUAAAAUAUUUGAAACCCACAUCUUACAUGCAGAAUACUCAAACUCUUAACUGACAGGAAGUGCAAAAUCUGUACUUAAGUUCCCUUGGUGCAGUUGUCUUUUCUUCUCUUUGAUCCAGUGACUCCGGCUAUCACAUGGUUUGGGGUUGGUUUUUUUUUUCCCCCAGGAGUGGACUUGACUUUGGGAUUGGUACCCUUAGAAGAUUCUCCCCAAUCCCUUCUUCCUAUUGACUCACAGAGCUCCAUCCCUACCCAAUGAUGACAGCUCUAAUAGGCUGAAUAGUGACACCCCAAGAUAUCCCUGAAAAUGUUGGCUUAUUUGAAAGGAGUCUUUGUGGACGUGAUUAAAUUAAGGGUAUUGAGAUGAGAAGAUUAUCCUGGAUUGUUUGGGUGGGCUCUAAAUGCAAUCACAAGUGUACUCCUAAGAGAAAGUCAGGGAGAGAUUUGACACAGAAAGAAGGUGCUGUGAAAUGGAACACAGAGAUUUGAAAGUGCUGACCUUAAAGAUUGGAGUGACACAGCCAUACAACCAGAAAUGUUGAAAAGUUAUUCAAAAGCUGGAAGAGACAAGGGACAGAUUCUACCAUAGAGCCCUCUCCCAGAAGGAGGGUGAUCCUGCUCACACCUUGAUUUCAGCCCAGCGAUUUAUGUCUUCUUUUAUACUUUUCUGUAUUUAAUUUAAAGAUAUAUACAGGGAGGCACCUGGGUGACUCAGUCGGUUGAGCAUUCGACUUCAGUUCAGGUCAUGAUCUCACAGUUUGUGGAUGCGAGCCCCACGUUGGGCUCUGUGCUGACAGCUCAGAACCUGGAGCCUGCUUCAGAUUCUGUGUCUCCCUCUCUCUCUCUGCCCCUUCCUGGCUCACACUCUGUCUCUCUCUCUGUCUCUCUGUCUCUCUCUCUCUCUCUCUCAAAAAUAAACAUUUAAAAAAAAAAAAAAACCUGGCACAAGAACAGACACUCAGAUCAAUGGAACAGAAUAGAGAACUCAAAAAUGGACCCACAAACGUAUGGCCAACUAAUCUUUGACAAAGCAGGAAAGAAUAUCCAAUGGAAUAAAGUCUCUUCAGGGGCGCCUGGGUGGCUCAGUCGGUUGAGCGUCUGACUUCGGCUCAGGUCAUGAUCUCACAACUCAUGAGUUCGAGCCCCGCGUCGGGCUCUGUGCUGACAGCUGGGAGCCUGGAGCCUGUUUCAGAUUCUGUGUCUCCCUCUCUCUCUGCCCCUCCCCCGCUCAUACUCUGUCUCUCUCUCUGUCUCAAAAAUAAAUAAAACAUUAAAAAAAAAAAAGACAGUCUUUUCAGCAAGUGGUGCUGGGAAAACUGGACAGCAACAUUCAGAAGAAUGAACCUGGACCACUUUCUUACACCAUACACAAAAAUAAACUCAAAAUGGAUGAAAGACCUCAAUGUAAGACAGAUAACCAUCAAAAUCCUUGAGGAGAAAGCAGCAAAAACCUCUUUGAUCUUGGCCUCAGCAACUUCUUACUCAACACGUCUCCGGAGGCAAGGAAAACAAAAGCAAAAAUGAACUACUGGGAACUCAUCAAAAUAAAAAGCUUCUGCACAGUGAAGGAAACAAUCAGCAAAACUAAAAGGCAACCGACAGAAUGGGAGAAGAUAUUUGCAAAUGACAUAUCAGAUAAAGAGUUAGUAUCCAAAAUCUAUAAAGAACUUAUCAAACUCAACACCCAAAAAACAAAUAAUCCAGUGAAGAAAUGGGCAAAAGACAUGAAUAGACACUUCUCCAAGGAAGACAUCCAGAUGGCCAACCAACACAUGAAAAAAUGCUCAACAUCACUCAUCAUCAGGGAAAUACAAAUCAAAACCACAAUGAGAUACCACCUCACACCUGUCAGAAUGGCUAACAUUAACAACUCAGGCAACAACAGAUGUCGGCGAGGAUUGGGAGAAAAAGGAUCUCUUUUGCAUUGUUGGUGGCAAUGCAAGCUGGUGCAGCCACUCUGGAAAACAGUGUGGAGGUACCUCAAAAAACUAAAAAUAGAACGACCCUACAACCCAGCAAUUGCUAGGCAUUUAUCCAUGGGAUACAGGUGUGCUGUUUCGAAGGGACACAUGCACCCCCAUGUUUAUAGCAGCACUAUCAACAAUAGCCAAAGUACGGAAAGAGCCCAAAUGUCCCUCGAUGGAUGAAUGGAUAAAGAAGAUGUGGUACAUAUAUACAAUGGAGUAUUACUCGGCAAUCAAAAAGAAUGAAAUCUUGCCAUUUGCAACUAUGUGGAUGGAACUGGAAGGUAUUAUGCUAAGUGAAAUUAGUCAGAGAAAGACAAAAAUCAUAUGACUUCCUUCAUAUGAGGACUUUAAGAGACAAAACAGAUGAACAUAAGGGAAAGGAAGCAAAAAUAAUAUAAAAACAGGGAGGGGGACAAAACAGAAGAGACUCAUAAAUAUGGAGAACAAACUGAGGGUUACUGGAGGGGUUGUGGGAGGGGGGAUGGGCUAAAUGGGUAAGGGGCACUAAGGAAUCUACUCCUGAAAUCAUUGAUGCACUAUAUGCUAACUAAUUUGGAUGUAAAUUUUAAAAAAUAAAAAAUUAAAUUAAAAAAAAAAACCCGGGGCGCCUGGGUGGCGCAGUCGGUUAAGCGUCCGACUUCAGCCAGGUCACGAUCUCGCACUCCGUGAGUUCGAGCCCCGCGUCAGGCUCUGGGCUGAUGGCUCGGAGCCUGUUUCGGAUUCUGUGUCUCCCUCUCUCUCUGCCCCUCCCCCGUUCAUGCUCUGUCUCUCUCUGUCCCAAAAAUAAAUAAACGUUGAAAAAAAAAAUUAAAAAAAAAAAAGCCCAACAUCUUUACUAAAUAAAUAGAUAAAUAAAUAAAUAAAUAAAUAAAUAAAUAAAAAGAUACAUACAGGGUCCCCUGGGUAACUCAGUUGGCUAAGUGUCCAACUCUUGGUUUCAGCUCAGGUCAUGAUCUCAUGGUUCCUGAGACCAAGCCUGAGCAUCAGGCUCCUUGCUGAGUGUGGAGUCUACUUAAGAUUCUCUCUCCCUCUGCCCCUCCCCCACUUACAGGAGGACAUGCUCUCUCUCUCAAAAAUAAAUAAAUAAAAUUUAAAAAAAUAAAAUGUUAAAUAAAGAUAUUUAUAAACAUAUUAAAAUUGUACUCAAAGAAACAAUGAAAUGAUUUUUAUUACAUGCAAAGAAAAAAGAGUAAAAUACUUCUGUAUUACUUGAAAGUUUAUGGUGAGAAUACAUUUAGUUAUUACUUAUGGAACUUUUAAAAACAGACUGCCAGUAUAUAGACUAAAAUAUCAAAAGUAACUAACCCCUGGAUGGUAGGGUUCUAAAUGACUUAUCCUUCUGUACAAUUUUUCUCUAUUUUCUAAGCUCACAACAAUGUAAUGCUAAUACUUACAUAAUUAAAAAUUGUAAAGAAAAAAUUUUGACAUAGAUCAUUUACUAACACUGAAAAAGUCCCACAAAUACAUUAGUAAGUGGGGGAGGGGGGGAAGCUACAAAAUAAUGUAAAUAUCAUGGUGAUUUUUACUUUAAAAUAUGCACAUAUACAGUCAGACAGUAAAAGUGCGUACAUCAAAAUGUUAAUAAUGCUUAUCUUUGGUACAAUCAUGUCUAAUUUUUGUUUUACAUUAUGUUUUUGGCAUCUUCAAAUAUUCUGCGUUAAUUAUGAAUUUUGUAAUGAGAUAAAAUUCUUAUUAAAUAAGACAAGUUAAAAGCACAUAAAUGAUAGAAUAAAGGUUGAUUUGGGUUAGAACACAUAGACCUUCAUGUAAGAAUAUCAGAUGGCAUGUUAGUAUAAUAAUGUAGCUCCUAUAGGGGCGCCUGGGUGGCUCAGUCAGUUGGAUUUCCAACUUCAGCUCAGGUCAUGAUCUUGCAGUGUGAGAUCGAGCCCCGUGUCGGGCUCUGUGCUGACAGCUCAGAGCCUGACACUGCUUCAGAUUCUGUGUGUCCCUCUUUCUCUGUCCCUCCCCCACUCACACUCUAUCUCUGAAAAAUGAAUAAAUCUUUAAAAAAUUAAAAAAAAAAACCUGCAACUCUUAUAACUGGAUCGUGAAAGACAGUUUUUAAAAAUUCUUUCUAAANNNNNNNNNNNNNNNNNNNNNNNNNNNNNNNNNNNNNNNNNNNNNNNNNNNNNNNNNNNNNNNNNNNNNNNNNNNNNNNNNNNNNNNNNNNNNNNNNNNNNNNNNNNNNNNNNNNNNNNNNNNNNNNNNNNNNNNNNNNNNNNNNNNNNNNNNNNNNNNNNNNNNNNNNNNNNNNNNNNNNNNNNNNNNNNNNGGUUAAACCCCUUUCCAGGGUCCUAGAUUCAGGCCAUUGAUCUUGGUAUUUCCAGCUCCUCACUCUUAAAUUGAGGGCCAGGUCUUUCCAAGAAGAUAGCCUUCAUUUUAGAGAAGGUACGUGCCUCACAGUUGGCCUUGCAUUUCUUCAAAUUCCAGGCUUCUGCUGAUGAGACUGUUUUGGUCCCAGAAGUGAAUCCUGGCCAAGACUAGGUCCUCUCCUCCACCAUGAGGGAUGGAGCUGCACCACUGGGAAGCUGAGUGCUUUUGUAUUCGCAGCCUUUCAAGGAUACCUUCUCUGAUGUCAGAAAUAGUCCUCUGACUCUGCCUGUUGGCAAUCAGUAGCUGAAGCUUCGAGCAAGAUCUCUCUCAGCAAGAAUUCUGCCCAUGAUAAUACUGCCCCCUAAAUCCUAGUGCCCUGUGUGACCACAUCAGAUAAAAUUCUUGUAUUUAGGUAGAACAAUCUGACCAGGAUCCUGAAACACACAUGUAGCUAUGACAAGCUUCUCACCAGACACAUGUACCAUUAUCUUUAUUGCCAGCUCAUGCUGGCCCCAAAUCCUAUCAGGCUGGACAAUGUGGACUCCUCAAUAUUUUUGCCCUUCUAACUCAAAAUGUCCCAGACACCAAUCCCAAGGCAAAGAAGAGGUGAAAAGAUAUGAGCAUUACAAGAUCUAAACAAAGCUAAGAGUCCCCAGAGAUGAUUGAUGGGAAAAUAUCUUCUCAGCCCACUUCCGUUUAUAAUGACUUUCUUCCUCCAACAGAAUCUGCAGAAUCAAUGUUGCUAUAAAAUCUCCAUUUUGUUUUAGUUUCACUUCAGUGUUCCUUUUUCUUGGGAAUGAGGGACAGAAACCCUGAGCUCCCCCUGGAGGUAGGAGUGUGCUAGUAAGAGUCUCCUUGGACUUGCUCUUGACUCUUUCUACCCAGUUCAUUUUUUUUUUAUGUUUAUUUAUUUUAGAGAGAGAGAGAGAGAGACAGAGCGUGAGUAGGGGAGGGGCAGAGAGAGAGGGAGACAGAAUCUGAAGCAGACUCCAGGCUCUGCACUGUCAGCACAAAGCCCGAUGCAGGGCUCGAACUCACAAACUGUGAGAUCAUGACCUGAGCCGAAAUCAGAUGCUUAACCGACUGUGCCACCCAGACGCCCCUCUACCCAGUUCAUCUUAACACAAACCCAGUUAACUUGCUUACUUUCACCCAUUUCCAGUCAGCUUCUGGUGACCUGUCUGCAAUCUCCAUAACAUCUGACUGGGGCUUCUAUCCUCUUUGUAUUUUAGCUAUUCUAAUCCUUUUUUUUUUUAAGUUUAUUUAUUUAUUUUGAAAGACAGAGAGGGUAUGCACAAACACAUAUGUGUUUGUGUGCUUUCAUAAGCGGGGGAGGGGCAGAGAGAGAGAGAGAGAGAGAGAGAAUCUCAAGCAGACUCUUUGCUGUCAGCACAGAGCCAAAAAUGGGCUCGAUCCCAAGAACUGUGAGAUCAUGACCUUAGCCAAAACCAAGAGUCCAAUGCUUAACCAACUGAGCCAGCCAGGUGCCCCUUAGCUACUCUAAUCUUAAAGUAGAAAGUACUCCUUGCCUAGCUGCAUAAACAGUAUUGUCUAUGUUUCCAUCUUGUCUCAGAUUUUUCUCCUUUAAUGCAAGUGCUUUGUUAGUCAUUUGAUUCCUCUUGUCAUCUCUCCAACAUGUUCCUUUCCUCUUUAUCCUUGUUAUUGCUCUUCAUCUUACCUAGAAUUUUUUUCCUAUCCUCAGCCCUUGUCUCCUUGUGAAAAUCUUUUCCAUUCAUCAAAAGCCCAAGUCCCAGCUUCCCCACACCCCCCUCUGAAAUCCAAUAGAACUUGUUUACAAAGCAUUUAUGUAUGCUGCUUUGUAUUUUAGUUUUCUCUACAUAGUUUAUCUUACUCUAUCCAACCAAAUGUCUAGCAUAGUGUCAAGGUCUAGUGUGCCAUAGAUAAUCAUUAGAUAAAUGUUGAAUUAAAUUGUUGAAGGAUGAUUUCAAACAACCCAUUUUCAAAGAACAGAUAACUGCACUGUUGAAAAAAUGAAGGAAAGCAGGAGACAGGAAGAAGAGAAAAGUAACUGGAAGACAAAGGGCCUGAGGAUCUGAGGAUCUCGGGGUGCUGUAGAGAGAACACGGGGAUCAGGAUAUAAGGAUCAGGAACCUGGGCUCAAGUCCCACGUGGCUGUUAAUGACCUAAACGACCACAGAGCUGCUCUCUAGAAAAUCAAGGCAGUGGGUUAUAUGAAUUUCCAAGUUUAUCAUCACGAUGAAAUUGUAUGACCAUCACCCCAUUUAGGCUCCUGAUAGCUGACCAAACAAGAUAGUGUUCAGACUGCACCUCCUCAGAGCCUAAUGUAAUAUAUGUGCUAAUAAAUGUUAGUUUCUCUUUUCUUCACACACAAUGGGAACAUUAUGUAACAUUCUCAACUUUAACAAAAGUUUGCCUUCUUUAUCCACUGAGGACAGGCCCACACAGGAAUAUUUGCCUGAUAAUAUGGCAAUAGAGAACUAUACAACUUGUUUAAACAAAAAUACUGCAGAAACAUUUGUUUUCUUCUCUAGAUGUGUACUUUAUGGAAGAAUUUUUUGGUGCCUGGUUCUCUCCAUUAGGCUGAAUAUGUUUUCUUAUCAUUUUUUCUUCUAGCUCUCACCAUGUGCCAUUUUAGGUACAAGCUUCCAUUCCAGC